UGAUCAAAUGAAUGAUCCUGAACACCUACCUACGUCAGACAUAACCCCACCGUGUCCUCGAUCGGAGAAAGAACUCACGAAAGAGACAGUCACGGUUACGCACGCAGUUGGCAUGUUUUAAUUAAGUUAACUUCAAGUUAUCUAUAACUAGUGUUAAACAAAGUAUCCACGUUGCCACAUAACCGCGGGCACGGCUUUCCGAAAAGAUUUAACCCUGCAGGGGUGCCCCAACUAGUCCAUCACAAAUUACCACAAGCCGCAUAGAAAUCCUCAAUCACGAAGCUCGCGAUCUCGUCGAAUUCCCUAGUGGAAAACCUCAACUCUGAGAUUACCCAAAGCAUCACCGGAAUCCCGAUGCACAAGAUAUCUCGUCAAAGGUAAAACUAAUCCAGCAAGGCCGGCCGACGUGUCGACGAUCCCGAUAGGAGUCGCGUACCUCGUUCUCAGGACACGGCGGAUGAGCUAGACGCCGGGAUCGCUAAACCUCCGGGUGACCAGAGGGGCGCCGAACAUCGCUCAGGUGGGACCAACACUCAUGAGGAGCACUGGCCCGGGGGUUGAUUAAAUUAGUCCGCGGGUGCCGGCGGGUCCCUAUGCAUUAUUAUUAGGUUAUUAGGCAAAUGUAGUACCAAUGUUGGGCCUUGCCAGACCAGCUUUAAUCUAAAACGAAUUAUCAAGGGGGUCCCCAUAACAACCCCGAUCGUGUUAGGAGCGCUCAUUUAUGGAACAUAACACCGGUAGCCGGUAACUAAAGGGGGGCAAAGGUGGAACAAAACACCAGGCUAGAAAGGCCGAGCCUUCCACCUUUUACCAAGUAUAUAGGUGCAUUAAAUUAAAUAGCAUUUAAUAUGGUGAUAUAACAAGGAACCCAUGUCUUCACAUGGAAGCAUCUGCACCUGCAACUAGCAUCGCUAACACAUGGUUAAGCAAGCGGUAACAUAGCCAAUCAGUGGUUUGCUAGGUUGAACAGGUUGAAGGUUAACAUGGCAUUGUUGAGAGGCUGAUAUUUAACAGGUGGUAGGCAACGAGACAUAAUCGAUAGAAGUGAUAAAACUAGCAUGGCAAUGAUAGUAAUGGUAUCUGGGGAAAUGAUCAUCUUGCCUGAGAUCCCGCUUGGAAGAAGAAUGCCUUCGUGAAGCAGACGAACCGACGUAGUCGAACGGGUCCUCACAAUCCGGCACGCUGCGGAACUCUAUCGAGACGAAGCAAACCGGAAACACAAAUCAACACACGAAAUUCACCACACGAUGCUCAACACAUAUGAUGCAUGAGCUACUGAAUACAUGCAAGUCACGGCAUGGCAAAUCACACAAUCAAACACUACACAUUAAGUGAAGUUCAAUAUGCACGAGUUGCAUAUUGACGAAACUCCACGUUAAUUUAUUUAGUUCUAUCCCGAUUAGAUACACGGCAAUAUUAAUGUUGUCAAACAUGCAAGAGGUGAAGCGGAAGUUAAACUACCUAUCUAGGCAUUUUAAGUGAGGUCGGAAAUGACAUAUAGCACCUCCGAAUCGACCUCACAAGUUAAUUUACAAUUCUGUCCAGAUCUGAACUAAUGCAUUUAAUUGGUUGUUAAACAGCAAAACAAAUAGGUUCAUGUGAUUCUACGCGUCAAGGCAAGCAACCCACACAUAAAGAACAUCUCCAACGGAGCUACGGUUCAAAAGAUACAAGCACCGCAAGAUAUGAUGGCAUGAAUGCAAAAAUGUGUGCCACGGCGGCUGCGAGCACUUCAACACAUACAAACAGCAAGAGAAAAUGAAACUACACGAGAUUCUAAGCAAGUUUCAUGUAGGACACGAUCAAAACGGAGCUACGGUUCGAAAACUACGAGCAAAACAAGAAAACACUACAAUCUGCCAAAAUCAGCCACAUAGCACUUUCAACGCCUCACAACUUCGUCUACCCAACUCCGAUAAGCUCAAGCAAGGCAUGGCACGGAAGAGGGCAACAAGCACUACUACAAACAACUAAUAACAACUAAUAUGGCAGCAAGGAGCACUAGGAAAAGAAGACACAAAAUGGCAUCUCACGCACUAUUUCAGACUUAGUGAAAAUUACACCUCAUGAAAGUGCAGUUUUCGAUCUGAAGCAAUAUUGACAGCAGCAAAACCUAUAGCUACAGGACUCCAAAUAACAUGAAACUUAACAGCAUGCUAGAGAAACAUAAGGGGCACAUCUAACUCCAUAGGACCAACCUCAAAAGAGCUACAGAUCACAAGAUGCAAGCAAGACAAAACAGCAACAAAAUAAUAACAGAUUCCAGACUUAGAAAUAUUUCAGCUCCUCUAAAACAGCACUAUUUCUAGCAACUUGAGGGCAAGCAAACAACACCUAAACACGCAUUUCUAUUGCAACCAAAAUACCAGGGGCUAAACAAAACAUCCAAGAUCAACUCUCUAGUUGACAACUCCGUCAAACGACGCACGGAAUAAAUCCUACGAAUUAAACAAGAGGCCAUCACGGUAAAAUAUCUCGCGAACUAACUUGCUCUAAUGCUAAAAAUAAUUGCACAGAAAAAUCCAUGGGAUUUUUCUACCCCGGAAACAUAUAAAAUAUGUGGGGUUUGCAACACAAAAUAAAGCCACACAAAUAUGCGGGAAAAUAACCUAUACACGGAAAAAUAAACUACCCGCAAUUCCCUACACGCAAAAAUACAAAUGACCGCUCUAAAAAGCAUGGAAAAAUAGCCCCUAAAACAUAGGCAUUUCUAAAACGGCAUACGGGCAAUCCGGACUUGCACGAAAAUAAUUACGGGCACUAAGCUAAUGGGACAGCACGGUAAACAAGGCAUUUGGCACGUUAAACUACGUCAAAUAAAUGUGCAAGUUUUAAAUUCGUAUUCUACGCGCGAAACUACCACAAAACCAUACCAAAUUCAUCGCGAUCCGAAUUACGGUUAAAAAGUUACGGGCGUUUAACUACAUGUCUAAAUCCUGAAAAAAAAAUAUUCUCAGGAAAAUCCUAAUAAGCAAACGGGCCGAAUCUGGAGGCGCAAUUUAGCUGAACAGGGCAUGGGCGAAAACUAGAGGACUCGGGGGGUCUGCUCACCUUAGCAGGCCUCGGCCUGGUCGGUGCACUGCUGGGCCGAGGGGGCGUCGGGUGGAGCAGGGCUGCGGCACAGGCGAAGGCAGCAGGGCGAUUGGGCCGACCUGGAGCCUCGGCCUGGCAGACCGAGCUGGCCUCUGCGGGGCGCCUGGCCUGGCUCGCUGGGCCUCUGGUGGGAGGCCGGCCCAGUCGAAGCGAGGCGGCCCAGGCACGCGAGUUGGCUCGGACGAGGGAGGCGUGCUCCUCACGCACAGCCAUGGCGGCGCAGAACAGGAACCGGCAGCGCCAAGGGAAGGCCAGAUCCCGGCGGCGAGGGCAAGGGGAGGCCAGAUCCGGCCGGCCCCGGGCGGAUCCGGGCACCGGGGAUCCGUUCCCGGCGGUGCACCAGGCGGCCCGCGACUCGAGGAGCGUCGCGGCGGGCAGAGGGCGGCGCAAACGGGACAGGGAGGUGGCGAGGAGCUGCGGCUCGGCUCUCCGCGAGCUACAGCCGGCGGCGGGCAGUGGCAUCCCCGGAGCGGCGCGGGCAGGCCGGCGGCGGAGGAAGCUGCGCGGCUCGGGGCAGCUCGGGAACGGCACGAGCUCGGGGCGAGGCUGCCCGGCUGGGGCUCGGGAGCCAGAACGGGGCGGCGGCGGCUCGGAUGGGCUCGGGCGGGCCUUGUGCGGGCUCGCGGGCUAGGGUUUCGGGGGUAGGCACGGAUUUCGAGGAGGAGAGAGAGGGGGUUUGUCUAAAAAUAAUAGGAGGGGCUAUAUAUAGACAAACGGGGGGGCUCGGUUAACCGGAAUCGCGCUCCGGAUCCAACCGCGGGGUCGGAUUCGGACGAUUCCAAACGCGGGAACGGGUACGUGGCCGUGUAGAGGGGUUAUCAGGAGACGAGAGGGAGAACGGGCGACGCGGCACGAAUUUUAAAACACCGACAGACGUUCGACGGUAGCCCGAAUACGGUGCCGCUACGGUCGACCGUUCGGGUACCAGACGGUCUCCGAUCGCGACGAAAUUCGACAGGCGGCCUAGCUCUAACUAAUCACGACCGCACGUCAAAUCUCAACCCGAUCAAAGAAAGUUUUAAACGCACUUUAAAAACAGGGUUUCGGCGGUGCCGCGGGCGCGUGCGUGUGCGGUCGGACUCAGAACGGACAACGACGAGAACCGGCAACUACUAGCGGAUGCAAUUUUUUAAAACGGGCGGCAACGGAUACGCCGAUGCAAUGCAGAUGAUGCGCAUGAUGCGAUGAUGAUGCGACAAAUAAAAAUAGACACACGACGAAAACGGAAAGAGAGGGGAAUCUUCUGGAACAUCGGCAUCGGGCUGUCACAGAAAGACAAGGGAUAAAUCAAAUCCACGCGAGAAAGGACGGAGGAGCAACCUGAGAGGGAUCCCGUAAAGGGUACGGACGGAGGAGAAGGGGAUCCGCGGAGGAGAUCGGUCGAUCUCGAAGAGGGCGGCGUUGGGGAGGAGCUCCUCGAGCUGCUCCCAGGGCUGGCGGCGGCGGCUGGGGGAAGUGGGGCGCAGGGGAUUAGGGUAAAAGACCCAGCCCCGCGCCCAGCUUUAUAUAGGGUCCCCGAGGUGUCGGACGUCCGAGAGGUGUCGGACGGCCGGUGGAUGAUCUGGCGUCGGACGUCCGAGAGGCGUCGGACGUCCGGAAGAUUUUCUGGCGCCGAACGUCCGGAGUGAGCCGGACGUCCGAGAUAGUGAGGGGGGGGGGUAGUUCUGGUAAUUUUGUUGUGAUGAUGAUGACUUUCAUGGUAUAUAUAUAUAAAACAAACUAUGAUCACUGGUUUUUCUAGAAGCAUUACAUGCAUGAAAUGAUCUGUGCGUACGUUGUAAGCUUAAAAACACAUAGAAUUACGACGCACUCCCCCUAAAUAUAUGCGCACAUCAAGACACAACCAUAAUGUGAGUGUAUGUAUGUGUGCAAGAUUUCAAGAUAUGUUGUCAAGCUCCAAGAUACCAAGUUCAUGCCUAAGUUGACAGAACCUAGCUACGCUAAGUGGCUUGGUGAAAAUGUCGGCUAACUGCAUGUCGGUACCCACAUGGGUAAUAUCAAUGUCACCCUUUUGCACAUGGUCUCUCAAGAAAUGAUACCUAAUAUCAAUAUGUUUUGUGCGAGGGUGAUCAAUGGGGUUUACGGAGAUCUUUAUGGCACUUUCAUUAUCACAGAGAAGAGGAACGUGUCGAUACAUGAUACCAUAAUCCUUCAGUGUUUGCCUCAUCCAUAGCAAUUGAGUAGCACAGCUUGCGGCUGCAAUAUAUUCGGCCUCGGCCGUGGAGAGAGAAACACAGUUCUGCUUCUUCGAGGACCAACUUACCAACGAGCGUCCAAGAAACUGACAUGCACCGGAAGUGGAUUUCCGUCCCACUUUAUCACCGGACCAAUCCGCAUCAGAAUACCCAAUAAGAUCAAACUUUGCAUCCUUAGGGUACCAUAAGCCUAACUUUGGGGUGUGAACAAGGUAUCUAAGAAUGUGCUUAACCGCCGUGUGAUGGCUUUCCAUAGGGGAAGCUUGAAAUCUAGCACAUAUUCCUACACUUAACAUGAUGUCCGGUCUAGAUGCGCUAAGGUAAAGCAACGAACCAAUCAUGGAGCGAUAAGUAGAUGGGUCAAAAGGAAUACCGUUUGAGUCUUCAUUUAGAACUACAUCGGUGGCCAUGGGCGUGUUCAUUGGUUUAGCAUUUGUCAUAUCAAAUUUCUCAAGAAUGUCCUUGAGAUACUUCGUUUGAGACAAGAAAAUCCCUUCUUGAAAUUGUUGUAUUUGAAAACCAAGAAAGAACUUCAAGUCCGUGUUGAGUGACAUCUCAAAGGUCUUGGUCAUGGAGGCCGCAAAUUUCUUGCACAAAUGGAUGUUAGGAGAACCAAAAAUGAUGUCAUCUACAUAGAUUUGGCAUAAGAUCAAAUCACCAUUUUCCCUCUUAGUAAAAAGAGUGGGAUCGAUCACCCCCACCACAAAGCCAUCAUCGAGUAGGAACUUCUUAAGAUGAUCGUACCAAGCACGAGGUGCUUGUUUAAGACCAUAAAGUGCCUUGUGAAGUUUAUAUACAUGGUCUUUGUGAUGAGGGUCAACAAACCCAGGUGGUUGUGAUACAUAUACUUCUUCUUGUAGAGGACCGUUAAGAAAAGCACUUUUCACAUCCAUUUGAUGCAAGGUAAAACCAUUGAAAGUAGCAUAGGCCAAUAAAAUGCGAAUGGACUCAAGACGAGCAACAGGGGCGAAAGUUUCACCAAAGUCCAAACCUUCAACUUGGGAGUACCCCUGUGCUACUAACCUUGCCUUGUUGCAUAGAACAAUCCCAUUCUCAUCUUCCUUGUUCUUGAAGAUCUAUUUAGUUCCAAUAACAUUAUGUUCUUCAGUUGGUCGUUCUACCAAUGACCAUACUUCAUUGCGUUCCAAUAACAUUAUGUUCUUCAGUUGGUCGUUCUACCAAUGACCAUACUUCAUUGCGUGUGAAACUGUUUAGCUCUUCCUGCAUAGCAAGUAGCCAGUCGUUGUCACAUAGUGCAUCCUGAACCCUGUGUGGCACGGUACUAGAGACAAACGAAAAGUGAGCACAAAAGUUUGUUAAUUGUUUACGAGUCACUCUACCUUCCGAUACGCCUGUGAGGAUUUGAUCAAUAUCAACACGACCGACCACACGUGGCAUGAUGGAGGUCAAGGUUUCACGAGGUUCUACUUCGUUUCCAUCAUCAAUGUCCUCAACAUAUGGAUCAUUUAUGUGCGGAGGAAGAUAUUCCUCUUCGCGUUGCACCUGUUGAGGUUCAUCAUCAAGCAUGUCCAUACUUUGGUCUAUCUCUUGAGGAUCAACUUGUUCUUGAGUGUCAUCUCCUACUUGAUCCUCAACAACUGGCAUGAUGGGUGUGCUAGUAUCUUGUGGAGGUACGGGCAGUGAACCGUCUUGAGGAUGCGAGAUGUUCUCAUCAUCUUCAUCAUCAUCAUGGGGUCUUUGUUCCAUAGGCAAAAGUGCACCUACACCCAUGUUUAAGAUAUCUUGUGGGGAGUCUUCUUCACCUACAUCAUUUAGAUCAACUUGCUCCCCAUGGGAGCGGUUAAAUUCAUCAAACGUCACGUCACAGGUUUCUAUAACACAUCCAGUGGAUUUGUUGUAGACUCUGUAGGCGUGAGAGUUUGAUCCAUAGCCAACAAAAAUCCCCUCAGUUGUUUUGGAUUGAAAUUUUCCUAACCGUUCCCGUUUGUUGAGGAUGAAGCAUUUGCAUCCAAACACACGAAAGUACUUAACAUUGGGCUUGUUCCCAGUUAGGAGCUCAUACGGAGUUUUCUCCAAUAUUGAUCGGAGGAAGAGCCGGUUUGAUGCAUGACAUGCUGUGUUGACGGCCUCAGCCCAAAAGCUAUGUGGUGACUUGUAUUCAUCUAACAUGGACCUUGCCAUUUCCACAAGUGUCCGGUUCUUCCUUUCUGCCACACCAUUUUGUUGGGGAGUGUAAGGUGCGGAGUACUGAUGUUCAAUCCCCUCAUCACUCAGAAAUUCUUCUAGGGUGUAGUUCUUGAACUCAGAGCCAUUAUCACUUCUUACUGCCUUAAUGUGCUUGUCAAACUUCCGCUGGGCUUAUUUGGCAAAAUCAAUGAAAGUGGCCUUUGUCUCGUCCUUGGACUUGAGAAAGAACACCCAUGUAUAUCUUGAGUAAUCAUCAACAAUGUCUAGGCCAUACUUUUUCCCUCCAAGACUUGCCCAUGAAGGAGGCCCGAAUAGAUCCACAUGAAGGAGCUCUAACGACCUCGAAGUGGAUACAACAUUCUUGGGUGGAUGUCUUGAUUGAUGUUGCUUCCCAACUAUGCAUGCACUGCACACACGAUCUUUCUUAAAAGAUACAUUUGUUAGUCCAAGGAUGUGAUUACCGUUUAAGAGAUUUUGAAGAUUUUUCAUGCCAACAUGGGCGAGCCGGCGAUGCCACAGCCAUCCCAUGUCGGCCUUGGCCAUUAGACAAGUUGUAUGGAAAGUGCUCUCUUUCGAGAAAUCAACCGUGUAAAGGUUGCCAUCCAACUCUCCAACAAAAGCCACUUCAAGAGUGUCUCUCUUAAAGACUUUCACAUCCGUUAGUCCAAAUAGUGUGUCAUAACCGACGGAAGCCAAUUGGCGAACUGAAAGUAAAUGAUAUUGAAGAGAUUGAACAAGCAUGACAUUUGCAAUAGACAUGUCAUUAGUGAUUGCCACCUUGCCCAACCCAAUUACCUGCCCUUUCGACCCUCCACCAAAUACAAUGCUCAUGUAUGGUCGAAUGGCUUGCAUGAAGUCAUAGAGCAAGUUACUAUCUCCGGUCAUAUGAUUGGUGCAUCCACUGUCGAUCACCCAUUUUGCUCCACCGGAGAAAAUAGCCUGUAAAGAAUUAAGACUUGGUUUGAGGUACCCAUUUUGUCAUGGGGCCUUUCACAUUAGUUACAAGAGUCUUAGGGACCCAAAUAGCAUAGAAUCGAAAUGCAUUACGGGACCAACGAAUUUAGCAUAGACCUCUCCUUCCUUUGAUUUGCGUAGUACAUAGGAUGGCGGCAUGAAUUCAGUUGUCUUGUUGUGAGCAGACGGACCCCUAGUGGCCGAUCCACUCACAACCUUACCUUUCUCCGUGUGUCCCUCUGGUACAAAUAUUUCCUUAAGAGGAGUGGUACACUUCAGAGGAGAUGCACUUUUCUUGGCAGUACUUGGGUUGAACCCAAGCCCUUCCUUUGCGACACCUCCAUUGUGUCGACUUAAGAUCUCAUUGAGAGUCUUUUGUCCUUGUGCACAUGUCAUGAGACCUCUGUCUAGCUGUGCCCUUAAUGAACAGUUUUCCUCACGGAUAGAUGUCAGUUCACUACUAGGGUUAGUAGUGUAGGUAUCAACAUUGAUAAUAGGUGAGGAGUAGGCCUUAGCUAGAGUGUCAAGAUAAGUGACCUUAAGUGCCUCAAAGCUCUUUGUAAGAGCAGUGAGUUUUUCUUCCUUGUCUUUGAGAGAUAAGGAUAGACGCUCACAGUCCUUAGAAAGAGAAGCAUGAGAGUUCACAAGUCGGUCUUUAUCAUUUAGUAAUUCUCUGCACACAUUUUCAGCCUUUUUCAAGGAGGCAAGAUCAUUAGCAUGUUUAUCAAGGUUUUCACCUACUUUUGAACAUAAUGCAUCAUUUUGUGCUUCCUCAUAAAGGACUUUCUGCUCAAGGAGUUCAUUUCUCUCCUUCUCCUCAGUGACGAGGGUUUCGAGUUCCUUGAUGGUAUUGGUGUGCUUACUCACCAUUUCCAUAAGUAUACGAAACAUAGUGAGCUUCUUUCCUUUGAGAGAGCCCAUAAAUUUGUUCAUUUUAGCAAACAUGGGAUGAUCUAAAUCGUUAUCCUCAUAAUGAUCUUCCGCAUCAAGAUACUCAUCAGAAGGGGUAGAAGCUAGACUGAAGGAGUUUAGCCGUGGGGUUACCUUAACCUUAUCAUGGGAGCUUUGGUCUUCCCCAUCUCCCAUGGCAGUCUUUGCCAUCAGACACUUGUGAGCGUUGCCCUUGUAGUCCUUCAUAUAGUUGUAGUGAACAACAUCACCACUUUUGUUGACUAGCCUCAAAGUACUCUGUGUAUCUUGAGCUACUCCGGCAACUCCACCAACAUCUUCUGGAUCUGAUUCUUCUUGAGCAACCAUUGCUCUUCCAUCUGUCCUUUUGGACUUGGAGUUCAUGGGGUUCGGUAACUUCUUCUUUACGAAGGUCUUUGGAAACCUUGGUUUGUCUUCUCUCUUCUCAUAAGGGCAGUCGUUGGAGAAGUGGUUGGUUUCCUCACAGUUGUAGCAUUUUCUUACCUUCUUCUUUGGAAAUCUUCCCUUGAACUUCCCUGCACUGAACUUCUUCACAAAGAGGGCAAUGUCCUCAAAAGAUGGGCUUUCAUCAGAGUCAACAUCAUCACCAUCUUGACAGUCAUCAUCACCUUCUUCUUCUUCACUUUCUUCUUCGUCAUACUCAUGCUUGGCUUUCAAAGCAAGGUUGAUCUUUGAUGUUGAAGUGCCAUGCAUGGCUAGGUGCUUUGUUGCAUUUGCCUUUGACUCUUCAAAUAGUUGGAAAGUGGAUAUGAUGUCAUCCGGAGUCAUUUCUUUGAAGGCAUGAUGCUGUCUCAUGUCCCAUACCAUUUGAUGGUGAUAUGGAGCAAGAGCGUGAAGUAACUUGUCCACAAGAAAUCUCUUGGUCAAAUUGAAACCAUCUUGCGUCUUGUCACAGUCACAUGACUCAAUGUCUGCGGCGAGAGUCAUGAGCCGUUCUAGUAGUUGCUUGGGAGAUUCACCCUUUUCCAUACAAAAAUUCUGUAAUUGCCCCUUGGCAAUUUCAUAUUGAGCAAGCCGAAGAGUGGAGGUACCGGUCUUGGUCCUUAUGAUGCUGUCCCACAAUUCCUUGGCACUUGUGAUGUGAAUGUAAGGUCUUCGUUGCUUGUCAUUCAUCCCCUUUAUUAUGCACAUGAUUGCAGUGUCAUUGAGAUGCUUGUCAUAAGUUUCUCUGGGCGUGAGGCAUCUUGGAUCAACAGGAUUGUACCCAUGCUCGAGGAUGUCCAGCAUCUCAUCAUUGGCAUACCUAAGAUGAUCCUGCAUACCAACUCUCCACAAAGCAAAAUCGGAAUUGUCAUCAAGCAAGGGAGGUUUUCCUCCAGGAUUGUACUUAGGUUUCUCAAUUUGAGACUUAGCAUAAAGCCAUGGAACACUGGUUUGGUUCCUCUCCGGAGGAGGUUGGCCAAAUGAAGUACCGUGCACGUGGGGCCCUGAGGCCCUCGGGGACGUGGUUGUCCCCGUGGUUAGUGCUACUAGUCUCAUUUGGAUCAUGGACUCAAGAGAAGCAUCAUGCUCCUCUUUUUGCUUGGCAAGGGCCCGUUCCAGGUCCUCAGAGGUGAAAGACUUGACUUCCGCGGAAGUCCCGUCCCUCUGCACUGGAGCUACUGUAGCUGGAUCCAUGUCCAUCUCGCUCUAGGGCGGUUAAGCCACACAAAUAGAGCACGAGGCUCUGAUACCAAUUGAAAAGGAUCGAGAUGGACCUAGAGGGGGGGGGUGAAUAGGUACAAAUCCAAAUUUUAACAAUUACUUAGAAAUUUUAGGCUAAAGUGCGGAAUAUAAGUGUAAGCCUAAUAAUUGCUAUGACAAAGAGUAAGCUUAUUAGGAGUGAAGCAAGGCAAGCGGUAAACAAUAAGCAAAUACAAGUAUGUAAUAAGGAUUAACACAAGUAGAGAGUUAGGGUUAGGAAUAACCGAAACUCCGAGAGUGACAAGGAUGUAUCCCGAUGUUCACUUCCUUGGAGGGAAGCUACGUCACCGUUAGAGGGGCGGAUGUUACCACGAAGGCACACCAACGCCACGAAGGCUCACCCUAUUCUCCCUUUGAGAUAACNNNNNNNNNNNNNNNNNNNNNNNNNNNNNNNNNNNNNNNNNNNNNNNNNNNNNNNNNNNNNNNNNNNNNNNNNNNNNNNNNNNNNNNNNNNNNNNNNNNNGGGAGAGGAUCCAGUGCACUUGGCACCACUCCAAGAUCCGUCAUGAACUGCUUCAUCCAGACACCCUCCUUAGCCGCCUCCGAGGCAGCCAUGUACUCCGCUUCACAUGUAGAAUCUGCUACGACGCUUUGCUUGGAACUGCACCAGCUUACUGCACCCCCAUUAAGAAUAAAUACGUAUCCGGUUUGCGACUUAGAGUCGUCCGGAUCUGUGUCAAAGCUUGCAUCGACGUAACCUUUUACGGCGAGCUCUUCGUCACCUCCAUACACGAGAAACAUCUCCUUAGUCCUUUUCAGGUACUUCAGGAUAUUCUUGACCACCGUCCAGUGAUCCACUCCUGGAUUACUCUGGAACCUACCUGCCAUACUUAUGGCCAGGCUAACAUCCGGUCUAGUGCACAGCAUUGCAUACAUGAUAGAGCCUAUGGCUGAAGCAUAGGGGACGGAGCGCAUAUGCUCUCUAUCUUCAUCAGUUGCUGGGCACUGAGUCUUACUCAAUCUCGUACCUUGUAACACUGGCAAGAACCCUUUCUUGGACUGUUCCAUUUUGAACCUCUUCAAAACUUUAUCAAGGUAUGUGCUUUGUGAAAGUCCUAUCAGGCGUUUUGAUCUAUCCCUAUAGAUCUUAAUGCCUAGAAUGUAAGCAGCUUCUCCUAGGUCCUUCAUAGAGAAACUUUUAUUCAAGUAACCUUUUAUGCUCUCCAAAAGCUCUACGUUGUUUCCAAUCAGUAAUAUGUCAUCCACAUAUAAUAUUAGAAACGCCACAGAGCUCCCACUCACUUUCUUGUAAAUACAAGAUUCUCCAACCACUUGUAUAAACCCAAAUGCUUUGAUCACCUCAUCAAAGCGUUUGUUCCAACUCCGAGAUGCUUGCACCAGUCCAUAAAUGGAUCGCUGGAGUUUGCACACCUUGUCAGCAUUUUUAGGAUCGACAAAACCUUCGGGUUGCAUCAUAUACAACUCUUCCUUAAGGAAACCGUUAAGGAACGCCGUUUUGACAUCCAUCUGCCAGAUUUCAUAAUCGAAAAAUGCAGCUAUUGCUAACAUGAUUCUGACGGACUUAAGCAUCGCUACGGGAGAGAAAGUCUCAUCGUAGUCAAUUCCUGGAACUUGUGAAAAACCCUUUGCCACAAGUCGAGCUUUAUAGACGGUCACAUUACCGUCAGCGUCCGUCUUCUUCUUAAAGAUCCAUUUGUUCUGAAUAGCCUUGCGGCCCUCAGGCAGUAUCUCCAAAGUCCACACUUUGUUCUCAUACAUGGAUCCUAUCUCGGAUUUCAUGGCUUCUAGCCAUUUGUUGGAAUCUGGGCCCACCAUUGCUUCUUCAUAAUUUGCAGGUUCAUUGUUGUCUAACAACAUGAUUGAUAAGACGGGAUUACUGUACCACUCUGGAGCAGCGCGUGAUCUCGUUGACCUGCGUGGUUCAACAGAAACUUGAACUGGAGUUUCAUGAUCAUCAUCAUUAACUUCCUCCUCAACCGGUGUUGCAAUGACAGAGGUUUCCCCUUGCCCUGCGCCACCAUGCAGAGGGAUGAGAGGUUCGACAACCUCGUCAAGUUCUAUCUUCCUCCCACUCAAUUCUCUCGAGAGAAACUCCUUCUCGAGAAAAGUUCCGUUCUUAGCAACAAACACUUUGCCCUCGGUUUUGAGAUAGAAGGUGUACCCAACUGUCUCUUUUGGGUAACCUAUGAAGACGCACCUCUCCGCUUUGGGUUCCAGCUUUUCAGGCUGAAGCUUUUUGACAUAAGCAUCACAUCCCCAAACUUUAAGAAACGACAACUUUGGCCUUUUGCCGUACCACAGUUCGUAUGGUGUCGUCUCAACGGAUUUUGAUGGUGCCCUAUUUAAAGUGAAUGCAGCUGUUUCUAAUGCAUAACCCCAAAACGAUAACGGCAAAUCAGUAAGAGACAUCAUAGAUCGCACCAUUUCUAACAAAGUACGAUUACGACGUUCGGACACACCAUUACGCUGUGGUGUUCCAGGCGGUGUUAACUGCGAAACAAUUCCACAUUGUCUUAAGUGAGUACCAAACUCGAAACUCAGAUAUUCACCCCCACGAUCAGACCGUAGGAAUUUGAUCUUCUUGUUAUGAUGAUUUUCCACUUCACUCUGAAAUUGCUUGAACUUUUCAAAUGUUUCAGACUUGUGCUUCAUCAAGUAGACAUAACCAUAUCUACUUAAAUCGUCAGUGAAGGUGAGAAAAUAACGAUAUCCGCCGCGUGCCUCCACGCUCAUUGGACCACACACAUCGGUAUGUAUGAUUUCCAACAAGUCACUUGCACGCUCCAUUGUUCCGGAGAACGGAGUCUUAGUCAUCUUGCCCAUGAGGCAUGGUUCGCACGUGUCAAGUGAAUCAAAGUCAAGUGACUCCAAAAGUCCAUCAGCAUGGAGUUUCUUCAUGCGCUUUACACCAAUAUGACCCAAGCGGCAGUGCCACAAAAAUAUGGCGCUAUCAUUGUUUACUCUUACUCUUUUGGCCUCAAUGUUAUGUAUAUGCGUAUCUCUAUCAAGAUUCAAUAUGAACAAUCCUCUCACAUUUGGUGCAUGACCAUAAAAGAUGUUACUCAUAGAAAUAGAACAACCAUUAUUCUCAGACUUAAAAGAGUAACCGUCUCGCAAUAAACAAGAUCCAGAUAUAAUGUUCAUGCUCAACGCAGGCACUAAAUAACAAUGAUUUAAGUUCAUCACUAAUCCCGAUGGUAGUUGAAGUGACACUGUGCCGACGGCGAUUGCAUCAACCUUGGAACCGUUUCCUACGCGCAUCGUCACUUCGUGUUUCGCCAGCCUUCGUCUAUUCCGCAGUUCCUGCUUCGAGUUGCAAAUGUGAGCAACAGAACCGGUAUCGAAUACCCAGGCACUACUACGAGAGCCGGUUAAGUACACAUCAAUAACAUGUAUAUCAAAUAUACCUGAUUUUUCUUUGCCCGCCUUCUUAUCUGCCAGAUACUUGGGGCAAUUGCGCUUCCAGUGACCCAUACCCUUGCAAUAGAAGCACUCUGUUUCAGGCUUAGGUCCAGCCUUGGGUUUCUUCGGCGGAUUGGCAACAGGCUUGCCUCUCUUCUUCGAAUUGCCCUUCUUGCCUUUGCCGUUUCUCUUGAAACUAGUGGUCUUGCUCACCAUCAACACUUGAUGCUCUUUACGGAGUUCAGACUCUGCGACUUUCAGCAUCACAAACAACUCGCCGGGAGACUUGUUCAUCCCUUGCAUGUUGUAGUUCAACACAAAGCCUUUAUAGCUUGGCGGAAGUGAUUGAAGGAUUCUGUCAGUGAUAGCUUCUUGCGGGAGUUCAAUCCCCAGUUCAGCUAGACGGUUUGAGUACCCAGACAUUUUGAGCACAUGUUCACUGACAGAUGAGUUUUCCUCCAUCUUGCAAGCAUAGAAUUUAUCGGAGGUCUCAUACCUCUCGAUCCGGGCGUUCUUCUGAAAGAUAAACUUCAACUCCUGGAACAUCUCAAAUGCUCCAUGACGCUCAAAGCGACGUUGAAGUCCCGGUUCCAAGCCAUACAAGACUGCACAUUGAACUAUUGAGUAGUCCUCCUUACGUGCUAACCAAGCGUUCUUAACAUCCUGAUCAGCCGUAGCGGGUGGUUCAUCUCCUAGCGCAGCAUUAAGGACAUAAUCCUUCUUUCCAGCUUGUAAGAUUAGCUUAAGAUUACGAGCCCAGUCUACAAAGUUGCUUCCAUCAUCUUUCAACUUAGCUUUCUCUAUGAACGUAUUAAAAUUCAGGAUGACACUUGCGUGAGCCAUGAUCUACAACACAAAUAUAUUCAAAGUGGACUUAGACUAUGUUCAAGAUAAUUAGAGUUCAACUUAAUCAAAUUAUAUGCUAAACUCCCACUCAAAAAGUACAUCUCUCUAGUCAUUUGAGUGGUUCAUGAUCCACUUACACUAUCCCAAGUCCGAUCAUCACGUGAGUCGAGAGUAGUUUCAGUGGUAAGCAUCCCUAUGCUAAUCAUAUCAACUGUAUGAUUCAUGAUCGACCUUUCGGUCUCAUGUGUUCCGAGGCCAUGUCUGCACAUGCUAGGCUCGUCAAGCUUAACCCGAGUGUUCCGCGUGCGCAACUGUUUUGCACCCGUUGUAUGUGAACGUUGAGUCUAUCACACCCGAUCAUCACGUGGUGUCUCGAAACGACGAACUGUAGCAACGGUGCACAGUCGGGGAGAACACAAUUUCGUCUUGAAAUUUUUAGUGAGAGAUCACCUCAUAAUGCUACCGUCGUUCUAAGCAAAAUAAGGUGCAUAAAAGGAUUAACAUCACAUGCAAUUCAUAAGUGACAUGAUAUGGCCAUCAUCUCGUGCUUCUUGAUCUCCAUCGCCAAAGCACCGGCACGAUCUUCUUGUCACCGGCGCCACACCAUGAUCAUCCAUCAACGUGUUGCCAUCGGGGUUGUCGUGCUACUUAUGCUAUUACUACUAAAGCUACAUCCUAGCAAAAUAGUAAACGCAUCUGCAAGCACAUAUGUUAGUAUAAAGACAACCCUAUGGCUCCUGCCGGUUGCCGUACCAUCGACGUGCAAGUCGAUAUUUCUAUUACAACAUGAUCAUCUCAUACAUCCAAUAUAUCACAUCACAUCGUUGGCCAUAUCACAUCACAAUCAUACCCUGCAAAAACAAGUUAGACGUCCUCUAAUUUUGUUGUUGCAUGUUUUACGUGGUGACCAAGGGUAUCUAGUAGGAUCGCAUCUUACUUACGCAAACACCACAACGGAGAUAUAUGAUUUGCUAUUUAACCUCAUCCAAGGACCUCCUCGGUCAAAUCCGAUUCAACUAAAGUUGGAGAAACCGUCACUUGCCAGUCAUCUUUGAGCAAAGGGGGUUACUCGUAACGAUGAAACCAGUCUCUCGUAAGCGUACGAGUAAUGUCGGUCCAAGCCGCUUCAAUCCAACAAUACCGCGGAAUCAAGAAAAGACUAAGGAGGGCAGCAAAACGCACAUCACCGCCCACAAAACCUUUUGUGUUCUACUCGAGAAGACAUCUACGCAUGAACCUAGCUCAUGAUGCCACUGUUGGGGAACGUCGCAUGGGAAACAAAAAUUUUCCUACGCGCACGAAGACCUAUCAUGGUGAUGUCCAUCUACGAGAGGGGAUGAGUGAUCUACGUACCCUUGUAGAUCGUACAGCAGAAGCGUUAGAGAACGCGGUUGAUAUAGUGGAACGUCCUCACGUCCCUCGAUCCGCCCCGCGAACAAUCCCGCGAUCAGUCCCACGAUCUAGUACCGAACGGACGGCACCUCCGCGUUCAGCACACGUACAGCUCGACGAUGAUCUCGGCCUUCUUGAUCCAGCAAGAGAGACGGAGAGGUAGAAGAGUUCUCCGGCAGCGUGACGGCGCUCCGGAGGUUGGUGAUGAUCCUGUCUCAGCAGGGCUCCGCCCGAGCUCCGCAGAAACACGAUCUAGAGGAAAAACUAUGGAGGUAUGUGGUCGGGCAGCCGUGAGAAAGUCGUCUCAAAUCUUCCCUAAAAGCCCCAUAUAUAUAGGAGGAGGGAGGGGGACCUUGCCUUGGGGUCCAAGGGAUCCCCAAGGGGUCGGCCGAGCCAGGGGGGAGGACUGUCCCCCCCCCCCCAAACCGAGUCCUACUUGGUUUGGUGGGAGGGAGCCCUUCCCCCUUCCCACUUCUUCCUUUUUUUUUCCUUUGAUUUUUUCUCUCUUGGCGCAUAGGGCAUUGGUGGGCUGUCCCACCAGCCCACUAAGGGCUGGUGUGACCCCCAAAUGCCUAUGGGCUUCCCCGGAGUGGGUUGCCCCCCUCCGGUGAACUCCCGGAACCCAUUCGUCAUUCCCGGUACAUUCCCGGUAACUCCGAAAACCUUCCGGUAAUCAAAUGAGGUCAUCCUAUAUAUCAAUCUUCGUUUCCGGACCAUUCCGGAAACCCUCGUGACGUCCGUGAUCUCAUCCGGGACUCCGAACAACAUUCGGUAACCAACCAUAUAACUCAAAUACGCAUAAAACAACGUCGAACCUUAAGUGUGCAGACCCUGCGGGUUCGAGAACUAUGUAGACAUGACCCGAGAGACUCCUCGGUCAAUAUCCAACAGCGGGACCUGGAUGCCCAUAUUGGAUCCUACAUAUUCUAUGAAGAUCUUAUCGUUUGAACCUCAGUGCCAAGGAUUCGUACAAUCCCGUAUGUCAUUCCCUUUGUCCUUCGGUAUGUUACUUGCCCGAGAUUCGAUCGUCAGUAUCCGUAUACCUAUUUCAACCUCGUUUACCGGCAAGUCUCUUUACUCGUUCCGUAAUACAAGAUCCCGCAACUUACACUAAGUUACAUUGCUUGCAAGGCUUGUGUGUGAUGUUGUAUUACCGAGUGGGCCCCGAGAUACCUCUCCGUCACACGGAGUGACAAAUCCCAGUCUUGAUCCAUACUAACUCAACUAACACCUUCGGAGAUACCUGUAGAGCAUCUUUAUAGUCACCCAGUUACGUUGCAACGUUUGAUACACACAAAGCAUUCCUCCGGUGUCAGUGAGUUAUAUGAUCUCAUGGUCAUAGGAAUAAAUACUUGACACGCAGAAAACAGUAGCAACAAAAUGACACGAUCAACAUGCUACGUCUAUUAAUUUGGGUCUAGUCCAUCACGUGAUUCUCCCAAUGACGUGAUCCAGUUAUCAAGCAACAACACCUUGUCCUUAAUCAGAAGACACUGACUAUCAUUGAUCAACUGGCUAGCCAACUAGAGGCAUGCUAGGGACGGUGUUUUGUCUAUGUAUCCACACAUGUAAAUGAGUCUUCAUUCAAUACAAUUAUAGCAUGGAUAAUAAACUAUUAUCUUGAUACAGGAAUUAUAAUAAUAACUAUACAUUUAUUAUUGCCUCUAGGGCAUAAUUCCAACAUCCUUCCCCGGUAACGACGCCAGAAAAAGCUGCUGCUAGCAGUCCUCGGCAACGACACUAGAAAAAUGUUGUUGACGUGUUCCUGACUUGAUGCCUCCACGGCAACAGAGCCAGAACUGCUCCCAGUUGCUCAACAAUUAGCAAUUGUCUUGCCAUGGACCACCAGCGCGUGGGUUCGCGGCAGUUUUCGGGGGUAGAGUAUUCAACCCAAUUUGUUGAUUCGCCCGUCGGGAAGUGAAAGGAUACUCUCAAGUAUCAGCAGCUGAAUGUGUCAGUUUCAACCGCACCUGAAAGAUUAGUAUCUGCAAGCAAAGUAUCAGCAGCAAAGUAGUAUGAUAAAAACGGUGUCAGAAACGAUCUGUUGACGGCAGACUAUUCCCAACGGUUGUAUCAAUGGCGCCAGAAGUUGCCCGUGGAAGGGAAGUAGUCUUUUCCCGGCAACGUCGAGAGAACAAGCAUUGUAGCAGGUAGGAGUAGUGUAACGAGUAACUGAAGUGGCAAGGAACAGCAGUAGUGACGGCAGUAGCAAGUAGCAACAGUAGUGGGACAAACUCGUAGGCAAUGGGUCGGUGAUUCGUUUGGAUGACAUUCAUCAUGCAACAGUUAUAACACGGAGAGAUAUGUGGCUAGCUCCCGUUCGUCAAUGUGAUGUAGGCAUGCAUUCCGUGUGUAGUCAUACGUGCUUAGGGAAAAGAACUUGCAUGACAUCUAUUGUCCAUCCCUCCCGUGGCAGCGGGGUCCAAAAGGAUGCUACGGGAUAUUAAGGUUCUCCUUUUAAUAAAGAACCGGAACAACGCAUUAGCACUUGGUGAACACAUGAACUCCACAAACUAUGGUCAUCACCGGGAGUGGUUCCGGUUAUUGUCACUCCGGGGUUGCCGGGUCAUAACACAUAGUAGGUAACUACAACUUGCAAGAUAGGAUCUAAAACACACAUAUAUUGGUGACAACAUAAUAAUUUCAGAUCUGAAAUCAUGGCACUCGGGCCCUAGUGACAAGCAUUAAGCAUCGCAAAGUAGUAGCAACAUCAACCUCAGAACAUAGUGGAUACUAGGGAUCAAUCCCCGUCAAAACUAACUUAAUUACAUGAUAGAUCUCAUCCUACUCAUCACCGCCCAGCAAGCCUACGAAUAGAUUACUCACGAACGAUGAAGAGCUUAUGGAAUUGGAGAGGGAAGAAGGUUGAUGAUGACGAUGGCGACGAUUUCCCCUCUCCGGAGCCCAAAACGGACUCCAGAUCUGCCCUCCAGAUGAAGAACAGGAUGUGGCGGCGCCUCCGUAUCGCAAACGCGAUGAAAUCUUCUCUCCUUAUUUUUUUCUGGACGAAAGUGAAUUUAUAGAGCUGGAGUUGGGGGCGGCAGACCCACAUGGGCCCCACAAGCUUGGUUGCCGUGACCAGGGGGGCCGCGGCAACAGGGCUUUUGGCCGACUCGCACAACCCCUCCGGUGGAUCUUUGCGCAGGUAUUUUUCAUAUUUUCCUGAAAUAUUCUCAGUAAUUUUUCAGGACGUUCCGAGAACUUUCAUUUCUGCACAAAAACAACACCAUGGCAAUUCUGCUGAAAACAACGUUAGUCCGGGUUAGUUCCAUUCAAAUCAUGCAAAUUAGAGUCCAAAACAAGGGCAAAAGAGUUUGGAAAAGUAGAUACGAUGGAGACGUAUCAGUGUGCAAGGUGAUUUCUUCGGAGAAGGGCGUGAACCGGAUCGUGAUGCGACAUCUCAUGAACUGAAGUUGUUGCAACUGAAUGCACAAGCGUGCAACAUCAUCAUCAACUGUCUAUGCCCCAAAGAAUUUAACAAAAUCAGUCGCCUUGAGAAUGUAAAAGAAAUUUGGAACACUUUGAUCGAUAUGCACGAAGGUACUGAUUCUGUCAGAGAAUCUAAGUUGGAUGUGCUUCAAAGUCAGCUUGACAAGUUCAAGAUGAAGGAUGGUGAAGGUGUCGCUGAAAUGUACUCUAGGCUAGCUCUCAUCACCAAUGAGAUUGCCGGCUUAGGAAGGGAAGAGAUGACCGACAAAUUCAUCAUCAAUAAGAUACUUAGAGCUCUUGAUGGAAAGUAUGACACAGUGUGCACAUUGAUUCAAACGAUGCCAAACUACAAAGAUCUUAAGCCAACUGAAGUCACUGGUAGGAUUGUCGCUCAUGAGAUGUCACUCAAGGACAAGGAUGACCUGCACAACAAGUCAAGCGGUGCUUACAAAGCUUCAUGUGAUUCUCCCGCUACUUCAAAGGACAAUCUUGUCACUGGUGAAGAGAUAAACCUCAUGGUCAGAAAAUUUAACAAGUUCUACAAGAGUAGAGGCAAAGAGAAAAGCUCAAGCUCAAUAUAUGAUGAGAAGCGUUCGUCUAGUCGUGACCGAAACUGCUUCAACUGUGGGAAGCCCGGACACUACUCCAAUGAGUGAUCGGCUCCCUACAAACAAAGAGAAGAGUCACCUCGAAGACGAAGCUCAAGAGAUGAGUCACCUCGUAGAGAGAGAAGGAGUAGAGAAUAUCGUUAUGAACGAAGACACUCACGGAGAGGCAAGGAACCAGAGAAGAAGGACAAACACACCAAGAGCAUCUCAAGAAGAAGACAUCAAGCUCAUGUUGGUGAAUGGGUCUCUGACUCCGAGUCUGACAACCAAUCCGAGAGAAGAUAUCACUCCAACUCCGACUAUAGUCAAGAUGAAGGUGUUGCCGCCAUUACACUCGUUUCCUCCAACUCCUAUGACUUAUUUGAUUCACCAAAUGAGGGAGUUGAAAACUGCUUCAUGGCUAAAGGCCCCAACGUAUCACACCACGAGUAUCUUGAUUUCAAUAGUGAUGGGGAUGACUUGUUAGGAGAACAUGACUUGCUCUUUGAUAAAACUAGUGAUUGCAGUGAAAAUGAACUUGCUAAUUAUCAUGCUAGUCAGGAGAAAAUCGAAUGAUGAUGAUAAGAAAGAGAAUGAAUGACUAACUCAAGAAUUAAACACUCUUAAGUUAGCUCAUGAAACUAGUCUAGAAGAUCACAGAGAGCUUGCAGGAACUCAUGAGAAGCUACGCUUCGAGAAGCUCAAUUUCGAGCAAGAGCAUGAGUUCCUAAAGGCGAUCAAUGAUGAUCUUCGAAAGAAGUGUUCUUCUUAUCUAGCCAAACGAUUAAUCUUGUCUACUUUUGUUCCACAAGUUAAACCUAAGAACACUAGUAACAAAGGUAGGAAAGUUUCUUCAUCUAGUAACAACCAUGCUAAAGCCAAAUCUAGUGAUGUUGUUGCUAGUAGUUCUCUUGAUUCCACUAGUGAUUCUCUUAGCCGAGUUACACUUUAGCAAGAAAUUGAUUUAUUGAAAGGGAUUAUAGAGAGAGGUGUCUUCAAGAGUCUUACUGGAAGUAAACAAUUUGAGUAAAUUGCACGCAAGCAAGGAGGACGUCGGAAGAAACAAGGUGUUGGCUACUUCAACGUCAAUGAAGAUGAUUGGGAAGAAGGUCCAUAUCCCAUUCCUAAGUUUGUUCCUCAAGAGGAGAAGUAUGAUCCUACUCCUCCCAAGGGAACAAGCUCACAAGAUGACCUUCCACCACAAGACCUCAAGGGCAAGGGAAAGCUUCAAGAUGACAUUGACCUUUAUGAAGAGGAACCCCAAGUCAAGGUCAAGUGGAUUCCCAAAGACACUUCUAGCACUACCUCACCUAGUGCUACCACAACUCCAAGGAUCCCCAUCAAGUUGAUGUGGAUUCCCAAGAGGAAGAACUAGAAAGUUCUUGAGGGGUGACUGUGCCAAUGAAAUUCAUUCUCAUUCAUUUUGGCAAGAACUAUAUGCAAUCAACCUCAACCAUAUGCAUUAGUUCAAGGAGUCACACAUUCCCUCAAAGGUAAGCAAGGAACAAGGUAAUUAAUGCAUCUUUGGACAUAAUCCCAUGUGUGUUUCACUCCAUAUCCAUAGAUAUUCUUGCAUAUGUUCCUUUUGCUUUGGGACUAACCCAUGUAGGUGAGAAGAGUAAGAAACAACAAGGAUUGCUCCCAACUCAAGAUGAUCUUCAUCAACAUUGAGCAUCCACUACUACUUCACCUACUUGAAGUCUUCUACGACAAAACCCAAGGUUAGUUUGUCCCUCUUAGGGGGGAUGUCAUAUCAAGGGGGAGCUUUACUCUACGACUUGACUAUAAGCAUAUCCUAAGGAUAUGAACACAUUAAUGCUUAUGUAAAAGUGGUAACCCCACUUGUGCUUAACGAUGAGUAUGACCUAUGAUCAAUUAUUCUUACUUGGCUCCUAUGUCAAUAUACUCAUAUAUAGAUGACUUUGUCAUCGCCCAAGUGCUUGAUAGAUGCUAGGAUGUUUGUGCAUGUUCACCAUAUUUUCUCUAUCAUUCUUAUUGUGGGAGCAUGUCGGUCUGCAUGUGUUUGCUCAUUCGAGAACAUCCAAUUGUUGUUAUUUGACUCUUGAUUUAUCUUUUGCCAAUUGGAUGGACAAGAAUGCCUAGGACCCUUCUCUAGCUAUCUAUGCUAUCUCAUCUCAAGUUAUAUUCAUGCUUCAUCACAAAACUUGAACAAGCACUUGUCGAUCCCUCUGUGUGAAGGAGCACUUGGAGUUCCGUAUCGUCAAAGUUUUCCUUCCAAAAUCUCUUUGUGAAUAUCGGUGUAACCAACUCCACAAACUCGGUUCCACCAAAUUCCGGAGUUGAUCCAGGUUUUCAUCUCGGUACCACCGAAAUUACAAACUCGGUUACACUGAGUUUCCCUGUCAACUCACAGUAGAGGAACUCGGUGACACCGAUUUCGUAAUCUCGGUGACACCGACAAUGAAAGGGUAUAUAUUCCAUCGAACCGAAUCUUUGAUUUCCAAUCAUCAAAGCCGUUUCGCCUCAAACCCUAAGCUGCCCCCUGGACCCCUGGUCGUCGCCCUUGACUCCUCAUGCGUCUCCCCCGCUGGGAAUCGUCGUCGUUGAUGGAUUCUUUAUCGCCGUCGCCGCCGUAGCCGAACCUCCGCCAAAUUAGGGUAUGGUUUGGAUCUCCUUCCACGUUCCUCCUUCCAACUCUUACGAAUUGGGAAGUUUUAUCAAUGACCCACCAUGUACAAACCUCUCCAUCCACCAGAAGAUCCCGUAGAACUAGCGAACAAGAAAGUUUUAGGUUUACUUGUCCGUAGACCCCAUCUCGGUGCUACCGAUUUUUGACCUAGGAUUCCUGAGAAUGAACUCAGUGAAACCGAGUUGUCAUUUUUGGUGCCACCGAAAGUGAUGACCAAGUUUCUGUUAAGAAGAUCAUGUGUCUCGGUGACUCCGAAAGUUCAAACUCGGUGCUACCGAAAUGUGUUGUGCGGAAAGUUAAAACUAAGGAUUUCUUUGUUCAAAUUUUCGAAAACUUUUGUGUUUUGUGAUGCUCAACCCUUCUGUCUUUCCUAUAUCUACUUCACAGGUUCUGUUGUUUGCUGCUGAGCUUCUGCUUGUCUGUCAGAGAUGUCUGGUUCAAAUGACAGUCAGAAUGAGUUCAGAGAACCAAGUGUUGAGUUGGACUCAUGUACUAGUCCAGAGAAGUGUGCCUCUGACCCAAGUUCUCCUAGCUCCCAUGGCUUGCCAAAGCAGUCACCAGGCAUAGGAAGAAACUAAAUUCUUAUGAAGAGGACUCAGAUUUUGUGGUGGAAGAAACUUCAGCCCCUCCAAAGGCUCGUGUCAAGAAAGCAGUCACGAAGGUAUGUGCCAGCUCUGCUGAUCUGGGAGCACCUGAUUAUGUGAGGACAAGCACAACACUUUCCAUUAAUGAUCCUUCCAAGAAGGCUGGUACAAAGACAGCAAGGAAGAGGGUGAUUCGUCUUGUUGGAAGACCUACUUCCAUGUUUGAGGACCGUGUAGAAGCUGAUGGAGAAGAAGAUGAUGAGAUCCUAGCUCCUCCUAAGAAGAAGCUCAUGGCUGAUGCUAUGCCCAGGAAAUCUGCUUCUAAGACUCCUCUUAAGUCUAAGAAGACAGUAGCUCACCGGAAGACCGGUAAGGACAUUCCUGCAACUGCUAAGAAGAAAGGCCCUGCUUUGCUGCAGAGGAAGAAGUUGAUGAGGAUGCAACCAUUCUCAGAAAGCUCCGACCUCAUCUGCCAAUUCAUAAUGAUGCUCAUCCUAUAGCUGAAGACAUGAAGAAGAGGAAGGAUACAGGUCUAAGGAAGUAGAGAGCUGCUGAUCCAUACGUUGUCCGAAGGAGAACUGCUGUUGAUCCAAGGUUUCACACCAAAGAACAACAAGAUUUCUAUGAGACUGUCUUGCUUGAUAAAUCUUCAGUUGUGAGUGAUAUGAGAUAUGUUGACUGGGCUUAUAUCAAAGCCAAUGAAGACUACUUUCCUCAUGUGCAAGACAACUUCAAGUCUGUGGACAUUGAAGAUUUUGUUGGAAAAGAGAUGACCCCAUGGAAUGAUGAGCUAAUCAUGCAAUUCUACUCGACUGUUCAUUUCUGUGGAGAUGGUUUCAUUGUCUGGAUGACAGAUGGUCACCGAUAUGAGUCAACAAUUGAUGAGUGGGGUGCCCCUAAGCAAAAAGAGAGUGAUGUUGAUGUGUAUUCUGAAGCAAAGAAGAGUCACAAUUCUAUGGCCAACAUGUACAAGCCAAUUCCUCACGAUUACUUGGCUAGUCACAAGAUGGGCUCAGUAUACUUCUUGCAAGCAGGAAUACCCACAACAAACACUAUUCUUAGACACACCUUGAUGCCUAAAUCAGGUGAUGAUAAGAUGAUCCGAGGACACUCCAUCAACUUGCUGCACCACUUGGACACUCACACCAGAUUCAGAGUGAUGGAUUUGAUAGUAGAGACUAUCUACAGGACUGAUGCUAAUCAAAAGAGAUCAUGUGGAUAUGUCCCAUACAUUCAGAUGAUUAUCAAUGCCAAGCUAGGCAAGCAUGUAUAUCUCCUUGAUCGUACCCAUCUACCUCUUCAACCAUAGUUUGAAGACAAUGAAGUUGUGAUGGAUGACAACGAUCCCAGUUCUGCUGCACCCAGAAUGGCAGCAGAGGCAACAAAAGUUGAGGCUGCUAGAAAUAGGCCACCACCAGUUCCACAGCUCAGAACUCUCAAAGCGUCGAUGCUAAUCAUUGAUUAUAUCUUUUGUCGAAGCUUUGAUCUAUAUGUUGUCAUCAAUUACCAAAAAGGGGAGAUUGAAAGCACAAUUGCUCCCUAGGGUGGUUUUGAUAAUUGAUCACAACAUAUGCACCAUUGGACUAAUAUGUUUUCCAAGUAUAUUUGUGACAGCCCGAGACCNNNNNNNNNNNNNNNNNNNNNNNNNNNNNNNNNNNNNNNNNNNNNNNNNNNNNNNNNNNNNNNNNNNNNNNNNNNNNNNNNNNNNNNNNNNNNNNNNNNNNNNNNNNNNNNNNNNNNNNNNNNNNNNNNNNNNNNNNNNNNNNNNNNNNNNNNNNNNNNNNNNNNNNNNNNNNNNNNNNNNNNNNNNNNNNNNNNNNNNNNNNNNNNNNNNNNNNNNNNNNNNNNNNNNNNNNNNNNNNNNNNNNNNNNNNNNNNNNNNNNNNNNNNNNNNNNNNNNNNNNNNNNNNNNNNNNNNNNNNNNNNNNNNNNNNNNNNNNNNNNNNNNNNNNNNNNNNNNNNNNNNNNNNNNNNNNNNNNNNNNNNNNNNNNNNNNNNNNNNNNNNNNNNNNNNNNNNNNNNNNNNNNNNNNNNNNNNNNNNNNNNNNNNNNNNNNNNNNNNNNNNNNNNNNNNNNNNNNNNNNNNNNNNNNNNNNNNNNNNNNNNNNNNNNNNNNNNNNNNNNNNNNNNNNNNNNNNNNNNNNNNNNNNNNNNNNNNNNNNNNNNNNNNNNNNNNNNNNNNNNNNNNNNNNNNNNNNNNNNNNNNNNNNNNNNNNNNNNNNNNNNNNNNNNNNNNNNNNNNNNNNNNNNNNNNNNNNNNNNNNNNNNNNNNNNNNNNNNNNNNNNNNNNNNNNNNNNNNNNNNNNNNNNNNNNNNNNNNNNNNNNNNNNNNNNNNNNNNNNNNNNNNNNNNNNNNNNNNNNNNNNNNNNNNNNNNNNNNNNNNNNNNNNNNNNNNNNNNNNNNNNNNNNNNNNNNNNNNNNNNNNNNNNNNNNNNNNNNNNNNNNNNNNNNNNNNNNNNNNNNNNNNNNNNNNNNNNNNNNNNNNNNNNNNNNNNNNNNNNNNNNNNNNNNNNNNNNNNNNNNNNNNNNNNNNNNNNNNNNNNNNNNNNNNNNNNNNNNNNNNNNNNNNNNNNNNNNNNNNNNNNNNNNNNNNNNNNNNNNNNNNNNNNNNNNNNNNNNNNNNNNNNNNNNNNNNNNNNNNNNNNNNNNNNNNNNNNNNNNNNNNNNNNNNNNNNNNNNNNNNNNNNNNNNNNNNNNNNNNNNNNNNNNNNNNNNNNNNNNNNNNNNNNNNNNNNNNNNNNNNNNNNNNNNNNNNNNNNNNNNNNNNNNNNNNNNNNNNNNNNNNNNNNNNNNNNNNNNNNNNNNNNNNNNNNNNNNNNNNNNNNNNNNNNNNNNNNNNNNNNNNNNNNNNNNNNNNNNNNNNNNNNNNNNNNNNNNNNNNNNNNNNNNNNNNNNNNNNNNNNNNNNNNNNNNNNNNNNNNNNNNNNNNNNNNNNNNNNNNNNNNNNNNNNNNNNNNNNNNNNNNNNNNNNNNNNNNNNNNNNNNNNNNNNNNNNNACGAUAUCCAUUCUUGCGGCACGACGAGAUGCGCUUCUAUCCCUGACGAGGCCCUCGUGCCAAAUUGAGGAUAGGGUCGCAUCUUGGUCGUGACAAGUUGGUAUCAGAGCAAGGACCGACCUAGGAGCCCCCUUGAUUGAUCGAAGUUGGCCGAGUCUAGUCUAGUGAAAAACUAUUUGAGUCUAGUUAUAUAUCGGAGAGUAGGACUCUUUUUUCUCCUCUUCUAUGCUCUGGUGAGGAAUCUUGACGUAAUAAUUUAUUCUACUCCUCUUCUCACUCAAAAUUUUUUUAGGGUCACGUGGAUAUUCUUGGGAUCUAUAUGAUGCCGAUGUGACGGAGUUCUAUCUUGGUGCCUCCUGUCUGACUUGAUCUUCUUCCGGGGAGUUGAGCUCCAGGGGAUUCUUGAGCACAUCGUUAUCAUUCAGAUUUCUUGGUAUCUCAGGACGAAGGAUGUUCGUAAUUGCUUCAAUACUAGUAGUGGCGAGAUAACCCCGAUGUCCCCAGUACUGGUGCAGAUUGUUCGGGAGUACUGCCAUGCUUUGUAUCGUUGUGAUCACGAGGGUCUGUUGUAGAUGAAGGUCCGAGAUUCUGGUCGUGUGUUGACGGAUGUGAUACAAGUGACGGUUUAGUAUAGGAGUUGUGUGAUAUUACUCCUUGUAUCCGUGUACCAGAUUGCAUGACCAGAUAUUUCGGGAAUUCAUAGGUGGGAAUUCAAGUAGUUGCUUAUAGGACAAUCUUCCAACAAAUAAAUGAUGUUAGGUUGGGGGUCGACAUCUAGUGGAUUCGUUUGUUCACGGUCGACUUACAGCGGUACAUGUUGUGUCUUAAAGAGUCCUUGUAGCUUGCUACGACUCGGGGACGCUUCGUAUGUCGGGUGCACUGCCUUGCACUUGAUGGCUUCUGUAAAUCGUGCCCGUGCGAUCCUGUCCACGAAAAUAUCGAACGGAAAUCUUUCUCAUGAGUUUGUUCUGGCUUGUUUCGUAAGCCUCAUCCCUUUGUUUUGUUGAUUGUGGUAAUUCGUGUUGCUUCGAUGUCAAGUGGUGAUUUCAGAUCUUUCCUAAUAUGUGUUCCCAUAUUUUUUAUGGGGAAUGCAAACCCUUUUGCUUAAUCAAUUCUCUUGUUAAUUCUUGUCAACCGGAGUUGCCAUAUCAAUUCUUUUUCAACCGGUGUGAUUCUCUAGGAAUUCUAUCCUCUCCAAUUGUUGCAGAUCAUUCUCUCAAUUCUUUCCGGAGUUCUCUCAUCUGUCCCAAGUUGUCUUUGUUUUUCCCCACCCUCCCGCCCUUUUCUCAGUGAUUCAAUUUCCAUCCAAGAGUUCCUUUUCAUUGUGCUUCCGCUAUGUGUUCUUUUCUCUUUUAUCCGGUGAUUCGUUGUGAAGAUUCUCAGGAGCUUCGUGUUCAUCUUUGUUCUAUCUUGUUAUCUUUCCGGUGAAGUUAAUUCAGUUGUCCGUGCUCAUCAUAUCCUUUUUAUCCCUGUAAUUCUCUCCUAUGUUGGAAAUUGUUAUGAGCCUAUCUUGCUAUUCAUUCCUCUCUUUUCAUCCGGAGUGCUGAAGAUAUCUCUGAGUUUCGAGUUUUUAAUUCUUUUAAUUAUUUCAAGGUGCUCAACCUCAUCGAUUCCUCUUCUUACCGGUGCAAUAUCAAUCUUUCUAGCAAUUUUUCUAACGGUGAUUUUCUUUGAGUGGGCCCAUAACCCACAGGUUCUUUCCCAGGAUCUUUCCUGGCUCUUUUAAUCGUUUCCCAGAGAUCAUUAAUUCUUUUCAACUAUGACGUAAGUAUGAAUUUCAUCAGUCAUAUCCCUUCUUCAAGUUCUAUUUGAAUUAAUUCUCUUAUUUGGCUCAACCUUUCAUUAUUCUGUAUUCCGGAGUGUCUCAGUUAUUCGUGGGUUGUUGCUCGUCAUCAUUCUCAAUCUUGCUCCAUUCUUGUGAAGAUUAUCAUCUCAGCUUCGUGUUUUCCUCUCAAUUGUUUCUAUUGUGAGUAAUCCCUUUCGUGCUAUCCGGUGCUUUUCUGAGUUGUUUUCAUUCUCGAUCCUCCGAAGGCCAUCAUUUCAGAAGACUUCUUCGUUCUCAGCUUUCAGCUUUCAUCCUCAAAUCUUCUCAAUUGUUGUCUCUUCGUUCGUCUCUCGAUUAUUCCGGUGCCUUAUUCAAGUUUUCUGUUAGAUGGAUCAUGAUCUCUUCAUUCUCAUGUGUUUCCAUGCAUUCUUGGAAUUCCCAUUCAGUUGUGAAUUCUCACCGGUGCUUCCUUCAAUUAUGCUUCAAGUGGUACUUAUCUCUCUGCCUCUUCAAGAUUCUAUUCUAGUAGAAUAAGUGGUAUGCUAAAUCCGUUGUUUGUCAUCAAUUAAACUUGAUGAAGGAUGAGCAUAACAUAAUUCUUAUUCUUGUUCUUCCUCCUUCCAAGAGAUUUCAAUUCUUCUUCCGGAGUGGCUCUUGAUAUCAAUUCCUUUUCUCUAGUGUUCUUAUCUUUCUUUUCCGGAGUUCUAAGUUCUAUCAAGUAUCUCUUUGUGAAGCUUCAUCUAAAUCCUGGCAAGGUCAUAAUCUUAUUCUUUUCUAUCUUGUUAUCUUUGCAUCAUUCAUUCGUAUACGGAGGUCCUUCAUGGUGAUUCAUCAAGGUUUCAAUUCAUUCUCAUGUGUUCUUCAAGAUUUCUGUUGGAAUACCUCAAGUAUCCUUUCUCUUGCAUUUCCAAGUGCAUUUGUUCUUCCUUUAUCUUUUGAGGUGGUAUUAUAGCCUUCUUGUUAGUGUAGGAGCCUCGAAGAGUUUUCCUUUCAAGAAUGAGAUAAUUAAAUCCACCAAUUCUAUGAUCAUGAGAUAUCUGCAACCCAUGAUUUCUUCAUUGAGCUAUCUUGGUUUGGAUUUCACCUAAAGCUUUUCCUAUGGAUUGUGUUAUCAUGGUGUUUGUCAUUAAUCCAAGUUCUCAAUGCAUCUUCUUGGUGUAAGAUUUGUUCAUAUCUAUCCUUGUUUCUUUUAGUGGUUGGUUGUCACCUCUUGUUUGUUGAGAUGAUUUUCAUAAGCCCACUACUAUCUUGUCCUUUUCGUUGUUGGUUUUCCAACUACUCCGUCUAUUCUUCUAUCUGGAGGCUCUUAAAUUCUAUUGUGAUGAUAGUUGUCAUUCUUUUCUUCAUUCUCUUCUUCUGCUUAAGCUAGGUUCUUUCUCUUCUUCCGGAGGCAUUGUGGUAUUGCUCUUUUGGGUCUAUUAUGUUGUUCUAUCAAGAUCAUGGUGUUCCCUUAUUCUAUUUACUUGUUUGUUGUGUUUAUUGUCUAUUUCUUUCAUCUUAUCGAAUUUCUUGUCCCAUGUUCCUACCGAAGUGCUGCCGAAAUUUUCCGUGAAUUCUGACUUCUUUCUCAUGUCAUUCCUCAUCUCCUUGCAACCUUCAAGGGUCGUUGGUUUCACUCGUUUGUCAAAGAAGCGACUAAAUUUUUACCUCUUGCUUUCUCAUCCUCUCCCCCUUUCAUUCUUGGAUCUCGGGGCGAGAUCCUCUUGUAGUGUACGAGUGUUGUGACAGCCCGAGACCNNNNNNNNNNNNNNNNNNNNNNNNNNNNNNNNNNNNNNNNNNNNNNNNNNNNNNNNNNNNNNNNNNNNNNNNNNNNNNNNNNNNNNNNNNNNNNNNNNNNAAAUGCUCUUGGGAUCUAGGAUUUAGUGUAGACAAGAGUGAGUGAGAGGAAAGGUGUUCUUGGAUAUAUCUUGGCUGUGUUGAACACCCUUUCACGAGGUGGGAGAAGAGUAUAUAUAGUGUGGAGUGAAAUCCAGCCGUUGGAGGUGCAAUAAGUCACACAGGGUCCGNNNNNNNNNNNNNNNNNNNNNNNNNNNNNNNNNNNNNNNNNNNNNNNNNNNNNNNNNNNNNNNNNNNNNNGGGAAAUCACACGAAUUGAUUCCUCUCCGAAGAACUCCUACCGCCUAGGAGUCUCCAACCUCCAAGAGUAACAAGAUCACGGGGAAUGCUCAAAACUAGGUCAAAUCACAAAUAGCUUGGGUUGAGAGAAGGAGAGGGAGACGAUCUAUCUUUUGAUUGGAACAACUCUCAAAGGGGCUCACAAAUGCUCUUGGGAUCUAUGAUUUGGAGUGAGCAAAUGUGUGUGAGGUGGAAAUGUGUUCUUAUGAGGAUAAGGCUGUGUUGGGCCACCCUCUCACGAAGUGGGAGGGGGGUAUUUAUAGUGGGGAGAGAAAUACAGCCGUUGGGGAUACUUUAAGUCACACAGGGUCCGGACGUCCGNNNNNNNNNNNNNNNNNNNNNNNNNNNNNNNNNNNNNNNNNNNNNNNNNNNNNNNNNNNNNNNNNNNNNNNNNNNNNNNNNNNNNNNNNNNNNNNNNNNNGCAUGCAAGCUUGAGCUAUGCUUUCCCUGUCACGAGGCCAAAAGUUAUAAAUAAAGUUCCGAUCACGAUGUACUAAAUGCAUAGGAUAGAACUUUUGAUGAAAUUCCAAUUUCAACCGAUUGUAGCCCCAUGAUCUAGCAUCAUCACAUAGCCUAUACCAUGUCAAUGCCUUAUCCUUCAUAGAUAAAGGAAAGACUUUAUUCUUUACCUCAUCCUCGGGCAAACCUGCAAGUUUAAAUAAACCACAAACUUCAUCUACAUAGAUUAGAUGAAAGUCUGGAUGUGAAGAUCCAUCUCGUGUAAAAUGAUUAGCCAGCAGUUUCUCAAGCAUACCCAAAGGAAUUUCAUAAAAUAUAUUUUAACUAGGUACCUCAGGUUGAGGAGCAACUCCUCGUGCUUCCGUUCGUGGUGAAGAUACCCCAAAAAACUCCUCAAAGGAAGAGUUUCCAUAGUGACAAGUGACAAUAAAUUUCAGCGCAGUAUUAAAAUGUUUCCUUACCAAUUUCCACUUACCAAAGGCGCUUCACUCCCCGGCAAUGGCGCCAGAAAAGAGUCUUGAUGACCCACAAGUAUAGGGGAUCAAUCGUAGUCCUUUCGAUAAGUAAGAGUGUCGAACCCAACGAGGAGCAGAAGGCUCUGAUAAACGGAUUUCAGCAAGGUAAUAACUGGAAGCACUGAAAGUAGCGGUGACAAGUGAUUAUGUAGCGAGGUGAAACAUAGCAAGCAAAGAGUAACGAGUAACAAUUAGUAGCAACGGUGCAGCAAGUGGCCCAAUCCCUUUUGCAACAAGGGACAAGCCUGAACAAAGUCUUAUAGGAGGAAAAACGCUCCUGAGGACACACGAGAAUUUCUGUCAUGCUAGUUUCAUCAUGUUCAUAUGAUUCGUGUUCGUUACUUUGAUAUGUGGGUGGACCGGCGCUUCGGUACUGCCCUUACAUGGACAAGCAUCCCACUUAUGAUUAACCUCUCUCGCAAGCAUCCGCAACUACAAAAGAAGAAUUAAGACAAAGUCUAACCAUAGCAUUAAACUAGUGGAUCCAAAUCAGCCCCUCACGAAGCAGCGCAUAAACUGGGGUUUAAGCUUCUGUCACUCCAGCAACCCAUCAUCUACUUACUACUUCCCAAUGCCUUCCUCUAGGCCCAAAUAUGGUGAAGUUUUAUGUAGUCGACAUUCACAUAACACCACUAGAGGAAAAACAACAUACAUCAUAUCAAAAUACCGAACGAAUAUCAAAUUCACAUGACUAUUAUCAGCAUGACUUAUCCCAUGUCCUCAGGAACAAAAGUAACUACUCACAAGACAUAAUCAUAAUCAUGAACAGAGGUGUAAUGAAUAGCAUCAAGGAUCUGAACAUAAACUCUUCCACCAAGUAAUCCAACAAGCAUCAACUAAAAAGAGUAAUCAACACUACUAGCAACCUUACAAGUACCAAUCGGAGUCGUGAGACGGUGAUUGAUUACAAGAGAUGAACUAGGGAUUGGAGAGGAGAUGGUGCUGAUGAAGAUGCCUCCCCUCCGAUGAGAGGAGUGUUGGUGAUGACGAUGGCGACGAUUCCCCCCUUCGGGAGGGAAAUUUCCCCGGCAGGAUCGUCCUGCCGGAGCUCUAGAUUGGAUCUGCUCAAGUUCCGCCUCGUGGCGGCGGCGAAACCACGAAAACGCUCCCGUAUGAUUUUUUCCAGGUAAGGACGCUUCAUAUAGCAAAAGAGGGGGGCUAGUGGGCCUUCAGGCAGCCCACAAGCCUGCCCUGCGCCACCAGGGGUGGUGGUGGCGGUGGGCAAGCUUGUGGGGCCGUGGUGGCCCCCCUCUGGUAGUUCUUUCGUCUAGUAUUUUUAAUAUAUUCCAGAAAAAAUCCACGUAAAUUUUCAGGGCAUUUGAAGAUGUGCAUAAUAGUGGACUAGGAUUUGCUCCUUUUCCAAUCCAGAAUUCCAGUUGCCUGAAUUCUCCCUCUUCAAAUAAACCUUGCAAAAUAAGAGAGAAAAGGCAUAAAUAUGGUACUACAAGUAAUAUAAUAGCCCAAGAAGCAAUAAAUAUCAACAUGAAAGCAUGAUGCAAAAUGGACGUAUCACCGCCCGAGCUGCCCGAGCCGACCCUCUGCAACGGCAUGAACCGCCGCGACUGGCUCUCCCUCGUCGCCGUCCACUCCGACUCGUGGCUCCUCUCUGUCGCCUUCUUCUUCGGCGCGCCGCUCAACGCCAAUGAACGGUAAUUUCACUGCCUCUACCCCUCCUCCUCCAUUACCCAGUUCGAUUUACUCUUAGCUCGGUGCCCUGGACGAUCGGGAAAAUAUUUGCUUUAGCUUUGAAAUUGCAUAUCUAUUCCUGUAGACAGUUUUGGCAAGAUCAAAUGUGGUCUUUUUGAUUGAGUACUUUAGCUUGACUGCUAGGUGGUGACUUGGGGGUUGGGAUACACGUGCCUGAUUUGAUGGUGCAUGUGUGUGCAUGUGCACAUGUAUCUUGCGCUCCUCUCUUUGUGUCUUUUCUUUGCUUUGAGUGUAUCGGCGGGUCAUGCUUUUUUGUUUCAGUUUGCUUUAUUGGGCUUGAGGUUACUUGGUUCCCUUCUUUCUAUGACCCUCUGGGUUUGAUGGCGAUAUAAUCCAUAGGGUUCAGCUGUUAGGCCAUAUGAAAAGCAACUACCCCCUUUCACUUUAUUCUAGAAAUCAUAUACACAAAUAAAGGAUUGUGUGCUUCUAUGUAGUUCCAUCCUUUGCAGUUUCGGCCUGCAUCCCUAUUUUUCUAAUUUUAGUGCGACAACUUUAACCAAAGUUUGUUUACUUCACUCAGCCUUCUAUUCAUUGAUUUUGUAUAUGGUUCUUGAAAGUACACCUUGCUAAGCAUUUGAGAGUGUUCCAGUUUGCUUAAUCAUUGCGCCAAUGUGCUUUGCGUCAAAAUUCUAAAUUUUCUCUUUCUAGGAGCUUCAGAAGGGUUGCUCACCAACGAACUAGAAGAUUGUUUUGUCCUGGGCACUCACAUGAUUAAGGAAGAAAUUGCUUAUUCCUGGUUCUUUGUGUUGAUGUGCCAGCUAGCUUAGAAUCUGUAUCAUCAUCUUUGUCUUUGAGUAGAACUGAACUGGGGAUUUGCUUUUUGCAUCUUAACCGUGUGUCCUUUGAUGUGCUUUACUCUACAGAGGUUCGUAACCAAGGGUCAUGUGCAGAGCUGGAGGAAGAAGUUGCGAGGCUUGGAACUCUCCUUGUGAAGGGCUCAGGGACAGCAGUGAGGACAAUGCCUCUUUAGUUGAAUUGUGAUACUCCUGAUGUGCAAGUAAAUACUCCUAUGAUACUCCUUAUGCUAAAAUAUUGGUUGUUAGUACAGAGGUGGUGGCAUUAUUUGGUUCUCUGGUAUUGAUUUCAUGAUUUGUGGUUAAUACAUGGUAUAAUACAAUCCACAUAGGAUUAUAUUUCCAGUUACUCAAUACUAACAUUCUUUCUAAUUGGCUUCUUGCGCCAUUGACGUAACCGGGUCAUCUAGUAGUAACAAAACCUUGCAGUAUGUUUAUGUGAGAUAAUGACCCAUGCCAGAUUCUUGGUAACGCGCCACGUUCUUGGUAACGCCAUGGUUGCGAAUUGAGAUGUUAGCAGUUGAUUCAGCCCUCUCGGUUCAUACUAUUUCUGCGCGCUCUGUUCGGAUGAUGGUUGUUGGAUGCUAGUUUGAUCUCCCAGCGGGAGUUUUUAGGUACCGUUGAUGCGUGUAUUAACGAGAUUAUCAAUUUCUCUAUGUUUUUUUAUGCGGUUUGCAUGUCACUGAGACUGGCCCUUUGCGGCUUCCGUAAUUAAAAUAAAAAAUCUGCGGAGUUUCAGUCACAUUUUUUUCCUUGACUGUAGCAUAUUAUGGACUUGGUAUGAAGACAUGAUUGCUGUCUUGGCAGAUGGACCGGCGGAGGAUUUAUACGACAUGUUCAUCAACAAAGUCCGGCGCGAGCGCCCGCUCCAGAUGUUGGAACAAGUCAAGGGGUGAGCGAGCGAUUUGGUGCUGCCGAGGCGCGUCCGUAGCAGAUUUUCCUGCUGCUGCUGGUGUCCUCUGACUACUGCUGAGCUGCGUGUGCAAGCUUACGAAGUGGGUGCCGCCGCCGGUUAAGAUGACAAGAAGCUACGUUGAGGAGAACAUCAAAAGGUCCCGGAAGAGGAUGGAUGUCGCUGCCUUGGACAUGCUGCAGUUCCAUUGGUAUGUUUGUGUGGCUUGCUGGUUUGGUGUCAUAUAAUGUGUUUGUACCAUUUCAUUAACAUUUCAUCUUCACCGUCGGUUCGAACGGAAGCCUAUGAUCAUUUGGGAAUGGAUUCCUAUUGAUAGUGAGUAGUGAAUCUCCUGUCAAGUAUUUCGCCAAUAAGUUCAUCCUGAUCUAUCAUCUGGAAUGCUUGUUAAUUGCUAGAGGGCCGAGUGCUCAGUAAGAACUUUGGUCCUGGUUCCAUGAUUUUGGAGAUGGAUGUUGUAGAUGUAUUCACAGCCCGUGCGCUGUGCGUAUUCUGCUUUCUUUUCGCUAUCGCUCUUUAGCUGGUCCGUCAAACCUCUAGGUAUGUGAUUGAAAUCUGUGGCGAUGGCUAGACGAAUGCUGAUGACAACAAACCUUCCCUUGCAACGGCACCAGAAGAAUGCUGCUAGCACUCCCCGGCAACGAAACUAGAAGAAUGUUGUUGAUGGCCCACUAGCGCGUGGGUUCGCAACAGUUUUCGAGGGUAGAGUAUUCGACCCAAAUUUGUUGAUUCGCACGACGGGAGGUGAGAGAAUACUCUCAAGUAUUAGCAGCUAAAUUUGUCAGAUUCAACCACACCUGAAAGAUUAGUAUCUGCAAGCACAGUAGUAACAGCAAAGUAGCGAGUAACGGCAGUGUAACGAGCAAUAGCAGCGGCAAGGAACAAUAGUAGUGACAGCGGUAGCAAGUAGCAACAGUAGCAAGCGACAGUAGUAGCAACAGUAGCAGCAGCAGCAGAGUAAAACAAGUAACAACAGUAGCAACAGUAGUAGUAGCAGCAGCAGAGCAAAACAAGUAACAUCAGUAGUAGGACAAACUCGUAGGCAAUGGGUCGGUGAUUUGUUUGGAUGAUAUUCAUCAUGCAACAGCUAUAACACGGAGAGAUAUGUGGCUAGCUCCCGUUCGUCAAUGUGAUGUAGGCAUGCAUUCCGUGUGUCGUCAUACAUGCUUAGGGAAAAGAACUUGCAUGACAUCUAUUGUCCAUCCCUCCCGUGGCAGCGGGGUCCAAGAGGAAACUACGGGAUAUUAAGGUUCUCCUUUUAAUAAAGAAUGAGACCAACACAUUAGCACUUGGUGAACACAUGAACUCCUCAAACUAUGGUCAUCACCGGGAGUGGUUCCGGUUAUUGUCACUCCGUGGUUGCCGGAUCAUAACACAUAGUAGGUAACUACAACUUGCAAGAUCGGAUCUAAAACACACAUAUAUUGGUGACAACAUAAUAAUUUCAGAUCUGAAAUCAUGGCACUCCGGCCCUAGUGACAAGCAUUAAGCAUGGCAAAGUGGUAGCAACAUCAAUCUCAGAACAUAGUGGAUACUAGGGAUCAAUCCCCAUCAAAACUAACUCGAUUACAUGAUAGAUCUCAUCCUACUCAUCACCGCCCAGCGAGCCUACGAAUAGAUUACUCACAAACGACGAAGAGCUUCAUGAAAUUGGAGAGGGAAGAAGGUUGAUGAUGACGAUGGCGACGAUUUCCCCUCUCCGGAGCCCAAGACGGACUCCAGAUCUGCCCUCCAGAUGAAGAACAGGUGGUGGCGGCGCCUCCGUAUCGAAAACGCGACGAAAACUUCUCUUUUUAUUUUUUCUAGGACGAAAGGGAUCUUAUAGACCUGAGAUUGGGAGCGGCAGAGCUGUGUGGGCCCCACAAGCCUGCCCACCGCCACCAGGGGGGUGGUGGCGGAGCAAGGGCUUGUGGCCCACUGGCCCACCCCUUGAGGUGGAACUUGGCGCAGAUAUUUUUCUUAUUUUCCAAAACCGCUCCCCGUAAAUUUUCAGGACGUUUGGAGAACUUUGAUUUCUGCACAAAAAUAACACCAAGGCAAUUCUGCUGGAAACAACAUCAGUCCAAGUUAGUUCCAUUCAAAUCAUGCAAAUUAGAGUCCAAAACAAGGGCAAAAGAGUUUGGAAAAGUAGAUACGAUGGAGACGUAUCAGUAUGUUCCUGCUAGCAAUGUGUGGUAGACUGGGACAUCUUAUUUACUUGUUUUCCUUUUCGAAUAAAAUCUGGAAUGCUCAUUCACAGACAAAAGCAUGAUGUACUGUGAUACAUAGUUCUGCCAUUGUCAUUACUCUUAGAUGUGUUGCAUGAGAGACCAGUUUGAAGGAAUUCAGUCAACACUGUCGAAACGCGAGAAGUGUCAUUUUCUUCAACACCUCUGAAUUGUUUAUCGUGUCAAGUACUUUGUUUAGGGGAUGUAUCAUAUAACUGCUGCCACAUAUGGUAAUUUUUGCUCACCCUUUAUUCAAAAACAGGUGGGACUACGCAAAUCCCGGAUAUCUAGAUGCACUAAAGCACAUCACAGACCUGAAGGAGGAAGGUAAUAUUUUAAACCUUGACUGUAUGGGUUAGUUUUUAAGCUUCUCGGGAGCCACAACUCAAGGCGAUUAGUACCUUUGUUCAGUUCACUAGCAGGAGUACUCAAUUUGUGAAUGUGAAUCAAACGCAUGAGAGGAUCUUCCCUGCUAAAACUAUUACCACUUAACCGGUUUCUGCUAGCGUAUAGUAUAACCAGAUGGGUUUGUUGCUCAUCUUAAUUUGGUUCGACCUGGUCUGGUAAUCAGUCAGUGUUAUGCACUAUGUACGACACAAGUAAUAGUCAUGCUUCUCUUAAUUUUCUUACUCAACUGGACCAGUCUUACUUGUGAAUCCCACUAGUUGAACUACGGUUUCCAAGCCUAGUCAAUGAACAGAAACUAGUUACUAACUAGGUUAAUUGAACAUCAUUUUCAGAAGAGAGAAAAAAAUUAGAGAAGUAGAUUGCAAAUUGAGCGCUAUAGUCUGGUCUUUCCUAAAUGACAGGAACUAACACAAAAUCAAAACAGCAGUAUAUUCCAUUAACAACAUUCCUUACGUAUAGGAGCAAAGGAAGCAACUGAGCGUGCGUGCGUGCUUCUAGAAGCAAGCAAGAGAGGCAACGUGACUUUGUUUGCAUGGUCUGCCCUCGUCCAUCGAUGCUUUGCUUAACUUAGCUUAAAAUAAGCAAGCAUAGAGAUAGAUAUUUGUUUUACAUAAAAGUCCUAGGCCUAGUAAUACAUUAAAGAGGGAACUUCUGUGGUCUAUUUUAGAUAAAAGGGGACAUAUAAUUUUCUCUAUAUAAUGACAUGGUGCUGAUUUAGCACUCAUAUGACCUUACAACAGUAUUACAUUGUAGUGUUUUCUGCAUGGUUUCGUAUCACUAGUUUCAUGUUGCCUCCACAUUUGAGUUUAUUACUAAUUUUUGUUUUUAUCCUUGAUUAGCAUCAAUUGUUGUAUUGUAGACUUAAAAUUGUGUUGGUUCCUUUUUUACACAAGCUCAAGUGUGAAGUGUGAAGCCGUGAAGUGUGAACCCAAGUGUGAAGCUGUGAAGUCUUACUCAGUUUAGAGUAGCAUAUUGUAGCACAUCUGUGUUGUAAAGAUUGUAAUAGAUUUAUUUAGUCGUAUAUUUGAUCAAUUUUAUGUGGUCUUAGUUCUAUUUGAAAUUCAUUCUUGGAUUGAAAGUGGUAAAAAAGACAAUAUAUUAGUAUUAAAUUUAGGUUGAUUCUAAGUUUGUGCUGUCACUUGUAUUGGAUCAGAUAUAUUUGUGCCUUCAUAAUGCUACAGAUCAAAAUGUAAAAAUCUCGAGGCCCAAAAUUUGACAAAUUUUUGAGAUCAGCAUGACAUGUUGGACUAGUAAAAAAAUAAAAUGGAAAAAAAAAUCAAUAGAAAGUAAAAGGCCACAAACCAAAAUUCGAAAAAAAUAAAAUUAAAAGUGGCUAUAAAUAGGCUAAGUCCCCAAAAUAAACCCAAUAAGAAAAGCCCCAAAAAAUAAAAUCAGCCCAUGUGAUCAAUUGAAAUGGGUUGGGCUGAUUUCAACCAUGACGUUUUAAUUUUGUCGUAAUUUUGCCACGUAGGACUCCCACGUAGGACUGGGUUUGAUUGCCAACGACGAUUUAGGAUCGUCGUAAAGGUUACGACAAUCAAGGAAUCGUCGUAAAAGCUACGACGAUUUUGAUCAAAACGUCACCGCUGUUCAUUUGUGACGCUCCGUUUUCGACGCUUGGUUUUUCGUCGUGAGAUCGUCGUAAAUUAAAAACCGUGACGAUAUAGCGACGAAAAAAUAGCGUCGUGUAUUAGCAUAUUCCUUGUAGUGGAAGUUUUUCUUUUUCAACUUCUUGAACAUACUACACACACGAGAAAGCUACAAAAUAAGACAUUGUCAACAAUGCAUAUCCGGCUACAGAGCUAUGCAUAUCCGAAUAGAAAUGAUCUACAAAACUAUGCAUAUCCGGAUAAAAUAAUCUACAAAAUUAUGCAUAUCCGGCUACAGAUGAUCUAUACAACAAUGCAUAUCCGACAAGCGAUGUACAGAUAUCAACAACUUACUUGAUCGUGAUUUGCACACCACUAGGCCACUUUGCGAUGAGUUGAAUCAAGUGGCCGCAAUACUUUGACACGGCCUCUUGAAUGGUGUACCAUAGAUGGUUGAGGGACUUUGAUUCACGGUUGCGCACAACCACGUCGGAGUAGGUUGCAAAUUGAUUGUCUUCAUGAAACCAAGUAUGAAUGUUGGCCCAAAGACCGUGCCUUUUGUUAUGUGUCAUGAGUCUAAUCGAGGCUAGUAGCCAAUCAUGCAUUGCAUAACAGCUCGUCCUCCUACAUGUUUAGGAGUUUUCCUUUGCCCCACUUCUUUGAAUCGCCAUCGAAAUCAUCCGGAUCAUCGCUCCUCCUCCUCCUACUGCCUGACGGUCCAAUCUUGACGUUGUGUGUCAGCAGCCAGGUCCGUGUAGUCAUGCCGCGUCCCCGAUUGGGUGUAGGUGCCGGACCGGGUGUACUAUUGCGUGCCCGACUAGUUGUAGGUGACACACUGGGUGGGCUACGUAUCAUCCACCUUCCCGUCCUCAUAGGAAUCUCCUUCUUGCCCCCUCAUGGAUGAUCUCGUACAUCUCCGUGUCGUCGUCGUAUGCUGACUGUCCUACUUUAGCCAUACCAGCGUACAACAUGCAGGCACCCAUUUGCUCCACGCCCCUCGACCGCAUCCGGACAAGCAGGACUGAUGCACCCUCAGAGCAAAACAACGACACAUUUGUUGACGUCGACGAUGAACGAUACAACGACGUAUGCUAGGGACUUCAUGCCCAGCUGCUUGGUAGCAUAGCAGUACCGAGCCUUGUAACGCUCUGGACAUGGAGGUGUCUGUAUGGUCGGCGAGGCCCCGCGGCCCACGCACCGAUCUCCACCACGCCUCCGACCUGCACGCCCACCACCUCGUCCACCACCAGCACAUCCAUCGCCAACUUAUGCUUCUUGGGCUUUUCCUUCUUUGCGGCCCUCGAUUUGGCGCAACGAUUUUGUGUGUCGUCGAUUUGAUCUUUCGGGCGCGCGUGAUGCUUGGAUCAUCCACCACCACCUUCGUCUCCUUCGGGUCGAUGAGUCGGUGGCUGGGGGACGAAGAGAGUGAGUAAAAGGGCGGAAAUUUGGUGGAGAGCAGCGGGACGGAAGAAGAGUGGGAAUUUUUACCGCGAAAACAGUGCAACCAACUACAAAAGCAUGGGGGCCGCCUUAGUUUUUGGUGGGCCGGGUUGCCAGACUCCUACGUGGCUCAUUUUUGGACUCCACCAAAGCUCCCCUCCCCCUCCCCAUCGAGUUUGUUUUGGUUUUGCGGGGAAAUUAUGGCCCAGAUUGCUCCACGGACCGAUGAAGGUCGACAUUGGAUAGCUCGCGUGGUUUGAACAGCUGCGUCCAAACAAAUACGGAGAUCCAUGCUUUGAUGAUCGGUACGGCGUUCGCACGACAAUAUACAGAGCAAUCGAUUAGGUUGCAGUCUGAUUUGUCUACUGCACUUUCUUGUUUAUCAAGUUCUAGCUUAGACCGUUCGGUUUAUCGUCAUUUAGUUGCUAAGAUUAAGUCAUUAACGAUCGAUAGGGCGUUUAUUCUUUAGAAAUUUAAUAGGUCUUAGAAUAGUGCUGCAGAUUGCCUCACAAUAUAUAAUCGCUCUGAACGGACUACGACUGUGUGACUUGAGAGAGGACCUCCAUGUAUUGAGGAACUCUAGACGUUGGAUUGUAGCCUUACCCUUUUGAAAUAAACAUUUAUUGAUCUUGCAUAAAUAAAAAAGUGUGUCUGAACAAAUACGGACAGUUUAAAAGUCGACGUUGAAGAUGCCCUACAAGAAGAACCCAUCAUCCAGGUUGAAAAGAAAAGAGGAGUCCGGCCGGCCGCCUCCAUUCUCUCUUCUUCUUUUACGCAAAGGAGAGGGAUGGAGUAGCUCAUUCACCAUUCACCAAAGCAAAACUCUCGUGCUGCUCCCAUAUCCGCAUACGUGCGUACCAGGUACCACCCUGAUGGCCUAAUUAAUUCGUGGUACAUUACUCGAUCAGUAUGUGCCACCACAGUUGAACAGUGCCCACCUUCAAUCUCCCAGCUGGGCACGUCCGUGCAUCAUAUAGGAGUACUAAUAUCAACUGUACUGUAUAUUUUACAUUUUCUUUCUGCGGUGAGUACUGUAUAUAUUAGUUAACCACUAGGAAACGUGAACCAGGAGCAGAUCAAUGGAGAGCUACAGGCCACAGCUGGCUGAUUAUAAGUACAGUACGUUGCCGUAAAAUAAAAUAAACAAGAGACAGCAGAUUAUCAUCAGUACGCGAGGGCGUAAGAGUGAAAGACGAUUGCGAUGUACAUUCUCCAGCGUCAUGUUAGGUACUGUAUUUUCCUCGCUCACGGCUCCUGCCUUAAUCCACUUUUAUACUCGUCCAAUACAGUACUGUAUGACCAAUGGAAGUUGGUGCCUUAAUAAUCUCACCAUCUCAGGUACAGGGAGCACGCCUUUGGCAUUUUCCCCAUAAAUUAGUCAGUAGGUACGCAGCUACUAGAGCUUUGCUGAGAAGCCUGAACUGAGCUGAACCGAACCGAAGCCUCUGCGACGUGACAUUUCCGGAAUCUCAGUGGCCGGCGAUAGAUAGAUGGAGAUGGAUAGGCUCAACAAGGACAAACUUUAGCCUCGAUCGAGUUAGGAUCUCGCUUUCCUCUCUUUCCGAAGCCACUGAAUCGAUCAUAUCACCGUAAUAAACAAUUCGCGGUUGCAUGCUUGUUUAUCCCGAUCUAGCGGUUGGCUCGGGCCCAAGGAAUUCCCCGACGACGAAAGCACAUCCCCUCGCGACACACGAUCUACAUCCGAGAUGCAUAAACUAGCCCGUAACGACCAAUCAUGUCCGCUAACGACAUGAUUAGCACGCUAAUGAAGCAGCCAAUUGCGUCGAUACCAGUCGUCGGCCGGUGUUCCCACGGAGCCGAGCCGAGCCGAGCCGUCGCUCUCGCCCGGCGGCGAAUAAAGGGCCGCUCCGAUCCCGAUCGGUCGUCCGUUGACACGAUGGGUCGGCAGAUCGAUUAUUCCAUCCAGGGGCUGUCGGUCGGUAACUGUGCGACCUUCUCCUUCCUUUUGCCGUGAGAAAUCGACGCGACGAUGACCAUUGACCAGGCUUGAGACGCACGGCGACGAAGAAGGUGGGCAGCGCACGUCAUACAGAGCAAAGCAGCAACAGCGGCCCGCGAUCGCGAGAUCGAUCAGGGACAGGGUCACCGACACCUUUGCGCUUGCGCAGCUCAUCGUGCGAUGCACUCAUGGAAACCGUGAGGCUGACGAGCACUGGGGUGGAUGGACUGAACAAAAUUUCUGCAGACGCGAUCAGCGUUGUUCCCGCGUUACAAUCCCGAUGGUUCGGUGCUGCUGGGGUUACAGUCUGCUCUUUCGGACUUGAUGAACUUCAGCCACUUCCAGUUAGCGUAUGACCCAGCUUCGUCCUCAAACGGGACGGCAUCGUCGUCGUCAGGCGAGGAGUCGGCCUCGCCGGACCGCGGCGAAUGCGGCAUUUGCUCCCGGUAUCUUCGCGCCAUGUCUUCAGCCUCGACAAACACCUUCUGCGGAAAACAGAGGCAGUGGAAAAUGUGACUACCUUCAGAAUCGGCAGCUUGACACAUACCCCUCCGUCCGAAAUUACUUGUCAUAAAAAUGGAUACACAUGGAUGUAUCCAGAACUAAAAUACAAAUAGAUACAACUAUUUGUACGACGAGUAUUUCCGGACGGAGGGAGUAAAUAAAACUGAAGAGCCCACAAGAGGCAGUGUUCUUACCUCUUUGUUGGAGAGAAACAGUCCAGGUUCGCUCUCAAGGUCCCUAAUACUGCACAGAGCCGAAACACGUCAGCUCUCAGUGCUGCAUACGCAUCUUUUUUAGUUUUUGCGAGUUUUUUUUCCGCGUACCUGAGAGCAAUUCUGUCUGGCGUCGUCGACUUGAUCACAAGCGCUUUCACUCUCUCGCCCACCCUGAGCGCAUCACUGACGGAUCUCAGCUGACCGUGAGUUAUCUUUGAGACAUGCAGCAAACCACUGCAGAAGCAUCACAAGCUGUAAAUUAAACAUCCGAAAUGUUCCCACCUCUAGAUUGUUUGUUCACAAGCUUGCCAAGUGAACAGAGUGGUGCCUAUGGUUCAAUGAGACUGGACGGGUUCCAAACUGUAUUCGGGCAUGCAACAAUAGAAGAUGCAUAGUACUCCCUCCGUUCCUAAAUAUAAGUCUUUUAAGAGAUUUCACUAAGGGUCUACAUACGGAGUAAAAUGAGUGAAUCUACACUCUAAAGUAUGUCUAUAUACAUCCGUAUGUGGUCCACUAGUGAAACCUCUAAAAGGCUUAUAUUUACGAAUGGAGGGAGUACUACCUACAUUCCGAAUUAUAAGAUGUUUUGGAUAUUUCAAUAUGGACUCCAUACAGACUGAAACGAGUGAACAAAUACACUAAAACGCGUCUAUAUACAUCCGAUUCAGAAAAAAGUUAGAACAUCUUGGAACAGAGGGAGUACCGUUUGAAAGGAAAGAUCUAUCAUGACAAUGAAGUGAAGCAUGACAUGUAAAUACUUGAAAGUACAUAUUCCAAAGGAACAAGACAAGCCCUUCGCUAGAGCACAUGGCAAUCACUCAUUAUCUAAGCCAGGAGAUUGAUAAAAGAACACAGGGCAAUUGCUCAUAAUCUAAGCCAGGAGAUUGAUAAAAGAACACAGGGCAAUCGCUCAUAAUCUAAGCCAGGAGAUUGAUAAAAGAAGAGAGACCUCAUUAUCUGGCGAAUUAUCAGAAUUUCCAAUGGAACUCGUCAGUGUGAAGGCUAGUCAGUAAAUCUCAUGUUUCACUACAAUUAACACUCACUCUUUUGUUCAGGCAGUGCAGUUAAGAAUGUCAAAAGGAGCAAGAUUGACAAUUAUAUUUAUAUAAUCUAGUCAAGACUUAGCAUCAUCAAUGUUGCCAAGAUUUAAAACAUAUUGUGGCAACAGCCACCUUCUAAAUUACUCCCUCCGUCCCAAAAUAAGUGUCGCAAAUUUAGUACUAAGUUAGUAAAAAUAUAGUACUAAAGCAGCGACACUUAGUUUAGGACGGAGAGAGUAUUUGGUAAACCUAUAUUUUGUUUGUCAUAAAAUAGGAGUAAGCCAUACUAAAAUACAUGCACGACUAUAAGAGAAUAUGUCCAAAAAGAAACUUAUCAGCAGCUACUAAUGAAACAAUGGAACUGGAAGGAAUGCUCCUUCAACUUUCAAUUGUAAAAUGAACUUCGGCAGAAAACAAGAAAUGCCAUAUUUAGUACUCCCUCCGUCCAGAAAUACUUGUCAUAGGAAUUGAUGUAUCUAGAUGUAUUUUAAUUCUAGAUACAUCCAUAUUUAUUCAUUUGUGUGACAAGUAAUUCCGGACGGAGGGAGUAUGUACUUCCUCCAUUCCAAAAUAAAGUGUCGUGGUUUUAGUUCAGUUUAGUGAUAUUACCUUCUGUUUGUCUCCCCAAUCCUAAUUUGUGCACCAUAUGGGAACAACUUGCGGACUGUCCCUUCCAAGAGAGCCCCUUCUUUAAGGUAUAACAUUGCCUAAAAGAAGCACCGAAGAUCAAAAUUAAUCAGAAGAACUCAAGGGUGCUCAUUGUUCUCUCAGACAAGUCAAAACCUGAUCACCGUGCUGUAGAAUUCAAUUGAUAUAGAAUAUAGGUACUUCAGGUGUAUUUAUCACGAGUUGUAGACUGCAGCAAAAGCUAUUUAAAUAAACAUUUCUUGCAUUGUGUCUUUAGGCAAUUCAAUAAGUUGAUGGACCAAGAUUCUCUACUAUGAAGAGCCACAAUAAAACACAUGAUAUCCUGGUAAACAAUAUGUUAGUGAAUGCUGCAGGUAAGGACAACAGACUGAACAGAGGCUCAUGUAAACAUACAGUUAACUUACCCAAGCCUCUUUUUCACUAAUUAUUAAUUCGUUAGUUCUUUCGUCAAUCUUUGUAAUACAUACAUGCAUCUGUCGACCAACCUGUGCAGAAGAAACAAUAUAAUUCACAAGUUACUACCACUUUAUUGACAAUACUUGAAAAAAUUAGAUAAAAGGGAUCAUGUGUCUUACAUUAUUCUUUAGAUCUGUAAAAUUUCUUGGUCUAGUCAUCAUCUGAGGCUUAGGUAGGAACGCCCGGAGCCCCUAAAUGAUGGAAUCAUGGACGUGAGUUUUAGCUACGAAAUUCGAAAAGUGGACUGUAAUGUAAUCCAUUGAACUCGUUAUGAGUAACCCGUACCUCGAUUCUUGACAACAAGCCUCCAGCAUUCCACUCAGAAAUUUUAACCUUGAUAGGUACAUUUAGCUGCUUUAUCUGGACAUCAGUAUGUACAUAAAUUGUCAUAUAUAAAACAUUCAGAAUAAAAAUAAUAGCUAUUGAACUUAAAACUUCAUAGGUCACAGUAAUGCCGAAUCAUCCAUUGUCAUCGAAAAAACACGACGAAAAUAAGGGUUUUCCAUCCUACAAAUAUUUCCAUUUGCACUGCUCUGCAUCCAAGAUGUGAAACAUCAAUUUUACGAUACAAUAGGCUAAACGACGGAUGCAUGUACAUUGUUAUUAGUCAGAAGAUUACAAGGUCUCAUGAUCAUAUGAUGUCAUACCAAUCAUUUCUUCAUGCACUUAAGCAUGAAAUCACUCUAUGUUCUUAACAAUGACAUGAGAUGCUCUAUUUUGGGCUGCACCGCCAAAUGAUUUUGACUCAUGCCAUGCUAAGAACCUUGAAGACAAAAUCGUGUAUUAAACUAGGAGCAAGCUAUGAUAGUAUUCCCUCCGUCCCAAAAUAAGUGACUCAAAAAUGAGUCAGUUUCAUACUAAUUGUAGUAGAAAACUAAGUCAUUUUUGAGUCACCUAUUUUGGGACGGAGGGAGUACUACAUAAUUGCCUGUUAACCUACACACAAGAUAUAUAUCACACUGCUUUAAUAGCUCGAGCUUUUAGAUAGGCCAGCCAGUGAUCAGUAUAUGAAAAAUCUACUUGGUACAAGCAAGACGGCGGUCGUGACUCGAGGGUUGCAGAUCUAUUCCUGAUACUAAUCAUACACACUACAUUAGUAGUGCUGUUUGAAGUAUCUGUACUGCAUAAUGUUCAAACAAACUAUAUCUGUAUCCGGUACUGAACUACUGACAGUGCACAUCAAAACAUACAUUGACCGAUCAAAAUCAUGGCUAAGGCCUAAGGGCUCAUCAAAUUCUAACAACAAGAAUAGAGAGGAGAGUCAUAGAGGACCUGCCUCACUCUGUGCCACGCGACGCGCCGGAACAGCCUGCGCGCAGACAGCAGCGGCCGCCCGCCAAGUGUUCGACCGAGGACCUCAGCGAACACCACCGUGCCAACGCCCACCACCGGCGCACAUUUCUCCUUCCCGGUCCUCCCAACCUUCAGAUCCACUCCGCCGACGGCGACGCCGACCCUGCCUUCGGCGGCGAACUCCCUCGCGCCACCCGACGCGACGUCGCAGGCGAGGUAAGCGAACUCCUCGGGGGACGCGGGCGCCGCCUCCUUGGUCAGCAUCAGAGCCGGCUCUCCUCCGGCGCCGACGUCGACGUCGAGCGCCCUCGCGUCGCCCCCGACGACGACGCCGGCGACCAGGUCCCCGGGCUUGGGGUCGAAGUAAAUGACCCCACGCCCACCGGUGCCAGGUCCGCCCUCCGAGGAGUCCUUCCCGGCGGUGGCGGCGACGUCUGCCUCGGCACCCUUCACCUGGAAGAAGUUGAGGUAGGGCGCGAGCGCAUCGGCCGUGGACGGCGCCGGAGCGGCCUCCGGCUCGGGCUCGUCCUCCUCCGGCGCGGAGGGGGACGGGAAGGGCUUGUCGAGCAGGUGGAGCUCCUCGCCUCCCUCUCCACCAACCCCGCCCUCGACCACAUCGGAGGAGGAGGGCAAGGAACGGAGCGGCGAGGGGGCUCGCGCGCUGACGAUGACGGGGACGCGGCAGCGCAGGCGGUGGCUCGCCGCGGGCGCCCUGCGCUUGGGUCGGCGGGUCCGCGGGGAGAGCGAAGCGGCGGGGAGAAGGGAGAGGAGCGAGGGCGGCGGCAUGGCGAGCUCACUGCUCAGCGGCUGUGCUGCUCCAGCUCUCUAUCUCCUCGCGGGGAUAUUUUUUUUGGAAAUUUUCUCCUCCGUGUACAGUACACCUCCUCUGUUCUCAGCCGUCCCGGCCCGGCCCGGCCCAUGAGAGAAGACGUAAACCAGCCCAGGUUUCCAUUCCCCAGCUGAGCAAUGUCGGGCCUGGCCCAGUAGUGUCGAGCCCCACUGACAUUCGGGACCCGGCGUCAGGCCUAGGUCGAGCCCCCCGAAUCGUCCGUCGCAGUCGGCGCAAGCAAGGUAGCCAGAGACAGAGAGCGGCGGAAGGAAGGAAGGGAGGAAGGGGAACGAGCGAGCACAGGCGGAGGCGGCGGAGGAGGAUGGGGUUCAUGCUGCGGGUGAGGCUGGCCUCCUUCUUCGCGGGCGCGGCCGCCGCGGCCGCCGCCGGCGGCUACUUCCUCUACAAGGACUACAAGCUCGCCCACGACUCCACCGCCCUCCAGGUACGGGCCGCGCCCUCCUCCUCCCCUCCCCUCCCCUCCGCGUAGCAGAUCUCGGACCCUGUACCACUCCAUGGAUCCCAGCUGCACCUGUCUAGGAAGAAGAAUGGGGGUUGGGGGAACCCCCUUCCGCGAUGCGGCGUCUCGUUUCAAAACCCUAUGAAUCGCACUGCUGAUUUCCUAGAUCAUGUUCCAGUUGGCACCGUUGCUCGGUCCUGGAACUGCAUGCCAGCACCCUGCUUGGAUACGCGCCAGGAGAGCCCAUCCGUUGACAGGCAGCGAUACUCACCAGCCUGAAUUACUACGCCUCAAUAUAGUUUGAUGAGAAUUUCUUGGGGGUGCCUGUGGUGAUAUAUGUUAAUGCUUCUGUGGACCUUGUCAGGCUACCCACUUUUCAUUUGGCUACAGCUUGUAUUUUGCCCGUCUACGGAAUCGCCAUGUCUAGUGUCUGCAAGCUGUAACCGGUGACCAGCAAUGCCGUUUUGAUUUUUCACCUCCUUGGCCGACAGUUCCAGUACCACUUCCUGUGAUGUUGGUAUCUUGGCUUCUCAGGUUAAUGUUCUACUCCCUCCGUCCGAAAUUACUUGUCACAAAAAUGAUAUAAAUGAAUGUAUCUAGAACUAAAAUACAUCUAGAUACAUCCAUUCCUACGACAAGUAUUUUCGGACGGAGGGAGUAUUAGGUAGUUCAGUAGCUUGUAUGGCAUUAGGGAUGAUCUGAGGCAUGGUGUUUUGAAUAAGAUCUGAGGUACAAUGUUGCUCGUUGCAUGGUCGUCGUAUUUUCUUCAUAAAGGCAACUAUGGAUUGCCUAGGAGAGAGCCAGUAUCUUUUGGUCUAGUUCUGAGGUUCCCCAGUGAUUGUUUGUCGUGUUAUCUAGAUGCACACGGCUAGUUUUCUGCAACUUGGCCUUCUGGAUGAUGGAACCACACAUACUGACAAAACCCAUUUGACAUGCCCAUCCACUUUGAAGGUGAAAACGAUGUGUCUGCAGCCCCUUACUCAUUACCGGAUGAUAAUGUCCAGAUAAUGUACUACAAUGUAAGUGGUCAUGUGUUUACUGUUAACAGCAUGAAUGGUUCAUAGCUGGCUAGCCAUUAACAAGAAUGUGGGGGGUGGUUUUGCCGAUAACUUGUUUCCAUUAUGAAGUUGUGGUAACUACAUUAUUAUUAUGAAACAAUAGAUGAGAAGAACACUAGGAUUAUUUCAUCAUGUCUUAUUUACCAUGGCCAUUCGGUAUGUGCUGAUGGGAUUGUUCAGUAGUUCGUAUAAAUGGCGGAAUAUCAUUGAUUAAGGCUGAAGACUGUUUGAUUAGAUGCAAUAAAGACACGUGUCCCUAAGAAGUUGCUUCAAAUGUGGGAAUGGUCUUCUUAUGCUAUUUUUGAGCGGUUGGGACUAAUCGUAGUUGAGGCUGUUUUUAUUCCCCCGAGGUACAGCUUAGUUGUGGAUGUUUUUCAUAAGUGAAGUUGUCUUUCACAUUUCAUUGACUUUUAAGCAGCACAAUAAUUGUCCGAGCUUCAAGAUUGAGAUUUCUAUGGUGUUUGUUAAUCAUGUUCCCUCAUCAUUUCCACUACACUGCAUGAUUCUGCUUGGGUUCAAGAUAACCAUACACACACACAAGCAACCCAUUUGAAAUGCCCAUCCAUUUUGAAAGUAAAAACAAUGUGUCUUCAGCCCCUUACACAUUACCAGAUGAUAGUGCCCUGACAAUGUAGAUUGUAAGUGAUCAUGCAUUUAAAGAUGUGUUUAGUGUUAACAGGGUGCCACGGUCAUAGUUGAACUAAACUCAGUUUUCUGCAAGUGACUCAUUGCUUUCAUUGAUGCAGCAUUCUCAGGAGCAUUUUAGUUUCAUUGGCAGAACCAAUCUUCCAAGUUUCAGCAUAUAUUUGCGAAGGCAUAGAUGCUAUUUUUUUCCAUAAUAAACUUAAUUAUAACCUAUAUAACAUUUUGGACAUUACCUGUAUCGUAAUGCUCGAAGCUGGCCUGUCCGUCUCAUCAACAAGAAUGUUGGUGGUUUUGCCUACCUUCCAGUAUGAAAUUGUGGUAACUUCAUCAGAAUGAUGGAACAAUAGAUAUCCUGACAUGAAAUAUGAGAAGAACACUAGAAUAAUUCAUCAUGUCUGAUUUACCAUGGUCAUUCGGUAUGCACUGGUGGGAUUGUUCGGUAUGCACUGGUGGGAUUGUUCAGUAGUUCAUGUAAAUGGGCAGAAUUUCAUAGAUAAAAUGCUGAAUUUUUUCCAGGUAGAUACGAUAAAGACACAUGUUUGUAUAGUUUUCCCAAGAAGUUGGUUGAAAUGUGGGGAUGGGCUUCUUAUGCUAUUUUUGAGCGGUUGGUUGGAACUAACCUUAGUUGAGGACCCUGAGGUUAAUCUCAGUUGAAGACAUUUUUCAUAAGUGAAGUUGUUGUUCACAUGCCAUGGGCUUUUAAGCAGUGCAAUCAUUAUCUGGGCUUUAAGAUUGAGGUUUCUAUACAUGUGGUGUUUGUUAAUCAAUGCUCCCUAUGCAUUUCCAUUAUACACUCGCAUGAUUCUGGUUGGGUUCAGGAUAAGCAUCUGAUCUCUAAAUCACAACUUUGCCAGGUGAAAGGUCUGCACGACCGUGUGGACGCCCGUUACAAGGCUAUGGACAAGCGACUUGCAGCUCUGGAAGCCCAGAAAAGCGCCGACUCCUCUCCGGGCGUGCCUACGCCAUCGGAUUAGUCAUUUGCCUGUCCAUCACAAGGCUUGACAAGUGGAUGAUUCUAAGUCUGUUUACUUUUAACAUGCGCGCGCUAUCUGCUUCUCCUUUGAAGGCAAGGGGCCUGUGACCGACAGCGAAAUAAUAUAGCGAACAGUUUUUGUUUUGUUGCGUGGGCAAGAAGAAGCUCCUUUUGUUGCGUUGAUGGGAUACAUCAGAUCAGAUCUUAUCUUUGCAGGCCGUUUCACAUUUGCUGUCGCUUGACCGGGGGAUUCAACCCGAACCCUUUUAUGACGCCCCUUGAUUUCUCAGAUCUUUGUUUCUAGCAAUGCAGGCGGCUUUUAUGAUGCCUGUUUUCUUUGCUGGUUUGAUAAUCUAUGUUUUUUUGUGUGGAGGUUUUUCUUAUUUUUGAGGGGUUGAUAAUCUCUGCCGAUGAAGGGAAAACCGGAAAAGUGGUGCUGGCUGAUCCAUGCUUGCACGUUUUAUAUGGAGAAGAAAAGAAAAGUCUAGCUGAUAAGCGUUGAUAGUAUCUGCAAAGGGAUCCGAUCCAGCUCAACAUCACCUUGUCCAUUCGCUACGGCGACCUGUGUUGCCUUGCGUUGCGUGUGGCCAUGGGUCUUGCCGACCUCGAUCUGUUGUGCAAUUUCUUUUAUUGUGUCUCCCAAAUCGCUUAUUGGCUGGGAAUGGUUCAGGCAUGUGAUGACGAUAAUCAAAAGAAGUGAUGGGAGGAAGCGGUUUGAUCGAUUAUGGGCAUUGGGCAAGGGCUGCUUUCAUCGAGAUCUUGGACUGUUCUAAUUAAUCGUUUCGAGAUGGCUUAACUAUGGCCAUUAUCAGCUAUCAUUAUUGGUUGCCUGCCAUCUGCAGGUGCAGAAAGAAGAUGAUAAUUAACUUGGUUGAAGCAUUGUUCCACUACAAUUUGCAUGUAGUAUUAAAACGCAAGCUAAUGGUGAGCUCAACACCAUAGUACUACCUCUACUUGUCCUAAAGAUGAAUGUAUCUAGACUUAUUUUAAUUAUAGAUAUAUUCAUUAUAUGCAUUUUUAGGAUAAUUAUUUUCGGACGGAGGGAGUAGUAUAUAGACACAAAAAUGAAUGACCCUCAGCCAUACCAAAGUCCACGUACAUGUACUAGUAUUUUGCUUCGAGUUUAAUCAUGUUUGAGGGAUCAUGUCGCCGAAUCAUUGAGGAUCUCUUUGUAAAUUACUUAUAUAUAUACAACUCUUUGGAAAUUACAACUAAUUCACACGAUUGGUCCGAAUCCAUCACACUCUUGCUGUAGAAUAAUAUGCUCAGCUCAGGCUGUUAGGCAGUUGGGUCAGUUAAGGCUGAUUGAGGUGGAUUAUCUUUCUGUCAACUUUUCUGUUUGGCUUUCAGAUCAUUGGUUUUUACCCCUUUUCCCGUAACAAAUUAUUAUAGAAUAAGUUUAGUACAUUACAGCAAUGCAUUUGCCGUCUAAUCAUGAAUAUAUUAGCAAAUGUCGAUGUCGUGUCGGUCUUUCCUUUGCUCUAUUUUUCUUUUUUCUUUUAAGUUACGCCGUGUUUCUACUUCGCGCGACACGUGGGCAUGAAAAAAAAUAAAGACUUUACCACAAAUAUUCCAGAAAUACUACCCAGCAACGAAGUAUUCCUCCCUGAAUGAAAUACACAGGACGGCGAAAGGAAAUGCUGAAAAAAAUAUGCUCGAAACCAGUUCGUGGAAGAAAAAUAAUACUCCCUCCGUUACUAAAUAUAAGUCUUUUAAGAUAUUUCACUAGGAGUCUACAUACGAAGCAAAAUGAGUGAAUCUACACUCUAAAGUAUGUCUAUAUACAUCCGUAUGUAGUCCACUAAUGAAACUUCUUUAAAGAUUUAGGAGUAUUUAGGAACGGAGGGAGUAGUAGUAUAAGAAAAGAAACGUCGUUAUUAAGAUAGGAUAAUGAUACGGUUUCGGAGCAAGGCAAAGGAAAAAAACAGUUGAAGAAAGAGACGACGGGCGACGAGCCGAACGGGUCGCCGGUACUCCUCCUCCUCGCUGUCUUAACCAUCCAUCCGUCCAUCAUCGCCGCCGACGAUGCGGCAGUCAAUUGCCCCACGAACUCUUCCGCCAAGGCGUAGUAGUUAGUACGUGCUACUGCUACGAGUACAAAUUCCGCAUGGCCCUCCUCCGCUAGUCCACCCAACCGCGGGACGGGACGGCAAUGGCGUCCUCCUCCUCCCCCUCAUCCUCUCCGGCGGCUCCGCUGCUCGUGCCUUGGCAAGAUGGCCGGGACCAGGACGGCGCGGCCGCUCGGAGCGGCGGCGGCGGCGGCGGGAGUCGGCAGGAGCAGGUACCGGUUCUUGGCGGUUUGAGCUUGGGAACUGGCUUGUGAUGGGUUGGUUGCUGAUGAAAUCUGUGGCUUUCUUGUUUGUGCUGCGAAGGGGGUGGGGUUGGGGGUGGUGCGGAGCUGGGCGGAGGCGAUGCUGCUGUGCUGCGGCGACGCGCGGCGGCUUUGGCGCAGGGUGCUGCUGCGCAAGUGGCUCAACGUCGGCGCCGGGUCCGGCGACUCCGACUUCAGCGCCGACGAGGACGACGCCGACGAGCACGACCACCAAGGUCCGCUUCGCUUGGCCAUCUCUGAUCCCGUCCUCCGUUUCCUGCGCACCAGCUGCUCUGAUUCGAUCCCGUUCGGAGCAUAAUGGGGGGGAUUUUUUUGUGCGAGGGGAAUGCAGACCACCACAUUGCGAAUUCGCAACGCAGACAGACUCACAAUGAACAAUUGGCCAGUUUUCCCAGCUCAAUUGUCCAUUGCUUGCUUUCUCGUCAGAGUUCAUGCUGCUGCAGCAUCAUGAGUGCCACCGGUUCAGUUUCGUAUGGGUACGGCCAUGAGUGCCGUGCCGGUCAUCUCCCUGGUCGAUGGAGACCUCCACUGUGAUGUCCGGCUGCUAAUCCACUUUCUGCAGACCACCGGUUUCGUCGGGCAUAUCCAGCAUUUUUAACCAAGAUAAAGGUUUGGUCCAGGAGUUUGAGGAUUCCGAACUCCUGAUGCCUUUUUGUUUCGUGUCGAACCCUGCUUGAGCCAAAAGGGUCAGCAAAUGUGUGGGCGAAAAGUUUGGCCGCUUUUGAACAACCGCCUUUUCGAGACCGUCUUUUUUAUGCAGAAAGGGGGAAAGAGUAAGGAAUGGCUGUUAAUUUGUUUUGUCUCCCUUCAUCCUUGCAACUUGCAAGUGAGGUUCUGCAUGUGUAAACAAAUGCGUGUCGUUUUGUAGGCAUAGACUUGUCCGGCUUUGAUUUGCGGAUCGAUAUCGAUAAUCACACAUGUUCUGACUGUCAUGUUUGUUCUGCUUGUGCAGAGAAGUGCUUCUCUUGGGAGCACAAACUGUUUGAUGAGGAGAGGAGAUUACGCGGACUUGGUGCGGACACGAUUGGUAAUUUAAUUUUUAUCUCAUUUGUUCGAGAAGAAUGUAUUGGCUGAAUCUGCAUAUUUAGUUGUUGCGUUGGCAAUUCAGUUUCGUCCUAUAAGAGGAAUUGGCUCCUAUGUUAUAUCCACGCCAGCAGAUAGGCAUUGUCUAAAGUGCUUUUCCACUCUCUGUGAAUAUAAAAAUAAAUUAGGAUAGUGCUUUUCCACUCCCUGUGAAUAUAAAAGAAAAUGAGGAUAGUGCUUUUCCACUCCCUGUGAAUAAAUAUAUCAGCGCAACUUUUUUAUGAUAAAGAACAGACGGUCUGGCUUUACAUAAAGCCAAAUACUUCAAAGAAAUAUAUGCAUGAUAAUUAAUAUAAGCACAACGGGCGGGAAAUUAGCAAGCACUGGAUGCCUUUCAAUAUGCGUUUCGAUUUACUCUGAAGCCCAUUUUGUUACAUUAAACGACUGUUUGGUAAGCCAUUCGUGACACACUGCCUUACAUACUGACACAAACACCUGCUUGACCUGGGUUAGCAGUUGCUUUAUAUGCUGAUGCAGACUGUAAUUUGUAGGCAACCAAGUGAAAGAUGUGCCUGACAAGCCUAAAAGGCACAAUUCCGAGACACUUCGUGCUCAGUAUAUCGAUGUCGCAGAACUCAGGUAUAGUCAUAUAGAUUGUUCCCCUCUUACCAUUUCUUUGGCCUUUUUGGCAGUAUUUUCAUAUCAUCCUAUGUGAUUACUAAAAUAAAAUGCUCAAUACACCCUGUUUCUGUCACAUAAAACAUCUCAGAUGAUCUAAUACUAAAUCAUUGAACCCAUCUGCAACUAGGCUAAAAUAUGCCACUAUGGUAGUAUGUUUGCUUCCAAGUUCCAAUCUACAAGUUUUUACAUGCAGGAUUUUCGUAGGGACAUGGAAUGUUGGAGGCAGAGUUCCACCCACUGACUUAGACAUUCAAGAGUGGCUGGCGAUGGAGGAGCCAGCUGAUAUUUAUGUUCUCGGGUAAACCACUGCUCACAAACUUUCAAUUGCAUGAAUCUCCAUCUAUUAUUUUGGGAGAACAUAUGUGGCACAGAUCCACACAAAAUAAGCUUUCACAAUCUGACAUAGCAGCUGCAAUCUUGGAAAAACUUGAAAAGCUGUUCUUUUGGAUCACAUAUUUGAAAAUUAUUUGAUUAUCGGCUGGUGUCUAAUCAGUUUAUCAUCCGUGUGACACUUUAGCUUAUUAUUUAGCUAAGAUGUGAUUUGUUGUUGUGCACUACUGCUAUUAUUUUAGAUGAACGGCCCAUGACCCUGCUUUUAUUAAAGCCACAGUUCAAGCUGCACCAAACAUACCCUUAGUUUAUAUUUACCAUGAAAUUUAUGACCAUCUUUCAGAUUUCAAGAAAUUGUCCCACUAAAUGCCGGGAAUAUAUUCGGUGCUGAAGAUGACCAUCCAGUUGCAGUAUGGGAACAUAUCAUUCGUGAAACUUUGAAUAACAUAUGCCCAUAUAAACCAAAGAAUAAAUGUGUCAGUGAUCCUCCUUCACCAUCAAAGUUUAAUCCAUCAGACUAUCUUGUGAUGGAAGAUGAUUUUCUUAGUGAGGCCGACAAUGAAAGUGAGGGGGAACUUCAUCCAUUGAUUGAACAAGACAUUAUUCCAGUUACUAACGAUAGUGCCAUUUGUAAAACAUAUGAGUACUCCACCUCUGCUUCCAGUGAAAGAAUGCAUGAAGGCGAAGACUUCAGCAGGAUGCCUUCAGUAAAGACUUCUCAUCAAUCCCACAACUUAAGUCAUACACAUUUUAGAUCUCAUCUGGAAGAACCAAGCAACCAAGCCAGUCACUCGGAAAGGCCUGGAAUGAUUUGGCCUGAACAACAAUUGGAUAUGCGGGUUCAUCUUCUUCGGCACAGUGCAUCAGUUACUCCAGUGAAGACUAAAACAGCUUCUGCGUCUUUCAAAUUGAGACAUGAGAAUUCAAAUGGUUUUCCAGAAGAUAAUCUAGACCAUGAUGUUAGUGCCAAUGAUAGACUCGUUAAAAGGAAAAAAUCAAAUUUUGUACGGAUAAUAAGCAAGCAAAUGGUGGGAAUAUAUCUUUCGGUGUGGGUUCAGAGAGGCCUUAGGAGGCACAUUCAGAAUUUGAGAGUAUCAACUGUAGGUGUAGGCGCGAUGGGUUACAUCGGUAACAAGGUGAGUACCAAAGUUGAUCUUAUUUUCUCUCACCAUUCAUUUUGCAUUCAUUUGUACUUCAUGCAUAAGUUUUCAUUUCAUUGACUUGCCUUGUCAUCUCAUAUCAAUUCUUAUUAGAUUCAGCAUGAAUACAUUUGUCGGGUACUAUCUGAUUUACAAAAUCAUCUGAUGACAUUUGUUUCUGCAAUGCUCCAGGGAUCAAUAUCAGUCAGCAUGUCUAUAUAUCAGACACCCUUUUGUUUUGUAUGUUGCCACCUGACAUCUGGUGAAAAGGAUGGAAAUCUAACAAAGAGAAAUGCAGAUGUUGAAGAAAUCCUUCGAAGAACGGUAUUUAACCCAGUUCAUAGAGUCAGCAUGCCUAAGGGAAUACAUGACCAUGAGUAAGUCGGCAAAUUUCUGUCUCCUGAAUCUUUGCUAUCCUCCAAUGCAAUAAUUUUCUCAAUUGCUUAUAUAUGCAGCCAUUUCAUAAAUUUCAGAAAGAUUAUAUGGUUUGGGGAUCUCAACUACCGAAUCAACCUAUCAUAUGAAAGAACACAUGAACUUAUCUCCGGACAGGAAUGGGAUUUAUUGUUUGAGAAUGAUCAGGUAACUUAAUGGUUCGGUACACAAAUUACUACCUGUAGUAUUUCCAGCUCACGCUUUUGCUGUGACAGCUAAAAUGGGAACUGAUGGAAGGGCGUACAUUUGACGGUUGGAUCGAAGGGGUGAUUAGCUUCCCCCCAACAUAUAAAUACGAAUUUAAUUCAGAUAAGUAUUCGGGUGACGAGCCAAUAUCCGCGAGAAGAAGACCUGCAUGGUAUGCUAUCCUGCCUUUUUGUUUCGCACAUUUAAUCUGAUAAGAUCCAUCAUAGCUCGUGUUUGGGCAUUCGAACCCAGGAUAAAUAAAUGUUGCCUACUUCUGUAGGUGCGAUCGGAUUCUUUCAUACGGAAAGGGUAUCAGGUUGGAUUCUUAUAGAAGGGCGGAGCUUAAUCUUUCGGAUCACCGCCCGGUGUCUGCGGUCUACAUGGCCGAGGUUGAAGUUUUAUGCCACAGAAAGUUUCAGAAGGCUCUAACAUUCACCAAUGUAGAGGUCGAGAAUCAUCUUCUAUUGGAGAGAUAAAGCACUUGUUCACUGAAGAGCCCUGGGCUGUGAGAGAACAUCCAGGUCUUAGCUCAAGGCGCAAUGGCGGCCGAAUGGAAAUGCCGGUAAUUUCAGGCAAGUUACCAGAAUGUACAGAAGCAAAUAGGGGUGGCAGUUUGAUGCAUACAGGGAUUGGGUUGUGAGUGUGUGUUUCCGACCAAAUUGGUCGUCCUGUAAAUGAAAAGAAGAAUAAAAGGUAGUCCAACUCCUCAGAAGAGGAUCGAUUGUUCAUAUCUAACACGAUUUGCACAGAAAUGAGAGAUGUUCUUCCCUUCUUUUGUAGAGGUAAUGUUCUUGCUUCUUUUUAAUGUUUGAUGAUGAUUAACCACUGAAGAUAAGAGCUGGAGCUACUAGGUACAAACAGGUAAAAAAAAGCAAGAUACAACCAAAUCCGACUUGAAAUAUUACAUGGUGAAGCUGAAAUUUCCUGGAUUAGAUAUUCAGAAGCAUCUUGUUACAUUAAAACUUGAGUGGACGAGGGCACAUGUUCAGUAAGUUCCUUCGGACAACAUAAACAAAUUUCAGACCACAUUGAUCCAAUGCGACGAAUUCGGUGAAAACUGCAGCAGCCGGUCCUCCGCCUACAGAAAACAAAAUUGCCACUCUGUCAGUAACCAAAUACAAAACAGAACCUAAUUAGCAGAACCUAUGCAACAUAAUGUCUUACAGUGUUAAAACUCAUGACAAGCCCAGAAAUAUAAAGAAAAGCUAUAACAUAAUUGUGGCUAUGUCUCCUAGGAAUAUCGAUGACAGAAACGGUACUGGUGGACUCUAGUUUGUGGAUAGGCUCCAUGGAUAGGCUCCAUUGGCCACUAGUAGGGGUAUACCGAAGAUAAAGGGGACGUGAGCACCAACGAGGUAAUUACGGUUACCAAAAACAUGCAUGAGCAUUGCAAACCUCAAUAUAUCUAACCAUUAAUUAUUUUUUGAUGAUUUGAAACCCUUGCCACGCAUACGUACUAGCUAGUCCGCCUUCUCCAGCACCCGUUGUGCAACAGACACGUGACGUGGAUAAGCUCGUGAUAUGCUCGAUCACGAGCUGACCGCGUCAUGUAAGAGUACGAUCAAGGCCCUGUAGGGGUUGAAUGACUCCCUGUAUAAGGAGAAGGAUAAGAUUAUCGAUGACAAUGCUAUUGUCUAUGAUAAGAUUUUCAGUCUCAAACAUGAUAUCAUGGCACUGAACCUCGAGAUAACUAUGAUCAAGAAGGAGAUACAAGACCUCAAGUCCGAGAGGACUCAACUGAAGACGAAGAAAGCCCAUCACAUCAUGGAGGGGCGGGCAAAUAGGAAUAAACUUCGUGAGCUUAAAUUAGUCCUUAUAAAAACCAAGUAGUGUCGAGAGAGGAAGAUCGAUACAUAUUGUGGAAGUUGGUACUUUUCUUUUGUGAAUUUGGUGAAACAUUUAGUUUGUGGAGCUGGUAGCAUCUUUUGUGAAUUGCUGAAACAUUUAGCAUCUUUUGUAAAUUGCUGAAAUGUUUAGCAUCUUUUGUAAAUUGCUGAAAUGUUUAGCAUCUUUUGUGAAUUGCUGAAACAUUUAGUUUGUGAAGCUGGUAGUAUUUUUUAUUAGCUAAAUAUGAUAGUGUCGGCGUGCAACUUUGUCCAAUGCCAUAUGUACUCAAAAUACUGCCGACGUCGUCUCCAAUGCCAUCACUAAAUUCUAACAGUGGCGCGAUAUUGGUGGCGUCGGGUGUCCACGCCAGCAGGUCCCUUUUUGCCAUGCCAUAGCUAGGCUUUUCUGCACUAGUGAUGGCAAUGUCCCUGUCCAAGGUGGAUAUACGCUGGCAAUAUGGUGACUUUGGCUCCGGAUUAGAUCGGAUCAGCGACGACGACGAGCGGGCGGGAUUCCUCUUGGAGACUCUCGCGGUUUGGUGAGGUGGGGUGGCGUCCCUCUUCCCAAGCUCCAGUGGUGGCACAAGCAAGCAGUGGCCAGUGUGCCAGGGAUCCCAUGGUGGCAGUGCGAUUGUGGAUGGUGGUCGGACAUGGGUGGCCAGAUCUCGGGCUUUGAAGGCGGUCUGGACGGUGCACAUGUUGUCGUUUGGAUGCUCAUGGGACAGAUCCGGGUGAAAACCUGGUCUCGACCGGUGGUCGGAGCCGGCGAUGCUGACGCCCUCGGCAACGUUUCCUUCUUGAAAGCAUCAUCGAGGUGAAGCUCCCAACUCCUUCUGCUACCUUCGGGGAAAACCCAAGAUCAGUCGAUUGGAUGACGGUGGUGCACUUGUGUCGUUCCCUCCUUGGGGGCAUCAUUCUUGGAGGUGUGCAUUGGCUUGAUAGACCAGUAGACGGUUCCAGUGGUGGAGCGGCACUCCAUAUGAUGGAGGCAUAGGGAGGAGGCAUUGUCUAGCGUCAUGGGGGCAUCGACGACAGGCCUGGCAAGGUUGAUGCGUUAGUACCUGCCCUGAAGAUGGAUCAGUGGAAGAUGGCGGAGACGACCUAUAAGUGCGGCGGACCGGUUUGCGUCCCAAACCAAGUAUUUGUCUUGGUUGGGGCAUCCAGCUUUAGAUGUUAGGCAUUUGUGCGAUGUCUGUUUGGUAUUAAAGUUUGAACUAUCAGCACCCCUUCAUCAAGUGGAUAUGAGUAGUGGCAUAUGUUUGUAAGAUGGUGACUUCAGACUUCCUGAUGUACUACUUUGUAAGGUCUUUGUGAAUAAUUAACAAAAUGAAUGCAUGCAUCUUCCAAAUGCAAAGGCCAGGGGACAUCCUUCUUUUCGAAAAAAACGUCUGUACUACAUUGCUGACACAUUAUCGCCAGGGUCUACAAUAAUGUGGUCUUCAUCAAUGGCCUCAUCAACACACCGUCACAGCCUCAACAAUCUCGUUUACAAGGAUGGUCAUGCAUCCUUUGACAAUACUACUACAAAACGAAGAGGACACCGAUGACGACAUUGCCUAUAUUCGAUAGCUAAGACUACAUCGACACAUCGACCACUACUAGGGAAAACCCUAGCAGUAGCGUAGGGUCAGAAGCCUAUCAGUAGCGCGAGCACCCGCGUUGCUGCUAUGAUGCUAAAAGUAACAUUUACCAGUAGUGCGGGAGGCCGGUGCUACUGGAAACUGGGUUAGCAGCAGCGCUGUCUUAAUAUGCACUACUACUAUCCUGUAAUAGUAGUAGAGACUAGCGAGCUCUUAGAAGCCGCGCCACUAUUAAACGAGUGUAUUCCUUUUUUAUAUAUUUCUAUUAUAUUUACACGCGGUUAUACUAACUAAUAUACAACUUCAACAAUAAUUGUGCAAAACACAACAUUUAGAUUAAAGUGGGUGUGUGCAAGUGAUCAAGUUGGGUUAGAGGGGAAAUAUGAUGUUGCGAAUCGUAACAUCAUAUUUUCCUCUAAUUCAACUUGAUCACUUGUAUCCAUCCACUUUGAUCUAAUAUGUGUCAUAUAACUUAUCAUCCUUUUAAUCAUCUAAUAACUUAUCAUCAUCUUGAUUAUCAUCUUAAUCAUCUAACAAUUUAUCAUCAUCUUGAUCAUCUAAUCAUUAGUACAUAAUGUUAGGUCUUCUCUCUUGGCUAGCACAUAUUAUUCUCUUCUAGGUAGAACCUACUAAUCUCUACUGGGUAAAAUAACAUAAAAAGGUAAGCUCCACUCUCUCCAUUGUGAGAAAUAGAGAUCCACCUAUCUCCAACAUGCGGCAUGCGCAAAUCCUUCGCGCCUCCGCCAAGUAGUUGUCGGCGGCUUUUCAUUAAAUUGUCAAAUCCUUUAAGUUUCAGGCUUCCACCCCUUCUAGAAAGCGAGUAUGCAUUACGGAAACAUAUAGGACACCGUGGCCGUAUGCUGAACAGAUUCAAAUGAUGAUCUUCUAUAGUCAUCAGUUUAGGCACAACCUUUGACGGGAAUUUCUAUUGAAGAACAUAAUAAUAACAUAGUAAGCAAUCUAGUUUUGCUUAAAAAAAUUAUGUAUGCAAAAUAUGUACUAAUUAAUGACACAAUAGUAAAAAACAAUCUUACCAUGCUAUCUACAUGGAAAUUACUAGGGUUCAACUCGUGCACUAGUAGCACAUAUUUAGAAUAACUUUCGUCAAUAUCUUCAUAAUUGUUCUUAUAAUCAUCAACAUCAUCAAUAAAUGAAAUCAUAUGUUUUUUCUCCAACCAAGUUAGAUCGGAGCUAGGACUGUAGUAGGUCCUGUCUACUAUCUUUUGAGUUUUUUUGAAGAAGAAAAAUAAGCUGUCACUUAAAAAUAAAUAAGUUAAGUAGGGAUGGACACCAACUAUUUUUAAAUAAGCAAUGCAAAUCACUUAACAAAUAUGGUUGUCAAACUCACAUUAAGGUAAAACUGGAAGCAUAUCUACAUCCAUCCAAAUGUCGAUAUUACCUUCAAUAUCAUCUUCAGGACGAAUAUCGAAGGUUAUUUCCAUAUCCUCCUGAAAUCCAUAUGCCUUUUCUAAAGCUUCCCAAGUUGAGGAACCAAAAUACGAUUGAUUAAUUACAUUGUAUAGUGUAACCAAAAAUGUGAAACCAUGUUUAGUCCUUAGAUGAGCUCUCCUCGUCUCCAUAUUCUCCAUUUCUUGGAAACCGAGCUUCUGCAAGACAUACCGUCUUGCAUGGUAGGGGAUGCACUAAUCGAAUUGUAAAAUAAACAGAAAUUACACGUUGAAGCAAAGAAACACAAAUCAAAGAAGCAACAAUUGUGGUCAUUAUUGCAUACCGUAAAAACAUCAAAAGUCUCGUAAAGCUUGAUGGUGAAGAACCUUCCGUUUCACAGGUGAGGCCUGUCGCACACACCACGAUCUUCGCCGCAAUAAUCACACUCAGGGACCCCCUCGUCCUCAGAUGACAUUUCCUGUGUUCAUGCUUCAAAGAUUAAAAAUCAACCAAAACUAUUGGUGUAUAUGAAAAAUCAGCAUGGGUUGAGUUUCGGUCUGUCGAGGCUUCCUUGAAAAACUCUCACAUCUCAUGGUGUAUACGGUGCACAAUCUCUCACACUGAUACGAUGGUGUAUGUUGGUGGACACUCCCUCACACUACUAUUUCGACCGUCGCUGAUGACCGCUCCUCCCUUUGUUCCCGCGUGCAUUACCAAAAUCUCCAGCACAUGUGAACGAAGGAGGAAGCGGUCCCCACGACAAAGUCGGGAUUCUUCCUGUGAUAUUUCAACCAUCAGUGUUGGUCGCACCUCUUCUUCUGUCCUUGCUCAUUGUACCGAGGUAUAUAUCACAAGAAGAAAUGAAGAGGAAGUGACCCCCAGGGCAACAAUCGGUAUUCCUCCAUCAAGAACAUACUGAAAGUCACACAAGGAGCUCCGACAGACUAAAAGUCAACUCUAUACCUCAAAGUCACCCGAGUGGAAAAUGAUAAUGAAAUUAUGAAAAUGAUAAUGAACAUGUGAAAAUAAAAAUAAAAAUGAAACCUCUGAGCGGCCUAUGUUUUUCUCGAAUGACAUCUAAUUCCUAUUCUCUCAAAAUUUCGACAUAACCUUUUCUAAAAAAUAGAACAUUCCGAGCGCGUGAAAUUUGCGGGAACGAAAAUGAGUCAACAUUCCAGCAAAACAUUUGCCACUUGGAGUUUCAAUUUCACUUUCAUUUUCAUUUUUACUUUCAUUUUCACAUUUUCAUUUUUUCACAUGGUCAAACCAUUCUGAAAGACAACCCGAACCAUCAUCGUUUAAAAUUACAUUCUAUUUUACUACUAGUUAAAUCAAAGUGUCGAAUACAUUUUUCUACCAACUAUUUUUUUUAACUAAUUAAAUAAAUUAGAAACUAUAAACUAGAAAAUAGAAAGUACUACUACAUCUACAUCUCCUACUAUAUAUACUAUACUAAAAACUAGAAACUAGAAACUGAAAAUUCCUAUACCUAAAACAUUACUUAAUUAGGAUAGAGUAGGUGGGAGGACUGGCGAGUGAAGAGGAGGAGGUGGAGGGAGGAGGGCAGUAGGAGGAGCGGGAGAGGAUGGCAACGGGAGGAGGGAGGAGGGCGGUCGGAGGAGGAGGGAGGAGGGAUGAGGCUGGUCAGAGGAGGAGGGGAGGAGAGUUGAGGGAGGAAGGAGGAGGAAGGAGAGAGGAGGGCGAUGAGAGGAGGAGGGAGGGAGGGAGACACGUGAUGGUGGUGGUGGCGGGAGGGCGGUGCCGAUGGGCGAUAACGAUGAUAGCGGCGACAUGGUGUGGCAAGAGUGUGAGAGGGGGAGUGAGAGAAACGGUCGCAUCGGGGUGAGGAUAAGGUGGCAUUAGUAGUAGCGCGGGUUGUGAAAUGACGCUAUUGCUAAGCACUAUAGCAGUAGCGCGUGGUGCGCUAUGGACCAGCGCUACUGCUAGGGGCAGCCUUGGUGGGUAACGAUGUGACCCUUUAGCAGUAGCAUCGGCUUGCAUACCUGCUGAAAAGACCUCGAUGACGCCUAGAGGGGGAGGGGGUGAAUAGGCUAUUUAAAAACUUCUUCAGAUUUGGCUUGAACCUAAUGCGGAAAUAAACUAAGAGGGUACUUGUCAAGCACAAAUCCUAAAUGCACUAGGCACUGCAACGUGUAUCAACAACAUGAUCUACCAAGAUGGACACAAUGCAGUUACUAACAAGCACAAGUAAGUUACACAAACUUACUUGAGCUAUAUCACACGACAAGUAGGUGACCAACACAAGAUACUAGAUCACACUAUAUCACACGAUAUAUCAAGGGCUGCAAGUAUGUACGUGUGGAUAUAGAGGGUAUGCUUGAAUGAUUAAUCUUGUACAAGAAAUAGCCAACACAAUAUAAUGAGCACAAACAAUAUGCAAUGUAUGUAUGCUCAGGUAACACAAGUAAACCACAAGUAAGGAGUUAGGUUAAGGAUAACCAAGGUCACUGAGACGAAGAUGUAUCCCGAUGUUCACUUCCUUGGAGGGAAGCUAGUCACCGCUAGAGAGGUGGAUGUUACCACGAAGGCACACCAACGCCACGAAGGCUCACCCUAUUCUCCCUUUGAGAUAACACCACAAAGGCGUUUCUCAACCACUAGUGGUAAGCCUUUGAGGUGGCUUCCAAACCCUCACAAACUUUUCCGAGGGAAAUCACACGAAUUGAUUCCUCUCCGAAGAACUCCUACCGCCUAGGAGUCUCCAACCUCCAAGAGUAACAAGAUCACGGGGAAUGCUCAAAACUAGGUCAAAUCACAAAUAGCUUGGGUUGAGAGAAGGAGAGGGAGACGAUCUAUCUUUUGAUUGGAACAACUCUCAAAGGGGCUCACAAAUGCUCUUGGGAUCUAUGAUUUGGAGUGAGCAAAUGUGUGUGAGGUGGAAAUGUGUUCUUAUGAGGAUAAGGCUGUGUUGGGCCACCCUCUCACGAAGUGGGAGGGGGGUAUUUAUAGUGGGGAGAGAAAUACAGCCGUUGGGGAUACUUUAAGUCACACAGGGUCCGGACGUCCGCGAGGGGUCGGACGUCCGACGGGGGUCGGUCGUCCGAGGCCUGUAGAUACGACUGAAACUAUUUUGAAUUAAACAGCGAUCGGACGUUCGACAGGGGUCGGUCGUCCGAGGCCUGAAGAUACGACUGAACCUAUGUUGAAUUUAUCAGCCACCUGACGUCCGGAGAGGACAGGAAAUCCGAGUUAUACAGCUCAACUUCUACUGGUGGUAGGUUCCGGAUUUCCGACGGGUGUCGGAAGUCCGGCGCUCGGACGUCCGGAGGGAGCCGGAUUUCCGAGAUAUAGAACUCAACUUCUACUGGUGCAGGCUUCCGGAUUUCCGGGUCUUGGCCGGACAUCCGGGCCUCGGACGUCCGGAGGAAGCCGGAAGUCCGAGUUAUAUGGCUCUGAUUUCUCUGGUAUAGGAUUCCGGAUUUCCGAACUAGUCGGUCGUCCGGUCCUCGGACGUCCGGAGAAGGCCGGAUGUCCGAGGCACUGGUUCUGUUUUCAGAUAACAACAAAGCAGUGGAGAUGUGGUCUGAGCAGAAAGUGAUGAUGUAGUUUGAGCAAGUUCAUCGCAAAACCUGUGAUCCCCUCUUAAUAGUGCGGGAUCCCUAAGGACUCAAGAAUCAUAAAAGAGUACUGAUGAUCCAUACUUGAGUGUAUACUUUUAUUCGCUGAUCAUCACUCCGCACAACUAACGUCAAAGGAACUGAUACCUUUGAGUUAGCCCUUUCACCUGAGCUUGAUGUUGUUGUUCCUUCUUGGCUCAAGUUGAAAGCAAGACAUGAUGAAGUCUUCAAGUAGCUUUCCCAUACACAAUGCGGAAAGCCUAGCUUAUGUAUUCAUGUUCAUUUUUCCACCAUGUGAACAUCCACAAGAAUCAAGCAUGUAGUGCUCAGGAAUGCUUAUCUUGAUCUUGUCCUUGUUAGCACAUGAAGUUGUCCUUAUCAACAUCCUUGUUAGCUUAUGUUUCAAUGAUAUAUUCGUGCUGAUCCACUUGAACUUGCACACCACAAUCUUGAUGACGAUCACCACUUCAUUUGUCCACCAUGUGAACAUCCACAAGAAUCAAGCAUGUAGUGCUCAGGAAUGCUUAUCUUGAUCUUGUCCUUGUUAGCACAUGAGGUUGUCCUUAUCAACAUCCUUGUUAGCUUAUGUUUCAAUGAUAUAUUCAUGCUGAUCCACUUGAACUUGCACACCACAAUCUUGAUGACGAUCACCACUUGACGUCAUCCUUCAUGGGUUGUAUGAGAUCUUCCUUUUGACGCAAGCCCAAUGAAAGCACACCUAACCCCCCACACAGGAGUCUCACAAAGACCAUGGGUUAGUACACAAACACGUAAUGGACAAUGCUUACCGUACCAUGGGAUCACUUGAUCCCUCUCGGUACAUCUUAUACGCUUUGUGUGUUGAUCAUCUUGAUUUACUCUUUGUCUGAGAUCUUGAUCAACCUAGUGUUUCUAUGACCAUUCUUUGGAUAAUACCUUGAAUAACAUCUUGGUCAUCAUAUAAAAUCCUUGAACCCAACAGAUGGACUUCAAGAAGUGCCUAUGGACAAAUCCUAUAAAUAUAACUUAAGGCAACCAUUAGUCCAUAGGAAUUGUCAUCAAUUACCAAAACCACAUAUGGAGAUAUAUGCUCUAACACCUGCGAUGUUAGUACAUAACUACCUGUAGCGCCUCUGCUUACACCGUGCUACUAAUAAGUAGCAGUAGCGCCCUGAGCAAAAGCGCGCUACUCAUAAGCCUCCAUGUAUAAGGUUUUCCUUAGUAGUGGACGCCACUAUUGUGAAAGACACUACAACCGCGUUGUGUGCUCGGGGGUUUCCUCCAGUCUUGACAAAACUAAUGGUCUCACAUACAACCGUGUCCUCUCAUAUUCGCAAGAUGCCUGCAGAUGUACCCCUCAAGGUGCAACACGUCGCUGUGACGGUACUUCUCAAUGUGCAAAACGUCGCCCCCAACUGUGCCUCUUCGAAUGCAAAGCGCCGGCUACAUGAUUGCAACACCGUCAUACACAUCAUGCGAAUUUGUUUGUGCCUCCGACGAUUGCGGCUACACCAACUAUGAUAAAUUCUACAUCAACCACGACUACUUCGACUACAAUUACAUCACGAUCGGUGACCCCAACAUUAAUCACACGACUACGUCUACACCAACACAUCAACAACAACUCAGUCAACAACGUCCGCUUCGUCACGAACGUCCAUGCCACUCUCGGUGCGACUGGAAUAGAAAAUAGAGGAGAAACAAGGAAGGCACCAGAAUCGUGCAAAUUUGUUUGCGCCUUCGACGAUUGCGGCUACACCAACUAUGAUGAAUUCUACAUCGACCACGACUACUUCGACUACAAUUACAUCACAACCGGCGACCUCAACAUCAACCUCACGACUACGUCUACAUCAACACAUCGGCAACAACUCGAGUCGACAACGUCUGCUUCGUCACGAACGCCCACGCCACCUUGCUGUGACUGCAGUACGGAAUAGAGAAGAAACAAGGAAAGCACUAGAAGAGGACGUAGUCACCGCACAGGUGCCGAUCCAUCAAAGACGCAAUUGAUGAUGAAGCAAUGAAGAAGAUAACGAAAGCAUAAGACUUUAAAUUCAGUGAAGAUCGUUCGUUUCACUCUACGACUGAAGGGGAAUGUUAGAGAUAAUAUUUGAGAGUUAGAGAUAAAUAUGUAUUAGAGAUAAAAAUAGGUUUAAACAACCUUGACUUGUAUUUCUGGCACAUCCCUCUCUCAUGUACCUUAUAUAAUCCCUCACGAGGGACAGAUCAGUACACAACAGAUAUUGUAGGGUUCCAUAUUUUCCACAAUCAGAUUAAGAAAAGUAUGCAUAUUUACAUCCAUUUUGCAGAACCUUCAAAAGGUAGUGGUAAGCGUUCAAGUCCUUUGGAAUAAACAGAUAGCUGCAACUCCAUCAUCGUGGACCAAAGGCGCCUGGACUUCUCCUGAAGAAAUCAAAGAAUGCCGUCAGCGAAAUGAUGCAUGAAAACUUUAAGGCCUUGGUUACACAAAUAAAAAGACGACAGUUACCAUGCAUUAUCAUUCACCGCUGUUUCUUACAGUUGCUGUUAUACCCCCUCGACAACCUCUUCAAAGUGGGCCGGGGCGUACCCGAAUCAGCUUGUGCGAAAUAAUCUUCUGGAUCGUUUGGUACCAUGUUUCAUUAGCUCGUGUGAGAAAAAACAAUUUAAAAACAGAGGUUACCAUCAUUCUUGCAGAUCCAUGACUUCUUUUUUGCCUACAGAGCAUGCAUAGUUGCAUACCUUUGCAGCUCCUGGCAUCGGAAAAUCCUUUUUCCUUUUUGUCAGUUGAUGGCGGGAUUAACCUCAGAUUCUGGUCACACAGCAGGAUUAACUAUUUACUCUUAUUCUCCCGCAAAUUAAAAAAAUACUUUUGAUGACUUGACUUACAGAAAAGAUGAAGUUUACUGUUAAUGACCUAGAAUUUCAGAAAGGACGAAGUAUAUACAGAAGCUUUGGAUUCGUAGUUACCUUAACAUCUUCACCUCGACUGAGUCUUUGAACCUUCGGCUGGGCUACAUUCUUGUCGCCAGAUCUCUUUGCACCAACUGCGAUCACACCAACUUCCAUUUCUUUUUCUGGAAUCUCACAUUUCCCAUUGAAAGGUGGCAUGUAGCAAAACCUGAAAUUUUACAGCAUCAACACUUCAUACCUGUCAAAAAGGCACACAUGUGUGGUGUAUAAACUUUGCUACACCAAGAUGCUUAUCAAUUACUACCUCUGCCUGGAAUUACUUGUCAAUGACGUCAAGUUACUCAAGACGGAGGGAGUAUAAUUAUUGAAGUUCCUUUUCUUAAGUCUUAUACUUUUGGUAAAAAAAAAAWUUGGAAAAGGAGGCGAAGCCCCGGCCUCUGCAUCGAGGGAUGCAUACGGCCAUAUAUUAUUUCAAAACCAAGUCCUCGAAAAAUACAAAGAGUCUCCAGAUAAGUAAAUGAAGAAAAUAACAAAAAGAUACACGGCGUCGUCGCCACAACCGGGAGGCAUUUAAAAUAAGCCUAGAUGACUAAACACCUAUCCUAUUAAUAUGCCGUCAUCCAAAACGGUUGAAGAUAACCUGAGCUACCAUCUCCCAUCGGACGCACCCAGUAACUUUUGGUAAUAUAUGGCUACUUAAAAAAAUACUCAAUUUAACAAUGAAAAGAUUUACCAGUGAAAAAUAUUUGGGUAACGAAACUAAAUUUGAUGGUAAUAACAUGAAUGAUCGUCCAGUAAACUUAAAAGUCAGCAAGAUUCCAUAAACUGAAAAAUCAGCAUCGCUGUAGGACAGUAAACUUGUAAGGUAAUCCUGGCGUUGUUCAGAGUCAACUUUCCAAAUUCCAGCAGUAAGUACUUCCUCUGUAAAGAAAUAUAAGAGCGCUUAGAUCACUAAAGUAGUAAUCAAAAUGCUCUUAUAUCUCUUUACGGAGGGAGUAGCUGUUAUUACUGCUGGGACAGGAAAUCCCUUUAGGUACCAGGAAUACUGUAGCUAUGGGUGAGUACACCACUUUGUAGUAACAAAAUUCAUGCAUCAAACUCCAUAUUUAUAAGUUAUUUGAAAUUAAAAUGCUACAGGAUUCAUAUUUAUUUUUCAUAUAACUGAGCUUGCAUCACGAUUUGUAAAGUUGCGGCCGGUUUACUGGCUGUUGGAUGGCCAGGGCAAUCAUUCAAGUUAAGAACUUAAAACCCUGGUCACGAUAGCCAAGAUGCGGUAGCAAUGACAUGUUAAUUGCAAGCUGGAAACAUACAAACCAUUCACUGGGUAGACAGUCUUUAUCAAAGCCCACGCUCAGCACUCUCCAUUUACGACAGCUGUUGCACUGAACCCAGUCAUCAACAGCCUCGAUAUGCUCAGAGUCUUCUCUCUAUAUGAAGAGAGUUAACUAGAGUGAAUAAUCCUUUCGAAUAAUAUGGAACAGUGCAGAAGGUAAAAUGAUAACUUAUUACUUCUGUAAGAUAAACAUUUAGGUCCUGAGAGGAUAGAAAUGCAACCCCCAUCCCCGAUGAGAAUAAACCUCUGAUAGCAUGAUUACAUACAUGUAAGUAGACGUAUUUUCAGAAGAACUGAUAGAUUUGUAUGCAUGUAUUUCAUGCAGAAAAAGGGAAGUGCAUAUCACAUCUAUAUUUGUAUGUCAAUUUUACAGUAUUUACAGAAGACCUGGUAGGUUUUCAAUGGAUAGUAACAUAAAGUGUUAUUGAUGAUGGCAUGAAUGGGUAACUCAUACUGUCCACCAUGUUACCAUACCACCUCAUCAUGGUUAAUACUUUCAUUGGAAUUUUCAAAUGAAUGCAUGAAAACAGAGUUAUCUCCCAAUAUUAUCGUUCUUGUCCUUUUUCCAUGCAAAAGAGAUCUCAUAAUGCAUUUCAGGACAAGAUGUGUAAGCUAUUUUCCAAUGUAAAUUAAAUCAUACAUCCAUACCAAUUCAAGCUUGUCAAAAUUUCUAUCCCAGUAUUGAUCUGCUUUUCUCCCGAGCCACUCCUCCAGUUUGACAUACAUUUCACAAUCCUGAAACCCUUGCUUGCUGUUAAGAACCCAAGUACUACCAUCUUCGUUAUCCUGAAAAAUACAUCAAGAAGUUUAUGCCGGGGACACAAGGGCAAAGAAAUAGGAAAAUAGAGGAGCAAAGAACAUGAAGAAUAAAUCCUACAAUGAGGUCAGUAACAUCUGCAACUCCUAUUAUUCCACGCCCUGCGUCAGCAUUGUACUGUUGCCCUCCAACUCGUUUGUAAGACUGGGAAGAGAACACAAAAAUCAAUGUUACAACAAAUACAAAAUGCAUGACAAAAGAGUGCAAACUGUUGGCAAUAAUCUUGCCUCUAAUACAAAUAGGUUUAUGUGUUAGCACACGUUCUGUUCAGUUUGUAUUAAGUUAGCCCUAAUCUAUUCUCCACGUGAGAAGAGUUAGUUAGAGUACAAGGUUAGGCUGGUACGUGUUGUGUCCUAGUGCUAGUUUUUUUUUUUUAGAAAAGGAGGUUCAACCCCCGGCCUCUGCAUCAAUCGAUGCAUACAACCAUCUUUAUUAAUUAUUCUACAAAGGUCUGACAAAAAUAUACAUCAAACCACCAGAAGCCAUCAUUCACAUCUACAAACUCGAUAAUGUGGAGUGCUCUCACUCCCCAUAUCUAAAAUCGGUGUUGUCGUCAAUCCAUCCACAUAAUGUAUCGAGACCAACAGCCGGUGCAGCAUACCUAAAGCACACACCACAUGCACACAUUAGAAGCCGCCAUCAUCAUCGGUCCACUGACCCAUCUUCACGAGAGAGAUCCAUAUCAUCUUUGCCAGUCCGAACAUCCGUCGACGCCACCACGGCGCCAAACAACGCCUGUCCCGCGCUCAUUCGUCCAGACGCGAAGAUUCUGAAAGAACUGUCGUGCGUAGCACCUACCAACCAGGCAUGACUCAGCGUAGCACCUGUCUGCCAGGCAUGACUUGACAGCUCCACCAAAUCCCCGGGUCAGAUGAAGCCGCUCCAUUUCCUGCCUCUGUCAUCCAGCGCUGCUCCACAAACGAUGCUCCCAAGAGAGAAACGCCACCGCAGUACGGCCAUCGUUCGAUCUGGAAGGUCAGAUCUUAGGGUUUCCCCGAAGCAGUGCCCACCACCAGCAACCGUCAAGGACCCACACAGUGCCCACCACCACUCAGCCCUCAAGGCGACGCCUUCAGGAAGGUCACGGCGUCAAGGACGCCGCCGCCGCCCAUCGGAGUUAGGGUUUUCACCCGAGAGGCACCGAGGUAGGAAGUGGAGGGGCAGAUGUAGACCGACGUCUCCAAGAAGAACAACAACGCCCUUCAACGUCAUCGGCGGCGCGGCCGGCCAGGGCCGACCAAGGGGUUUCCCCUUAUUUGAAUCUCCUCCACCAGCUUCAUCCGCGGCCACGCCGGCACCGCCAGGAACCCGCAGGAGAGAAGCACACCGUGGGUAUCUGGAUCAAUGAAGAUCCAAUCUGGACAGUGACGAGUACCACCACCCUGCGCUGGCCGACGGCGUCCGGGCGCUGGAUCUAGAAGGAUCUGACCCAAACUCGGCGACGCAUGCGGCCAUCGUGUCUUGCCCCUCCCGCAGCCAGCACACCGCGCCGCAAGAACGAACCCCAGCCGUCAACGCGCUCCGCACGCCGCCGCUAGGAUCCACAUGCAGCGCCGCCACACCGUGCGCUAGUCCGGUGCCUCCUCACGAACGGCCGUCCCGCGCCAGCCAUAUCGCGUGAAGGGGAGAGGAGCCCCGCCGUCGUCCAGCGGCGCUGCUGGCGGCGGCGAGGAGGAAGGAGGGGCAAGGGAGGACCAGCGGCGGCGGUUAGGGUUAUCCCCUGGUCGCCCACGGGGGCGACGGGAGGGGGUUACGGGCUGCCUGCGUGUGUAUAUAUAUAUAUACACAAAAGGUCGGCGUGAGUUUUGUGUAUGGAGAUGAGAAAAACAAAGGGGCAUGAUAUGGGCCCUUGGCUAAAGUUUUUUGUGUGUGCGUGUUUGCCGAUUUUGAUAUGAUCGAUCUUGUGGGCGGAUAUCCAACACAUACAACUUGCUGAAACAAAGCACGCAUGUAUUGAGUGUGAUGUACAACACUAAAGCUCGAUCCAUUUUCUGUGAAUAGUUGCCACUUGUUACAUUCAACGUAGUUUUCAAUGCCCGGAAAGAUGGGGCUAAAAUUCGUUCUCCAUCUCUACCCUAGCGAGAAAAAGUCCCCCCGAGAAACAGAACGCCCGACAAUUGCGGUUUGGCGAUCUCGCUGGCGACUGGUGGUGCAAGGCCCGGCGACGGCCUUGCCCGCCGGCCGGAACGGGUUCUUGGCGGCGCGAAAACAGGGUUUCCACGCCAGGAAUGGAAUUCUCUCCAGUCAUCACAUCUGAGGGGCGAUUUUGGGCGAGGUCUAAGGAUGAAUCUGACGACGAGGAGUUGCAGACGGCAGCAGCUUCACCAACUCCAUCUGAUAUCGUCUGUGAGUCUAUUCUUGUCGGAUACUCCGACGAGCAAAUUGCGUCAGGUAUAGACAGGCUGAUUCCAGCGGCUGAUGAAGCCUGGAACGGCUUGGGUGACGCGGAGGAGGACAAACUCGAGGUAGUACGACGGGUGGUCCAGCGCCGCACAUCGCAGAACGCCAUUAAGCCAUGGAAAGGUCCUCUACCAAAGGUACGUUUACCAGCCAUUACUCUAGCGGAUUUCUUUCUAAAGUGCAAACAUGAGCCGAUCAGAGGAAAGCAAAGACGACCGGCGGUAGGAAGGCAGCCGGCGGCCACAUUGUUCCGAUCGGAGUGCCAGAUCCGAGAGGGAAGUUCAGAGCGUUUGAAUCGUUUGAUCGGCCAAGAUGGGCCAGAAAAAACGAGUUGUGGACAAGUGGCGGCUGGGUAUACGGCCCAGUUUGUUACGGGAUUGGAGUCCUCGGCGGUUAAGAUUGUACCACGGUCUGUCGGGCUGCAGUCCAACUCGGCCAGGGUUUUGCUUGGGUUAUUAGCGCCUCCACAGCCAGGUUUCCCGUCUCGAUCUGGGAGGGCUCGGCGUAUCCCGGCUUGGAUUUCGAUGACGGCGCCUCGCCCUGAGGCUUCGGCGGCGGCUACCAUUGCUGCACCUACGGGAGCAGCAGGUACUGGGGCUGCAGCUCUUAAGCGAGAUGCUGCUGAAGACCAUCAGGGUCAUGGGCUCAAAUCUGCUGGUAGAGGUGGCUCGGCUGCUGGCCAUCAGGGACGCGGCUUCCAGGCUGGCAGGGGCGGUCAUGCAGCAAUGGGUAACAGAGGGGGCGGUGGGCAGCAGGGUUACAGGCAUUACAAUAAUCAAUGGAACGAGUUCAACAAUCGCUCCAACUGGAAUUCAGGAGGGGGGCAUGGUGGUGGAGGAAACCAAUGGCAUCGACCCUUCCAGCCACCUGAGGGGAAUUUCGUUGAAGGUACUAGAGGGGAAAACUUUAGGCAACGAGGGGGUGCCGGAGUUCGGAACUAUGGCAGAAAUAACACAGGGCCGAUGUGGAAGGAAGUAUUACCUUCCGGCGGAGGGGAGGGGCAGAAUAACAGUACGUCCACGGAGUCUUUGCAGCAUAAAAACUCCGAGGACAGGGAAGUAGCGAGAGUGAAUAAGGCAGCUCGCAAAAAGGAGAAGCUUACGUGCUAUAGAUGUGGGGUGUCGGGACACUUUGUAGUGGAUUGCACAACUAUUUUAUGUGAUAUUUGUUUGAAGCCUGGACAUACAGAGGAUGCAUGUCCCUUGCUUCUAGUUCCCAAGCCAAUUAUGAACAUCUAUGGGGUCUGUCAUAGCAAACUUAUGUUCUUUGAGAUGCCACGAUCUUCUUCAGUCCUUGCUCCUCCUCGUCUUGAAAGUUCAAGGACGGGCAUGGUAAAAGUGACUAAUGGUGAGUUGACUGCCGAACAAGUGUCUCAACAGAUGAAAAGGCUCGUUUCUGAGACAUAUAAUUGGGAUCCGAUAAGGGUAGAUGAUAAUUCCUAUCAGGUGGAGUUCCCUAGAAGAGAAGACCUGCAACGAUUACUCACAUUUGGUGUUAGUAAGGUCAGUGGGAGCAAAUGCUUACUGGAGUUCGAGGAAUGUAUUAAACCUGCACCACAGGGUAUUCGGUUACAGAAGAGGUGGAUCAGAUUUUCAGGUAUUCCAGAGAUUCUACUCAAUGAUUUCCUUAUCGUAUGGAGCUUGGGUUCGUUGAUUGGGAAGACUGAGAAGGUAGAUAUGCCAUUCACUCGUAAAAGGGGGAUUGCAAGAUUGCUUGUGAUGGUGCUUGAUGUGGAGCAGAUACCAGAUUUUGCUCCAUGGUCAUAUGAUGGACUGCACUAUGACCUCGAUGUGGAGGUUGAGGAGGUGGUUCAUCAGAAAACACAGGAUGGCGAUGUGCUAAUGGCUGAUGGCGAGGAUAGAGAUAGAGAUCGUGGUGAUGCUAAUCAGGAUAGGUCUCCAGAGGCACCAACAGAUAACAUCAGCCCAUCCAUGCCUACAUCUGAUAAACCGACUCUCACAGGGGGUGCUACGUCCUCUUCUCAUAUGCAUAUGGCUGAACUAAGGUUUGGAUCAUUCAAGGUAAUGUCAACCUUAGGAGAGGAGGUUCGUGAACAGGCUUGGGAACAGUUGACUGUGCAAGACACCUCUUAUGCACUCGGUACCUCAUUUGAGAGGGGUGCCCCGAUGCAAACUCCUAAUAAGAAGGAUGAUAUGCAGUGUACUGCAGCCAUCCCGAAAGUGGAUCCCAAGCCUAUUGCUGCUGAUCUGAACAAGCUCAUGGAGGCUGCACACUCACACAUACCAGACUCAUCUCUCAAUACACCUGCUGGUCGGAACGAGAGGUCGGCCAUCAGGGAAAAUUCUGAGCCGCCGCAGGAGUGGGCAAAUGAAGCAACCCCGCCCCCAUCUCAUAAUGUUGUUGCUGAUGAGCCAAUGUCUUGGUGCAAGGACAAUUGCUUUUCAAGUAGUAAGCAGCAAAUAUAUUCGUUUAUAUCUGAUAAUCCUAUAUUUGAUUCACCUCUUGACCACAAUUAUGUUCAAAAUACGACAAUAGGGAAGGAUAACAUUGAGUUUUCUAAAGAGGAUGUGAUCUCGUUUGGUGGGAUUCCUGAUCUGUCUACGGAAGAUAGACGCUUCAGUCAGCGGAUUCAGGAGAUGCCUGAUGCUGAUGAUAUGUCCAUGGGGCAUGCUAUGAGGGCUGCCAAGAUUCGAGACGCUGAGAUGACUACAGGUAUGGUCAUUGAAAAUAAUCCUUCAAUUCUAAAUUUUUCUGAUGUAGAGAUUGUGAACAAUGCUAGCGACAUAGGAGUAUCUCUGGGUUCAUCUUCUAAAAUCAUAGCCAAAUCCAUCAAUGACAUGCUUGAUUUAGAGACGGAUAGAAACAUUGAGUUUAUUAAAAAUUUAGCUGCGUUAAAACCAAUGACUGAAUCGGAUAUUAACGACUUAGGAGGGGUACAACUCCAAAAUAUAUGUGAUUCAUUAUUACAUGAAGAGGCCGAAGAAAACGAAGUGGAUAAUAAGGAUUCGGAGGGGUAUAUGGCCUCUUCGAAAGCCAAUGUUUAUCCACAACCAAUAAUACAUUCGGAGGAGACUAGCUGUAUUCACGAGAAACCGAAAAGACCUUGGAAAAGGAAGGGUUUUCCUGUAUCAGCGGUACGAAGAAGCGCGAGAGUGAAGCAAAAGAAAAAGUUCUACGAUGAAAUAUGAAAGGAAUUUUUUGGAAUAGCAGAGGUCUUGCGGACUUGGCUAAAAAAAGAUUCCUUAGGGACGCAUCUCUAGAAUAUAAGCUAGAUUUUAUGGCUAUACAAGAAACCUGAAGGGAUAAUUUCACACCUCAAUUUUUAACGUCUUUAUCAGGAGGGGUCGAAUUCGAUUGGCAUUGUCUGCCACCAAGGGGAAGAUCCGGUGGGAUUUUACUUGGAGCCAAGUGUGAGACUCUAGAGGUGAUGAGCGUCAUUUUUGGGGAGUUCACCGUCAAAUUUCGUGUCAGGUCGAAAGUUGAUGGCUUCAAAUGGGCUCUAGUGGCGGUAUAUGGGGCGGCACAACCACAACUCAAACCUGAUUUUCUAGCAGAUCUGGUUAGAAUUUGUGGGAAUGAAACACUGCCAAUUUUAGUGGGAGGAGAUUUUAAUAUCGUUCGAAGGAAGGAUAAAAAAAACAAUGAUAAUUUUGACACUAGAUGGUCAAUGAUGUUUAAUAUGGUUAUUGAAAGCCUAAAUCUGCGAGAGAUCGAGCUUACUGGUAGACAAUUCACAUGGGCUAACUCAUUGCCUGUGCCAACAUAUGAAAAGCUGGAUCGGGUUCUUUCUACUGUUGAUUGGGAGCAGAACGUACCCUUUGGUUAAUGCACAUGCCUUACAGAGAGCUAUUUCAGAUCACACUCCUAUUUUGGUUGACUCAGGGGAGGGCAGCCAUAUGGGCAAUAAAAAUUCUUUCUCAUUUGAACUAAGCUGGUUCGAAAAGGAGGGUUUCACGGAUAUAUUAGCUACUGAAUGGGCUAGAGAUUUAGGAGGUGCUACCAAUGUAGAAAUUUGGCAAAAUAAAAUCAGAAAUCUACGCCAAUUUCUAAGAGGGUGGGCGAAAAAUCAGAGUGGUGCUUAUAAAAAAGAGAAACAAAGACUCACCACUCUCAUUGACGAUUUAGACAUUAAGGCCGAGCCGGGCCAACUAAGUUUGUUUGAAAGAAAUAUUAAGAAUGAUGCUGAGAUCAAACUACAAAAGCUUUUGAGAGAGGAAGAGCUCAAAUGGGCUAGUAGAGCUAAGGUGAUGAACGUCGCCUAUGGAGACGACAACACUAAGUUCUUUCAUAUGAUUGCAAAUGGCAAACAUCGAAAGAAGAAAAUUAUCCAGUUAGAACAAGAUGAAGGAACAAUUAUAGGACAUGAGAAUUUAAAAUCUUAUAUUUCUGAAUAUUAUAAGAGUCUUUUUAGUGCACCUAGGGAGUCGUCGAUAUCCUUAGAUGAAAACAAGGUUAAUGAUAUACCUCAACUCAAUGAACAGGAGAAUGAGGUUUUAUCAACCCCGUUUACAGAAAAAGAGGUGUAUGAAGCAAUUACUAGCAUGAAACAAAAUACAGCGCCGGGACCUGAUGGGUUUCCGGCAGAGUUUUAUAAAAAGUGUUGGCACAUGAUUAAGGGGGAUCUCAUGCCUAUGUUUCAAGAUUUGUUCAAUGGACAAUUACAGUUAUUCCACCUUAACUUUGGAACAAUUACGCUGUUGCCAAAAAAGACGGAUGCUAUGCGUAUUCAUCAGUUUAGACCGAUUUGCUUACUUAAUGUCAGUUUCAAAAUUUUCACAAAGGUUGCCACUAAUAGAUUAACGAAGAUAGCAGAUUCUGUGGUUCAGCCAACACAGUCGGCGUUUAUGCCAGGGAGACACAUCUUGGAGGGCGUGGUUGUCCUGCAUGAAACGGUCCACGAAAUGCACACAAAAAAACUAGACGGAGUUAUUUUUAAAGUGGACUUUGAGAAAGCCUAUGAUAAAGUCAAAUGGUCUUUUCUGCAACAAGCCUUAAGGAUGAAAGGAUUCAAUGAAAGAUGGAGAAAUCAGGUUGAUACUUUCAUCCACAAAGGGAGUGUAGGAGUGAAGGUAAAUGAUGACAAUGGUCACUACUUCCAAACGCAUAAGGGGUUAAGGCAGGGUGACUCAAUGUCUCCGGUGUUGUUUAACAUAGUAGCAAAUAUGUUGACAAUACUCAUUGAUAGGGCCAAACACAUGGGUCAUGUAGGUGGUUUAAUUCCACAUCUGAUUGAUGGGGGAAUUUCCAUUUUACAAUAUGCAGAUGAUACAAUUAUUUUCAUGAAGCAUGAUAUGCAGAAAGCAAUUAAUAUGAAAUUGGUGUUAUGUUUAUUUGAACAACUGUCAGGGUUAAAAAUAAACUUUAACAAAAGUGAACUCAUUUGCUUUGGAAAAGCAAAAGAGGAGCAGGAUGCUUACAGACAGUUAUUUGGAUGUCAAAUAGGAGCACUUCCAAUUAACUACCUCGGGAUUCCAAUUCAUCAUAGGCGACUAACAAUUAAAGAGUGGAAAUGCAUUGAAGAACGAUUUGAAAAGAAAUUAAGCUGCUGGAAGGGUAAGCUUAUGUCCUAUGGAGGAAGGCUGGUGUUAAUUAAUUCGGUGUUAACAAGCCUACCCAUGUUCUUAUUGUCUUUCUUUGAGAUACCCGUAGGGGUACGAAAAAGAUUAGAUUUUUACAGAUCGCGGUUCUUUUGGCAAAGUGAUGAUAAUAAGAAGAAAUACAGAUUGGCGCGUUGGGAUAUAAUUUGCAGACCCAAAGACCAGGGGGAUUGGGCAUAGAGAAUCUUGAAGUAAAAAACAGAUGUCUACUCAGUAAAUGGUUGUAUAGAUUAUCCACAGAGACAGAAGGAAUGUGGAUUCAAAUAAUUAAGAAUAAAUAUCUGAGCUCAAAAUCACUAGCGCAGGCUACUGCUAGACCUGACGACUCUCCUUUUUGGAAAGGGUUAAUGAAGAUUAAGAUCAAUUUCUUCCAGAGGGUGAAAUUUAUUAUAGGGAAUGGUGCAUCAACAAGAUUUUGGGAAGAUACUUGGCUUGGGCAUACUCCGCUAGCACUACAAUACCCCAUGCUUUACAAUAUUGUUCAACGUAAGCAGGACUAUGUGUCCACAGUGUUACAAUCGACUCCUCUUAAUAUAAACUUCCGACGGUCGUUAGUAGGAGUACGUUGGGAGGCAUGGUUGCAUUUGGUAAGAAGGAUUAUGAACAUACAAUUAUAUGUACAACCGGAUAAGAUUCGUUGGAUAUUAUCUCGGAAUGGCAGCUUCUCUGUGAAGUCCAUGUAUACGGAUCUGAUUAACACAGGACCUUUACUUAGAUCAGUUCACAUUUGGAAAAUCAAAGUACCCCUAAGAAUCAAGAUUUUCAUGUGGUUUUUACACAAAGGUGUGAUUUUGACCAAAGAUAAUCUGAUUAAACGUAGUUGGAGAGGCAGAGCUAAAUGUUGUUUUUGUGACCAGGAUGAAACAAUAACACAUCUGUUCUUACAUUGCCCUCUUGCAAAACUACUUUGGCGCACGGUGCAUAUAGCUUUUAAUGUGCCCCCACCUACAUGCAUUAAUGCAAUAUUCGCAACGUGGCUCAAUGGAGUAGACGUGCGAAUUUCUAGACUGAUUAGGAUUGGAGUAUGUGCUCUAUUUUGGGCUAUAUGGAACACCAGGAAUGGCUUGAUUUUUAAUGGCAACAAAUUCAAUAACUUUUUGCAGGUCAUUUACAGAGCAACUUAUUGGAUCCAUACGUGGUCAUUACUCAGUCAUGUGGACUCCAGGGAGCUUAUGGAUAUUGGGUGCAACCGAUGGGUGAUGGCCGCACGGGUUAUCUUCAACCGGUUUGGAUGGCAUGUUAGCAAUAGACUAGGUAUAUAGGCAUCGGAGUCUAUUAUCAUUUUCGCCGGAUGUGGCAGUUCGCUCUUUUAUUUUUAUUUUCUGCAUUGCGAGAUGCAAUUUGUUUUGGAACUUGGAUUAUACUUUGUUAUUUUAAUAAUAUGGCUGCAUGCAUCGAUUGAUGCAGAGGCCGGAGGUCAAGCCUCCAUUUCCAAAAAAAAUCUCUACCCUAGCAAGUAAUGGAAGAAAAUAUGUGCAAUGUAAUUGAACAGAAGUAUUGCAGUUUAUAGAUGUGUCAUAUACUCAUAUCUCUACACUAACAUUAACUUUAAAUGCGGGCAUCAGAUGACUUGUUAGUUCUAAUAUGGAACAUGUCAGGGUGGAACAAUGCAUGGAAUAUAGCUAAAUGCAAAUAGUCAACCUCUCCCACCGUUCCAAAUAUAAUUCUUUUUGAAGGUUUCACUAGGGUACUACAUACGGAUGUAUAUAGACAUACUUUAAAAUGUAGAUUCACUCAUUUUGCUCCGUAUGUAGUCCCCUAAUGGAAUCUUUAAAAAGACUUAUAUUUAGGAACGGAGGGAGUAUGUGUUAUGUAAUACAAUAAUGGUUAAUCCCACCUCUAUUAGACGCCCAUGCCAAUACAAGAACAUUCCACAGUUAACUCUAUCCCAUUCUUCAUAACUCAACCCCAGUGUCAGACGGAUGGUCCUCCCCUUGAUUUCACCGGACAUAACAGACGUCUCAUCAAGUUUUUUUUCCAAAUGACGGGUUAUGACCUAAAAAAAGGAAACAUGAAUGUAACAUGCUGCUACAAUAUAAGUGAAAUAUGGCAUAUGAAUAUUCCCACAUACCGGAGAACCUUGGACAGUGAUUUUCAUCUGAGGAUUCAGGAACAUAACUUCUAGAUAAGCCUUAAGCGAAUAAUCCAAUGGCACCUUGUAGAAUAUGAAAAAUGAAUCAUUGCUCGAUAUUGGAAAAAUAAUAUAGUGAAAUUAAUAACAAUCGUCACUGAUGCUUUGACAAAACAUGGCUAAUUUUUGAAUUACACGGUGACAUAUUGAGUCCUAAAUGACGAAGGGUAUACAACCGAAAGCCCAUCCAGCUCCCAAAUAAGGAUGGGUGGUACAGAUCUACCAAUUCUUUUAUUCCAGUCAGGGUGUGCACAAGCAUAAGAGCUCACUCAUCCCUCCAGUUGCAUAGGAACCAUUAGAACAAUGCAACACUACUUCUGGCCUCAACAAUGAAUCUCCAGGUCAUUUAUCGUCUAAAAAAGAAACUACCAUAUAAUGUUGAUGAUAAGUUACAUACAUUGCCACUUCUCUGUCCUGGACGCGAUCGGACUCUUUUUGAACGAAUUAAUAUGUCUCCGUUACCAUGACCAGCAGGAAUUUCAUUAAUCUUCUCUGGGUUCCAUUCCAAGGUGUAGUCAGCACCCCAUUUUUCUAAAUUCCAGAUAUAAACCUGUGUACCGGUACCCUCUUCACCAAAUAACCCCACCUUUUCUCCAAUGAAGUACUCAUUAAACGGGGAAAAUUCCUUGAUUGCAUCGAGGUUACGCUCUGCAGUAGCUUUAGACUGGACAUUCAAAUCAACUUCCAUGUAUUGUCCUUCCUUGCAAUAUGUCACCACAGGGAUCUCAAUAUUCUGCAGCAACUAAUACUAUUACAGCCUGAACAUGCCAAUAGACAAUGAAUGAAGGUGGUAUGUAGAACCAUGCUUACAUCUUUCUUGUCAUUGAAGGACUGCGAAAGAAAGGACACUGAUCUGGAAGUUGAAGUUUGGGUAAGCACUAGUGCAUCUUUCCCAAGUUUCAUAGACCCAGACUACAAAAUAUGUAGCACAAAUGUUUAUUGCUUGGGCAGUUAGACAUCCGAAAUUCCUAGUUUUUUUUGUUAUUUUUUUGAAAAAGAGAAAUUCCUAGUUAUACAAGACAGAAAUGAUUGAAGGUAAAGCGACUUUGGAGCAUGGCAUUUGAAGUGCACACGGAAACAUAGAAAGAGCACUAAUAGACUACUGUAGCCUUGCGGUGGAAUUCUUGUGAUGUCCUCAUUUACCCAACAUCAUUACAGAUAUCAAUAGUGAAGUAUAGACUGACAUAAAUAAAAUGUACUUUUAUCACACUCGGUGUCCUGGAUAUGGGGGCCGGUUUUAGUAAUAUAUUUCAAAUAAAUCAGACAAAUCAGAGCAAUACAACAUCUAAUUGAUGUAAAAUAGUGAAAUACUUAAAGGUCACUGAUAACAUGGAUCACAACAGUGGUCAGCAACCCAGAAAAGCAUAAGAAUAAGACCAUUUGACAAGAUUUUAGGACGGAUGUUUACCUUAAAUCCAAUUCCAAACCUCCCAAUCUGAUCCUUGCAGUGUUCAUUAGCUCCGUCAUGACCAAAUGAGACCAUUCUCAUCAUUUCCUCAUAAGUCAUUCCAAGGCCAUCAUCAGAUACACAUAAGACAGGAACUUUUCCUUUUUCCUUCUUUGAAAACAUAGAUUGGAUGGAAAUAUCCAAUCUUCCAUUAAUAAGGGAAAAAAAGAACGAAUCAGCAGUGCAAUCAAAUAACAAAUAGCUCCAGAUAAUCUUCAGGAUCUAUCUAAGAUACUAGCCUCGGUGAGGAAUUGUGAAAAUGUACUGCUACAGGUCAUGUUAUGUGAAAACUACAAACAUGUCGAAGCUCCUUAAAGCCCUAUACCACUAAAAGCAGGCCAUAUUCAUCAGGAGAGAAGCAAAAUGCAGCAGUUAAAAUUAGUGGCUAUCUUUUCAUGCAAUGGAGCUUAAUAAUAAAUUAAAAUAUUUUUCUUAUAGCUACCAUAUUUAUGUUUUAUUAUACAAUGGGGCAUAAAGUAGCAAUCACACAAUGGGGCAUAAAGUAGCACUCACAACACCUUGAAGACAUGGAUGUACCUGGAUGCACCAGCAUCUCUGGAGUUAUCUACGAGCUCUGCUACUGCUCCAAAGAUCCAGCCAGCAUGUGUCUGACCAAGUGUUCGGAGAUACCUAGGGUUUGUUUUAACAAAAUUUCUUGCAAGUGUAGAUGUUUUCUUCUUCACUUCUGGAUCUAAAAAUCUAGGACCAUUUUCAACAGAAUUGAAUCGUGAGGAUUCUGGAACAAACCCAUGGGGUUCUGUGAUAUAUGAAUUAUGGUGUUUACAUGAAAACUCCAUCUCCUUUAUAUGCGGUAUGUUAUCACAAGUCUCCUCGCUUGUGUUGGAUCUCCCUGUUGGUACAACAGAUAAGCGAAGAACAGUCAAUGAGCCAAAAAAAAAAAGAUCUAACAGCAUGCAUGGACUUUGAUGAUGCACAUCUUAAUUUUGAACUAAGUUAAAAGCUUCCAUCAACAACAUGAACAAGUAAUGAUCCAGCUGAAAAAAGUAAAAGUAAAAAGAAGCAAAUCUGAUUCUUAACUAAAAAGAAGCAAAUCUGUCUGACAAAUUGCAUAAACUUCUAGUGUAGAGAUAUCUUGGCAAUAGUCAAUGAGCUUCUCACUAUGAAACAAGUGGAGAAUACAAUACGAUGCUGAGCUAAUAACAAAUAAUCUCAGCGGAGAGAUGGUUUGCAAAAAAUAAAAACUCUCACCAUACAUCCCAUUCCCAGUCACAUUUUUGCAGACACCAUGAUCUUUCAGUUUAGUCUCAUACAAGACCAUUGCAGAGACAGAAUAUCCAGGAUACAGAAUGUGGAAGGUGACAGAUCCAAGUUUAACAGCGCAGGCCUACAAAAAAGUAGGAGGAAAACAAGGGACCUCGCAUUACAGACAGCGAAGUGGAGCUACCAAAAUGUGGUAUAACAAAAUACAACAUACUUCUUAGGCAACAGAAACACUACCCAUGGUUAAUUAAUUGCAAACUAAGUCUGACAAAAUACUAUCCCUCUCCCUCACCCCAUAAAUUUAUAAUUCUUAAUCUAGAUGUCUCUGUCACAUCAAACCAUAUCCGACACCAACAUCCUAAGAAUUAAAUCUCAUAGCGCAAUAACUAGGUGAUUGCCCAAUGCUCGCAAUGUGUUUCCUAAGAAGGGUGAUUUAAAAAUAAAUACAGUGCAGAUAAUAUUUACCUUCCCACUUUUGCGAAGGUAACACAUAAACCUUCCCCAUUCAUUUGUCUGAUUAUCAUCUUCCGGAUCAGGAACAAGUGAAAAUUUUAGGAAAUCAUUCUGCUGGUACUUCUCAACUGGCACGAACGUAGUAAUUGACCAAACAGAGGGACUGUACAAGGGAAGCAUAAAUUAAUCCAAUAUUCUGACUUUAUAAAUGCCAGUAAAAAAAUCAAGCAUAUAUGCAUGUUAAAUGCAUAGAUAGCACAUAAAUGCAUAAAUAACACGCACGGAAUGCUCCCAUAGAUUUUUAUUUUCAACAAAAUACUAACUCCCUUUCGCAAUAUUGUGUUGAGAUAGAUCUUUUGUAAUGUUCGUGCAUUCAGAACAAAGAGGUUGAACAGUAGUAAAUUCUAAUGUGUCAUUUAACAAGGGUUUGUUGGCUCAAUUUCACAAGCUAUUUCCUCAGACCUGGUGCUUGAUAGAAUUGGGUAGGUUUAUAAAACAAAGGAGUAGCUUCAUUUUCAAGUGGAUUAAGCAAGUAUCAUUGUAUUAAACACGAGUGCAACAAGAUUUAUGUGUUACACAGUCCAAACCCCAACCAAGACUAGUAUAAACUAGAUUCAGUGAUGGGACAAAGUAUGCUACACAAAUCAAGAAGAAUUCUGUAACACAAACAGUUUUCGAUGAAGCUCAUAUAUGCGGUAGUCACUCGUUAAAAUCAUCAUUUACAAAAAUUAAAAUGAACGUACAUUUUGAUGCCACUGGGAACGUCAUGGACUUUGGCCCGGCAUAUGUUCCUACUACGUUUUUUCAGCAAUACGUAGUUCAACCCAGAACCUACCAUGAAAAAAAUUAGGCAAGACAUUCCGCGAGGUACUGUAGCACAUACAACAUAUUCCAUAGAACAAGCCAAAGAAGCAAACUUCAUUCAUCAGAUAUGAUAUAAAUGUUAAGUUCAAUAUAAGAAAAAAAACUGGAUACAUAUGCUGACAUUAUUGGAUAUAUACACAUUUUGAACUAUGACAUAUACUCCUACAGAUUUGCAGAUUGUCACCUUCUGAAUUUUGCAAUCAGCAUGAAGUAAUGCAUGCUAUAUUUCCUUUUCCUGCUUGCAUUUUACAGAUAACUUUCAAAAUUCGCACAUUAGGAAGGGAAAUUUGGUACUUGAAAAUUAACAUGUGUUAACAUGAGCAUUUAGGCCCUCUAUCAAACCUAAGCUACUAAAAUUUAGAAGUAUAAAACUAAAUCUGUGAAUAUGCACUUACCUUAGGUAUUUAGACUAUCGAAAUUAAGGUGGGGCUUUGCAAUACACUAAGUUUCAGUAGUUCACAGGUGGGUGAGGUGCAACUUCCUCUUGACUUUUGAAAGGAUCUGAUCAAUAAAAUAGAUUGUCUAUUAAAAUUAUAAUAACAGCACCCAACAUUAAUAUCAUACCUUGUUCGCCGCGUGUAAUUCUUUUCGAUUCCUAUAAAUAGCAGAAACCAUCAGAAGCGAUUAGUUUACAAGUGCAGGACAAUGCACAUGCUCACAAAAUAAAUCAGGACUAUUACACGGAACUGGUAGAGAACUCUUAAAUUGAACAAGAACAAGAAUGUGAAACACAAAUUAUAGGUAGGCAGGAGAUGCAGGAAGUAUAAAGAUUUGAUAAAAUUCAGAAAUGAUGACCUUCUAACAAACCCAACAUCAAUUCAGAAUUGACAAGCUCAAAUUGCGCCCACGAAAGAGAUCCACGGGAUUUGAAGGGGUUUGGAAGGGAUUAAAUCAUCUACAAGUCAAAAUCGUCCUCAAUCCCCUUCGAUCCUCUCCAGUCCCCUCGUGGAAGGGAUUGCCCAAACAAGCCCUUGGUUGUACUACUACUUAUUUCGGAAUUCACAGGGUAGGUGUCGAAAAAUAUGGAAACGCCAGGCGAUUGGAGAUGGUCAGAUCCACGGGAUCGAAGAUCCGACAGUGCAAUCGAUGUGCUCCCGACAAACAUCAAGACUAUGAGAUGCUACUGGACAAAUUUGUCCCGAGAAGAAGCAAAAGAAAGCCUAAAAGUAAAAUGAAAAUACAGCCAGGCUACGAGGGCUUUCUUCUUCCUUGGUUGGCAUUACUUACCAUCGACCGGCAGCCUGGGCGAACGUGCGUGCAGAGAACGCCGGCCGGCGAUGGAAGCAGGUGUCGAUCGAGGUGGUAGCAACUAGGCGAGCAAGGCGACUACUCUCCCCAUUCGCUUUGCUACUAGUAGUACAGUAGUUGGCUUUGCUAGUAGCACUAGUAGCAAGCAGCAGCCCUUGGUAGCGGUGCGUAAUGACAGAACUGACCUUCGCGUGUGCUCAGCUCCUAUCGAUCACUGGUACUAUAAUUUUGGCGUGUGGCAGUCCUCUACCCACGGGAACUCCCAUUAUGCCCGUUCUGUCCCUGCACAUGCAGUGCAUACAGGAGUAUCUUCCUUUCCCCCAUUCUUUUAUGUUAUUUUUACAAAGUGAUCUUCAAGAAAAUUAUUUGCUUACCUCUUUCAAAAACUUAUUUCGUAAUCCGACCUUCUCAUUCGCCUCUAAGGACAACUCCAACGGACCGAUCCAAACGGACGACGAUUUUGUCCGCUUUUUGUCUGUUUGGGUCGGUCCAGCCAACACGAAUGUCCGCUUCGGCGUUUGGGUCGACGCAUGUGUCCAACAUUGGUCCGAUCUAUUUUUGCCGGCGUGCGAAAAAAAUAUAAAGUAUUUGCGAAAAUACUAAACAUGCACAAUUAAACAUUAAAAGCCGACCACGAAGGCCGGCGAGAGUCCACGCGUCCGCAUUACAUUAAUUAAACAUUAAAAAAACUCCGAGGCAGCCCUAGGCGUCGUCGUCAUCGUCAUCGGGGCCAGUGACAUCAACCAGCGUAGGCGUAGGGCCGGUGACGUCAACCAGCGUAUGCGUAGGGCCGGCGCAGGGGAACAUCGUGUUUCAGAGCGCAGCUGUCUGCGCCUCCUUCGUUUGUCCCAUCGGCGCGGGCUGUGCUGGUGGCGGUGGCAGCGCGGUAGCACGUGCGCGCUCCUCCUCCUUCAUCUCCCGUCGUUCCUCCUCUGCCUCCUUUUCCAGCUCCAUCAGCCGAAGGCCUUCGGCGUGCUCCGCCCGCAGGUGCUCCGUCCUCCAGUGCUCGAGGUAGGCCUGCUCCUGCUACGGUGUCGCGCCCAGCCAGAUGGGCGGCACACUGACAAACUCGCGGAUGCAGCCGGUCCACUGGUAGACCUCAUGCGGCUCAGUGGGCUCGGGCUUCGGCGGAGGCGGCACACGCAGUCGCCGGCGGCCGACAUCGCGAUGGCCUCCAUGAGUUGUUGCUGGUACACCGCCUCCUCGUCGGCCCUGCAUAGCUCUUCCUCUUCACUAUCGCGGAGCACAGCUGCCAGCGCCGCCUGGUAGGUGGCCUCAGCCCCCUGGUCCUCGUCGCUGACCACAGGCGGGGGCGGAAGGCCUCCUGGCUGCACGUCGAGCACGCCACGACGACGCUGCUCCUCGUGCUCCACCGCGAACCAAAGCUCCCGGUUGGGGGAGUCGGCCGCGUAUGCAGGGUUGUGCCGCUGCUCCGGCGUCAGCAGAUGCCGACGGCGGCUCACCUCCUCCACGUGCACCCGCGCCGACCACGGCACGGCCGGCACCGGGAUCCUCUCCGGAUCCAGAUGUCAGUGGUGCGGCAGGGUGACGUCGGGGUAAGGCAGCAACACGUGGUGCUCCCAAUGCCACCGCGCUUGGUGCACCGGGACACUCACACGCUGACGAGGCCGGCGGGAAGACGUCGGUGGGGAGACGGCGCGGGGUAGAGCGGGGCCUUGCCCUUGUUUGGGAAGAAGCCGACCAUGGUUCUAGGAUUUGGUCGUCGAGGAGGUGGCGAGAUGGGGACGGGUGGGUUCUGGAAGCAGAUGAGGCGGAACCCACCGGACGCUCGGAUUAAAAAAAGCCAACCGCGGUCGCUGACGUGUGGGCCUGAGGAGGGCAGCCAUCAUAAAUAAUAUUGACCGCGGUGGUUGGGGGCGGACACCGAGAGGGGGGCGCGCAUCCGCUUCGCAUCCGCCCCGACGCAUUUCAGUCCUAAAUUUAAGCCGAAAAUUGGUCGGAGCGAACGUGUUUUGAAAAUGGGUCGACGCGUUGGACCAUCCUUUUGUCCAUACCAACCCAAACGGAUGGCGACAGACCAAAUGGAUCGUCCCAUUUUACUCUAACAGUGUAACCGUGAAGCCGCCGUACCUAAGACGUCUUUGAUCGGUAACGGUGUGUGGUCAUCAAUCAUGUCAUCAGCAUGACACUUACAUAACGCGCAUACAAUAAAGACGCAAUAGAGUUUUCCAUGUAUUGAAAUACCAUUGGGCCACCAUUUUCCGUUAAUUAAGCCUAAAUACUUAUCUUUCAGUACAAACGACGCUUCCUGCUCUAACCCCGCGUCGUCCUUUUUUGUCCAGAGAAUUGGUCACAUCAGAACGGUAAACACAUGCAAUGCCCUUUGCUUUUCUUCUCUCUCUCUUUCUCUAUUAUACGAAUCUUACACGACCUGCCGUAUAUAUAUAUAUACUUGCACCGUUUUUAGCCCCUUGCAUAGUUGUCUCAGGUCAGCCUAGUUGAGCUAAGGGUAAAAAAUAAAAAAUCAUCAUCUACGCAUUGUUUGAUUGCCUACAUACUGCUUCCAUGCAUCGUAGCAGCAACUCUACACAUUGUGUUUGAUCGCUCAUAUUGGCUGGGCCCAUACUAUUGCACAUUUGUUUGGUGGCAUACAUGCAGCAAGGUUUGGGUACCUUGUAUCCUACAUGAUGAGCUUACUAGCUACACCUUACACACGAUCGUGCCGAUCACAACAAUAAAACAACACCACAAUCACGACUAAUUGGAUGAUGUUGGUGUAGUUCUUCAACCCAAACUGUCAAUCUGACUUGGCAACUUCAACACCGCAUGUCUAUUUGAGCACAUCCUUGGACUAAGCAUCAUGUGUCGUCUGCCUACUCUUAAACCUUCUAUGGCAACCCGCCACUUGUUCACCGAAUGAUUACCAUGAGCUGUAAAUCCGGGAACCCUCCCUCGAAACACCACUUACUACUCACCCUGGCAUGGCGGAGGAGCAAGAAUUCAAGUAGCAAGCAAUGAAGCACACUAGACAUGUAAUAUAAGUAAGCAUGCAUUAUCAUACGCCAUAGCAAGUUUACCGUACCACUACUAUGGUGUCAUCAUACCACCACAUCUAAAAGAGAGUAUUAUCCUACCAUCGUUAGUUUGUCAUCGGCGUGAGGGGUUACUAUAUACCACCUCAUCAAAAUAAACAAGCAAACAUCAAGAGUUUAUCAAGCCCUGGCCCCCAUAAAACGUAUAUCGUCAUUGUCAUCACCGUUGCCAUUACCGUCAAGGAUCAUGCACGUUGUCACCAACACCUCCAGAAACAACACUAGUAGUAGUGCUUGCCGAGCCAAGUCCUGAGCCAUAGGACUCUAUGGGCGUCUGCCAUGGCAAAAAACCAACACCACGGGCCCUGUUGUCCAGCAUGUGGCUCAGAGCCGCCAUUAGGGCCUUUGGGUCGAAGCCUCCUUGGUCCAUGACGGUGAUGUCUACUACGUAAAUUUAUUAUUGUCGGCGUUGUUGGGCCUCCAAGUGCAGAGUUUUGUAGGACACCAACAAAUUUCCCUCAAGUGGAUGACCUAACGUUUAUCAAUCUGUGGGAGGUGUAGCAUGAAGAUGGCCUCUCUCAAACAACCCUGCAAUCAAAUACAAGAAAUUUCUUCUGUCCCCAACACACCUAAUACAAUGGAAAAUUGUAUAGGUACACUAGUUCGGCAAAGAGAUGAUGAUACAAGUGUUGUAUGGAUAGUAAAAAUAGAUUUUUACUAGUCGUGAAUAUAUAAAAAUAGUGAGGUAACAAGUAUUAAACAACGAGCAAAACGUUAUAUAAAUGCUUGAAAAUAAGUCCUAGGGUUCAUACUUUCACUAGUGCAAUCUCUCAACAAUGCUAGCAUGAUAGAAUCAUAUGAUCAUCCCUUAACGUGCAAUAAAGAAUCACUCCAAAGUUCAUAAGUAGUAGAGAACAUAAGAAGAAGUUGGUGUAGGCAGUGAACCACCUUAAAGUUAUUUUUCCGAUCAAUCUUUUGAGCUAUUCCUAUAAGUGUCACAAACAUCCUUAGAUUUCAUACUAGAGUAACAUCUAUGAUACAUAUCAAUCAACCCUAAUGUCGCCUAGAUACUCCAAUGUCACCUCAAGUAUAUGUGGGUUAAUUAUUUGACAUGCAUAAAACAAUUUCAUAUCCAUCAUAUUCAAUCUAACACAAAGAACUUCAAAGAGUACCCCAAGAUUUCUGUCGAAGAAAGUAGGACAAGAACAUGUAUCAACCCCUAUGCAUAUAUUACCCCAAUGUCACCUCGGGAAUCAGAGAGUUGAGUACCAAAACCUAUAUCAAGUGAAUCAAUAGAACCCCCCAUUGUCACCAUGGGUAUCCACAACAUACAUGAAGUGAUCUCAAAUCCAAUAUUCAAUCCAAUAUAAAAUCUCAAAGGGAAAGAUUCAAUUCAUCACAUCAAGAUAGCAUGGGACAAACACCAUAUGAUCCAAAUAUAUUAGCAAAGCCCAUUAUACAUCAAGAUCGUGACAUCUCAAGAACGCGCGCGCGCGAGAGAGAGAGAGAGAGAGAGAGAGAGAUUAAACACACGGCUACUCGUAUAUAUGCUCAGCUCCGAGGGUGUAGGAUCGAAAGUAUGUCUAGAGGGGGUGAUUAGACUACUUGACAAGAUAUAUUUUUUACAUUUUCCCAAUUUUAGUUGAGAGGUAGUUGUGGCAGUUAUAUAGCAAGUCAAUACACCCUACACAUGCAGUUCUAAGAGUAUAGCAGUGGAAAGUAAAACAAGCAACUGUAAAGUAAAAGGAGUAAGAUAGGGAGAUCAAACUCAUGAGGUUGACACGACGAUUUUUGGCAUGGUUCCGAUAGGUGGCGCUAUCAUACAUCCAUGUUAGUGGAGACUUCAACCCACGGAGGGUAACGACUGCGAGAGUUCACGGAGGGCUCCACCCACGAAGGGUCCACAAAGAAGCGGCCUUGUCUAUUCCACCACGACAUCCUUCCACGGAGGACUAGCCUUACUCAUGGUAGAUCUUCACGAAGUAGACGAUCUCCUUGCCCUUACAAACAUCUUGAUUCAACUCCACAACACGAAGUAGGAGGCUCCCAAGCGACACCUAACCAAUCUAGGAGGCACCACCCUACAAAAGGUAAUAGAUGGGGUAGAUCAAUGAACUCCUUGCUCUUGUGCUUCUAAAGAUAGUCUCCGCAACACAAAAUCACUCUCUCAUAGAAUAUGAAUGGGUAGGAGAGGUUGAUUUGGUGGAAAGCGGUUUGGGGAGGCUAGAGAUCAAGAUUCAAAUGAUUGGAUUGGAAUAUCUUGGUCUCAACACAUGAGUAGGUGGUUCUCUCUCAGAAAAUGGAUCUAGAUAUGAAGUGUGUGUUCUGAGUGCUUCUCCCACGAAUGAGAGGUGAGUGAAGGGGUAUAUAUGGGCAACACACAAAAUCCAACCGUUACACACAACAUGGCAAACUCGGUGACACCGAAGUUGGGAACUAGGUGGUACCGAUUAGCACAAAAGGUGUGAACUUUUGAAUCUCGAUGAGACCGAUAUAUGAAACUCGGUGGCACCGAAAAGGUGGCUAACGGUCAGAUGGACAAACUUGGUGGCACCGAUACUCAAACUCGGAAAUUCUGAUUUUGUGUAUCGAGGCACCCGAAAGUUGGUCACCCAAACUCGGUAGCACCGAUAUGGAUUCGGUUACACCGAUUUGGUAGCAGUGGCUAGGGUUUCUGUCUGAGGUCAAACUCGGUGGGUCCGAAAUGUGAAAGUAUUUUGAUGGCUAACUUAGAGCACUUUUGAGAAAUCAGUUCAUUUUACUACCUCACCCCUUUUCAUAGUAUUGGCUUCCCUAUGGACUCAAAUGUGAUUUCUCACAAAUAGAAAAUGAAGAGUCUUCUAGCUUGAAGCUUGAGCCAACCCUAUUCCUUUCUUGCAUCAAGGGGCAUCUCCACAUAAGCCUUUAGCCAAAGCAUCUUUUAACUUUUCUGAAAUAUUGUCACGCCCAAGAUGCGACCCUAUCCUCAAUUUGGCACGAGGGCCUCGUCAGGGAUAGAAGCGCAUCUCGUCGUGUCGCAAGAAUGGAUAUCGUUACAAGUACAUGUACUGAAAAGGGGAGAUAUAUAAAGAGUUGGCUUACACUCGCCACAAGCUACAUCAGAGUCACAUCAGUACAUUACAUAAUCAUCAAGGGUAAGAGCAGGGUCCGACUACGGACGAAAACAAACGACAAAAGAAGAACGACGUCCAUCCUUGCUAUCCCAGGCUGCCGGCCUGGAACCCAUCCUAGAUCGAUGAAGAAGAAGAAGAAGAAGAAGCAACUCCGAAUGAACAAUCAACGCGCUCGCGUCAAGUAAUCUUUACCUGUACCUGCAACUGGUGUUGUAGUAAUCUGUGAGCCACAGGGGACUCAGCAAUCUCAUUUCCAAAGGUAUCAAGACUAGCAAAGCUAAAUGGGUAAGGUAUGGUUAAGUGGUGAGGUUGGAGCAGCGCCUAAGCAUCUGUUUGGUGGCUAAACUUACGAGUACAAGAAAUGAAAGGGGGAAGAUCUACGCAUAGCGGAUGUGAACUACGGAUGAUCAACUGAAUGACCCUGAACACCUACCUACGUCAGUCAUAACCCCACCGUGUCCUCGAUCGGAGAAAGAACUCACGAAAGAGACAGUCACGGUUACGCACACAGUUGGCAUAUUAUAAUUAAGUUAACUUCAAGUUAUCUAGAACCAGUGUUAAACAAAGUAUCCACGUAGCCACAUAACCGCGGGCACGGCUUUCCGAAAGAUUUAACCCUGCAGG
rnacentral:lncRNA from 1 species